AAAUAGCAAAAAGUUAAAAAAAACAAAUUAUAAUGUACUAGUGACAUUGUGGUGUGGUCACUUUUCACCAAUUAUUUUCAUUCGCAACCUCGUUAUUGCACUAGCACCAACAAUAAAAUAACUACUAAUUUUGGUAACUGUUGUUAACUUUUCUUGUAUUAGUGUGGUUGAAAGGAAAUUUAUAUUAAAAAGUAACACACCCAAUUUCCUUUUCGUUAUCUUCAUGUAAAGGCCAAUGGUGGAUGAUGGAUCCCAUCCCAUGCAUCACAUGGAUGACUAAUGAACUUUUAUAAUCUCGACUGAUCGAUAUCGUCUUAUCAUUAUCUAAGCAGUUUAGUUUUCAAACAUGAUUACGUAAUAAACAAUAUCCUUUUAUCUUGGGUAAAGUCUAAAGCCAGAAAUAGUUUAUUCAGCUGCUACCUAACUUUAAUUUUAUAUAUGCAAUUGUUAACCAUUGCCAUUAUUCUUCAUGUUUUAUACGAUUUUCUAAAUUAUUCAAAAUUACAAGAAGAAGAAUUCUAAGUACAAAAAAAAUGAAUAUAUAGUUCUAACAAACUAGCUUAUAACUCACAUAUACGUUACAACUCCUGGAUGGUUUUGUUCAGCUAACGCUUACUUUUUUACAAACUAAUCUUUCUUUCUCUAUGCUCUUACUCUAUCUGGAAAUACUUGAUCCAAAUAAUUGAUUAGAAGCAGCUAAUUAAUUGGUUGCCGAAUCAGAUUACUCAUAUGCAAGAACUUAAAUGGUAGAUAUUUUGACAGGCCAUGAGGGGAACUGAUGGGAACACCAUACAUAUUCAAACAAAUGAUAUUACUGAGUCAUGACCCACUUCGAACAGAAUUUGGUUGCUUAAUUUGUCAAAUAUGUGAUGACCUGUGCUUCAUUACAAAAUUCAAGACGUGAUGUUUAUAGGCUACAUUCAAUAUACGAUCGAGAAAUAAUUCACAAACGCGAACUGGUUCUGCUUGGAGUGACCCUCAAGGUGUCUCCACCAGAAUGGACUUUAUAACUACGUUAAAUAAUUUGGUCUCUUGGAAUUUUGGUUAAUUUGAUUGAGUACGAUCUCCAUCAAAGACUCUUCUUCAAGACUUUAGACACCCUGGUGGCUGGUGCUCAGAGUUCAACCACGUACGUCAAAACAAAAGAAAAAAAAAUGAUUUGGAAACAUUUGAAAGAAAUAAAAAUCACUAUAUACGUUGCCCAAUUAGUGAGAUUCGUAAAUAUACUCAAGAAGGCAAUUAAUUAGAAAACCUGAUUUUAAACAAGUAGUUACGAUAUCAUUAUUAUUUGAAAUUAAUUUUCAUUUUUAGGUGAGUUUUUGCUCACCUCUUAAUUAUGGUGUAGCGUUUCUUUUCUUUGUGUUUUUCUUAUGACAAAAACGGACUUCUUUUUGCCCUCCAAUUUAAUUGUUAAUCGCUAUAAAAGUAGUUUGCAUUCCAAGUUAAUGUGACAUCUGUUUCUCUCUCACUUUUCUCUUUAUUUCUCAAGACAAACAAGAUACUAACAAUGAGCAUAUAUUGUCCUAAUUGCCUCCUCCUAGUCCUCACCGCCUUGUUGUAUCUUUUCGUUGCUAUCACCGCGUUUGGAGUAGGAGGAGGAGAAGAGCACCUUUACCCUCCCAAGUACCCUCCUCUAAGGGGUGGGUAUUUCCCCUUUGACAACCUGAACGACCCACGUUUGAGGGAGAUCGCAGAGUUCGCCAUUUCCAAGUACAACAAGAUUCAUGACCAAAAACUAGUGUUGCAAAAGUUGGUUCAUGGACAGUUCCAAAUAGUGGAGGGAACCAAUUACAAGCUUGUCAUUUCGGUUCUCAAUUCUUCCAAGAUCUUUAGCGGCCCAAUCAACUAUGAGAUCAUUGUGUUCGAAAAUCUUUGGAGGACUAUUAAGGAACUGAAGUCCUUUGUUCGAGUCCAAAUUAAUAAAACUUAAAUCCAGUCCACCUUAUUUUUAAGGUUUCUGGAGUCCUUUCUCAUUUCUUUCUUAUAUUUUUUAGAGCAUUAUCAACUAAUAAUAUAUAAGUUACUUUCACAUGAUGCAUUAUGAGUUCGAUUUUUUGUGUUAGUUAAUCAUGCGAAGGUGGCCAAAGAGAGGCUAAAAUGUCUUUGUGAGUCUUCCCGACUUCCGAAAUGAAUGAUUACCGUGGUGAAGCCACCAACUAGUCCUCUUUUUCUAAAUAAAAAAACAACAUAAUACAAACACAGUUUGGAAACAACUCAAUUUCAUUACUUUUCUCAUAUUCUCCUUUACUCACUCUUUUUUGUUCGAUGGCAAAUAAUUUUAUCGUUUGUGAAAUAACCAACAAAACGAUAUAAGAACAUGAAAAAAUUAAACUAAUUAACAAUCUCGCAUGUAAAAAAGUAAAUUUUUUUUGGGGGUAAAGACCGUGAAGUGUCUGCACACCCGAAAAGUGUGACCAAUAUCUACUCAAGGUUUGGCUUGACACUGGCCACAAAGUGCUUUCGUAAAAUUUCUGGCAAAUAUAAAAAACGACACGUAGUUUUCUUUUUGUUCAUGUUUGUUUCGUCCAUAUAAUUUGGUGAAGCUUUUGACGUCAAAAAGAGGAAGGGCUAAAUUUUAGUAGAUGAUGCAAAAAAGGAUAGUGACAUUGAUCCAUAAGAAGCUCAACAAACUCUUGAAAUACCGGAAGCUAAUUUGAGGAAAGCUAAAGGCAGGAGACAAACAAUUGAAGUUAAUUUGUUAAACCCUCCGUGCCUUUCCUUUUUAGUCAUUAAAACCCACAAAACAAAAGAAAUAAUAUCAUUUUUGUUGUAGGCCUAUUUGAUUGAAAGAUUUAAGGUUUAGAGAGAGAGAUAGGGGUUCGGCAAUAUUGAGAGAGAAGAGAGAUUGAUUUAAUUGUGAGGUGUGUUUGAUUCACCCCAUUGUGCCUUUAUUUAUAGUAGUAGGAAGGGUAAAACCUUUCCCUUUAGAAUUACAAUAUUUAAUAGAUAAUCUAAUCUUAAUAGGAAUAUAAGAUAUUUUCCCAUAUUCCCUAGGAUUUACACAAUCACAUUCCUAUUCUAAAUAUGACUGCAACACUCCCCCUUAAGUGUGUAAAUACUCAACAAAUCAUCCCAUCAGAUCUUCAGCAGAUAAGGUAGAAUAGUUGAUGAAGUCAUCGGCACAACGGGUGAUCGCGAGUCUCAAAUUUAAGUGAAGUAUGCAUUUGUAGUAAAACUCACAAAACCUCGUUAUGGUAAAACCCAAUGCAUGGGGAAAACCCAUAGACUAAGGAGAAGAGUGAGAAGUAUGAUCAUCCCAUGAUGGGUGCCUCAUUAAAACCUCGUUAGGUAGCAAAACCCAGUGGAAAAAAUGCUUCUAAUCGUAGGGAAAAUAGUACAGUAAGAUCAUGUGAGUAUGCUUCUAGAUACUCUCCUUAAGUUAGACAUAACUUCUAAAUAAGAGAACUACAAACGAUGCAACUUAGAUAAUUUACGCAUAUCGAUUCCUUGGAUGGGUUUCUGAAAUGUAGACUUGGGCAAUAACUUGGUAAAGAGAUCGGCCAGGUUGUCCUGGGAACGGAUUUGCUUGACUUCAAUGUUCUGAUGUUGUUGUUGCUGGUGUGAUUAAAAGAACUUUCAUAAUAUGUGCUUGGUGUUGUCUCUUUUGAUGUAUCCCUUCUUCAGCUGCUCGAUACAUGCUGCAUUGUCUUCAAAGAUCAUCGUAGGAAGGUCAACGACUGAUGUAAGACCACUAGUGCUUCGAAUAUGUUCCAUAACUUCUCUUAGCCAAAAGCACUCACGCGAUGCUUCAUGUAGGGCGAGAAUCUCAGCAUGGUUAGACGAAGUCGCAACUUGCGUUUUCUUGGUAGACUUCCAAGAUAUAGCGGUGUCUCCAACGGUAAAGACAUAACCUGUUGAGAACGUGCUAUAUGUGGGUUAAACAGAUAUCCAGCAUCUGCAUAACCAACAAGGCGAGAAUCAUUCCGAGGGCCAUAGAGGGCGACAACACUUGGAGAUUAGCGAGUAUAGAACAAACCCAAAUUCGUAGUACCUUUGAGGUAGCGAAAAAUGUCUUUAACACCAUUCCAGUGCCUGCAUUUGGGUGCAUUGUUGUAUCUAGCCAAUAGAUUCACAGAGAAUGAGAUGUCAGCUCUAAUGCAUUGAGUCAAGUACAAUAAAGCCCCAAUUGCACUUAAGUGAGGAACUUCGGGUUCCAAAAUCUCUUCCUCAUCCUCCUUUGGACUGAAGGGAUCUCGUUUAGCAUCUAGAGUUUGAACAACCAUACGUGUACUCGAAGGCUUCGCUUUAUCUUCAUUAAAACGUCAUAACACCUUUUGGGUGUAGUUCGAUUGAUGUACUAGGAUUCCAUCCGAACAAUGCUCGAUUUCCAGGCCGAGGCAAUAUCGAGUUUUCUAAGAUCCUUUACCUCAAAUUCUGAUUUCAAGUGUGUAGCAAUUUCCUCAAUCUCUGCGGCAGUCCCAAUGUGGUUCAUGUCAUCGACAUAAACUGCAAUGAUUGCAAAUCCGGAAUCUUGAAAAGCUGCAAUCUGCCUCGAUUGUCAUCCACCAUUCUUGUUUUAAAAAUUAAAUUAAAUCAGAAAUUAACAUUUUGUAAAUUUCAAGAAAUUUUAUUCUGUUGAUGCACAAAAUCAGCGAAGACUUUGGUACAACAGAAAGUGUCAGGUUUUGUGACCUUCGCUUGGUUGCUUCGGUCACUAGUGAGGAUAAGUACGUAAAUGAAUAGAGACAGAGAAGCAAACACAGGAUGUACGUGGUUCACCCAGAUUGGCUACGUCCACGGAGUAGAGGAGUUCUUAUUAGUAGUGAAGGGCUUACACAAGUACAAAGGAUCAAGCUCUCAAUUUAGUGAGUUCUUGUGAAUGAUUUAACACAAAAUGGCAUUAGGCAAUAUUGUGGGGGAAUGACCCCUAUUUAUAGAAAAACUUGUAGCUUUGUCACAUUGACAUGUGUCAUGUUAUGAUUGGUUCUUGAUGUCGACACGUGCUGCGCUCUGAUUGGCUUCUAAUCUUGACACGUGUCGAGUAGUGAUUGGCCUCCUGGUCGGAGGGGAACUCUUCUGGGUCCUUGACAGUAUAGCGUUGGCCGGUGCUCGGUAGUUUCGGGAUUGGUCAAGUAUGGUACAAACAGUGCUCCCCUAAGUUCCCGAGUGAGGGAAACUCCUCGGUUGGGGACUUGCAAGAUCCAAUCCCUUGAGUAAUCACGAAACUUCUAAGUACCGAAGUGUGGUCUGAUCUUCAUCUGCCCUUCUCUGGAAGUACCUUUCCUCCAUCCGGGAAUGGUGUACUUUAGCUGAUGUUGACGCACAAGGUAAUGUAUCAAUUUCACUUGAAGCUUAGUUGUAGUUUCGGGCUUAGUCAAGUGUGAUACAAACCCUAUAGUAGGAGUCCCCCAAGUCGCCGAGCUAGGAGAUCUGCCGAAAGAGGUGACAGACAAGGUAAGCAGUCAAACUUCCAAGUAAGCAACCCAGGAUCAGAGGUUUGACUUCGGCUUCCGGUUGAUUGUUCUCCUUCUCCUUGUCUCUCAUUCAACUGCCAGGAUAAGGAGAAGCAAAUGGAUAAGAGAUGAUAUGAGAUACUUUUGCUUUUGAAGAAGUAACUUUCCACAGGCUUAUUCUUGAACUGUGCUGGAGGGUUUUCUGGUGCCCUUCAGAGUAUAAGGCCGACUCAAAAAUUUGAGGGUCAAAACAAGUCCAUCAAAUCUAGAGUACGUUCGACCUUGAUGAUAUGGGAUACUUUUGCUGUUGACGGAAUAAUGAAUGUGGUAUGGAAAGGUGUCGUGCUGUAGUGAUCUGUUUCAGCUCACCGUUGAACCUUCUGCUUCAAUCUUUUGCAUGGCAGAAGUGGUGUGCAACCUUUGCAUUUAAAUGGUCCUUCAGAACAUUCCUUCAUAGUGACUCAUCCACGCUUGGCAGCUUCAGUGUAAAGAGCCAAUAUCUGAUCAACUGUCAUGAGGUAUUUGCCGGUGGAAUUCGUGACCUUGACAGCAGUUGAGGAUGAGUACUCGAGAGCAAUGCUAAGUAAGCAACCAGGCAAAGGCUCCAGGCAGUCAGUUCCAAAUUGGAGGUUUGAUUUCAGGUUCCGACUGACUGCUCUCUUUCUCCUUGUCCUGCAGGUGUGGACAAGGACAAAGACAAAGACAGGGAGAAAGCAUGAUAUGGGAUACUCUUGCUUUCGACCCUGAUGAUAUGAGAUACUCUUGUUCUUGGUGUGGCUUAUUUGCUGAGGUAUUAUCGGGGGGAAAUAAAGCUGAGUAUUUCGAGAGGUUAUGUUGAGGGUGCCUUUUCGAAUGCGAGAAAGGGUUGAGCAUUUUUGCAGGUUUGCCUGUCCGUUGAGGAGGGAGGUCAAUGUAUAUAGGGAUUUCCCAAUAACAAGUAGUAAUGCUAUUCCUUUACCCUUCUUGGUCACAGCAAUGUAGUGGGAGCUGCCAGCUUCACGUGUUUUAAUUUUGUCAGAGCACUUUGAAAAAGUGGUAUGUGGUAUCUGGAAAGCUGAUAUUACGUGUGAAGAUUACAGACAAGCUUUAUCUAAGGAAAUCUGGCUCUCGAAGUUCUGAGAGUUGUGCCUCUUCGGUUUUCGAACAAGCAAUCCCGUCGAGGAUCUGACUCUCGAGAUUCGGAAAGCGGUGCUACUCCGGUUUUUGAGAAAGUAAUUAUGUUGGGAGUCUUUUCUCUCGAAUGUGAGUAAAGGUUGGACGUUCUUGCCAACCUGUCUUGCCGCAAAACACGGAGGUCGACACACAUAGGGACUUUCCAGUUGUCAAGCAGUGGUGCUGUUCCUUUACCCUUAUGGGUAAUAGUAGGGUAGCUGGAACUUCGAAAUUCUCGUGCCUAAACUUUGUCAGAGAUCUUUGACAAAGUUAUAUGUGGUACCCGAGGAGUUGAUGGUGCAUAUGGAGAGCGGUGAUUGAACAGUAAGAUUCACGUGCUUUCUACUUCACCAGAAAUCUUCGACAGAUUGCCCGUAAUUUCCGCAAAGCUGAUUGUGCAUGUGACAGGUGCUGACGAGGCUGAAAAAGCAGGUGCUUCUUCGAUUUCUGAGAUCGGCCCUCGUGGUCUCUGAGCAGCCCAGCUUUUGAGAAAGCAAACGCCUCUUCGAUUUCUGAGAUCGGCCCUCGUGGUCUCUGAGCAGCCCAGCUUUUGAGAAAGCAAACGCCUCUUCGAUUUCUGAAGCUCCGUCGAGUGCAGAUUUUUAUAGAGGCUGGCAUUAAGUUCCACAGCACACUUGAAUCUCUACCAGUAGAAGCUCAUUUCUUGCACUUCUAAGAUCUUGAUUUGUCUGACCUCUUCCUUCUUCAACACAUUUGAAAAUGUCUGGACCCUCCGACCGUCGUUUUGACUUGAACCUUGGAGAAGAGACAGCCACGCCUUCUCCAGACAACAUAUGGCGCCCAUCCUUCAUAUCCCCUACUGGUCCUCUUACCGUUGGGGAUUCUGUGAUGAAGAAUGAUAUGACCGCUGCAGUGGUGGCCAGGAACCUUCUCACUCCCAAAGAUAACAGACUACUUUCCAAACGGUCUGAUGAGUUGGCUGUUAAGGACUCUCUGGCUCUUAGUGUUCAGUGUGCAGGUUCUGUGUCUAAUAUGGCCCAACGCCUAUUUGCUAGAACCCGCCAAGUUGAAUCAUUGGCUGCUGAAGUGAUGAGUCUCAAACAGGAGAUUAGAGGGCUCAAGCAUGAGAAUAAGCAGUUGCACCGGCUCGCCCAUGACUAUGCUACAAACAUGAAGAGGAAGCUUGACCAGAUGAAGGAAUCUGAUGGUAAGGUUUUACUUGAUCAUCAGCGGUUUGUGGGUUUGUUCCAAAGGCAUUUAUUGCCUUCGUCCUCUGGGGCUGUACCUGGUAAUGAAGCUUCAAAUGAUGAACCUCCAAUGCCUCCUCCUUCUGGGGUUUUGUCAAGUACUGAGGCUCCGGAUAACCACCCUCCGGUGCUUUCUCUUUCUGGGGCUCUACCGACUGCUGAGACUUCCCCUAAGCAACCUUUGUGAAGGCUCCCUUUUGUUUGUUUAUUUUGACUCAUGUAUAUGUACAUAUUUGUGGCUUAUCGAAAAUAUUAAUAAAUAAGCUUUGCUUCAUUUCAACAUAUUGUGUUAAAUACACCAAAGCCUUCUUCAUAAAGUUCUUUGAAUUUUUGCUUUUGUUGAAACCUGUAUUGUUGAAGCUUUGUGAGUGAAGCAUGUAGUUUGAGGUAGUGUUCCCUUAAUUUCCCGAGUGAGGAAAACUUCUCGGUUGGAGACUUGAAAAAUCCAAGUCACUGAGUGGUUGUGAGACUUUUGCCGAGUAUCCAAGGUGCGUAGUAGCAUAUGGUGGGAGUCCCCCAAGUCUUCAGGCGAAGAGAGUUGCCGAAUGAGGUGUCUCGCGUGUUACUAAUGUUGUCAAAGUAACGAAUUCCUUGUUUCGAUUUGUCACACAUUCGUAUAUGCUUUAUCUAAAAAAUAUUUCCAACUUUUGUGUGUUUGAUGCUGCAUGCUAUUGACUAGACAAAAAGAUCAAAUGUGCAAUUAGUAGCUUUUCUCUCUUUUUCAUCUUUUCUUUGGUGGAAUUGCUUUUUCGUUUCCACUAAUCAGCCUGAGUGGAUGCAAGAUAACACCUUUCUCUAUAGCUCAGAUUGCAAAGUCGUCUUCAUGAAAGUUUUUCCUUAUCUUGUGAACUACAACAUAUCCAAAUUUGAGAGAUCCAUCGGAGUAGUACAACUUCAGAAAUUCAAGUAUGAUGAGUAACUGUUCAUCAAUGUUCUGUUAAUCCGUCAGACUUUGUUGUGAGCUUCGAAACUCCAUUUUCUCUUGUUCAGAUCAACAUACUUUCUUCAUCGAAGUUGUUCCUUAACUUGUGAACUACAACAUAUCCAAAUUUGAGAUCCCUCGGAGCAGUAUAACUCCAGAAAUCCAGGUAUGAUGAGUGACUGUUAUCAUUUGUCUGUCAACCCGUCAGAUUUGUUGUGAGCUUUGAAACUCCAUUUUCUCUUGCUUCAGAUCAGCAUGCUUUCUUCAUUGAAGUUGUUCCUCAGCUUGUGAACUACAACAUAUCCAAAUUUGAGAUCCCUCGGAGCAGUAUAACUCCAAGAAAUCCAGGUAUGAUGAAUGACUGGUUAUUAUUUUUCUGUCAACCCGUCAGAUUUGUUGUGAGCUUCGAAACUCCAUUUUCUCUUGUUCAGAUCGGUAUGCUUUCUUCAUUGAAGUUGUUCCUCAUCGACUCUUUCAUAACAUAUCAAAAAUUCAGGAUGAACUAACGGUUAAAUAUUUCCAGAUCUUCGAAACAUCACAACAGCUUCGAAAUCUGCAAGAAGCCGACUAUCAUGUUUGGAGCUUCAACACUUUAAUUUCCGUCGCUCAAACAGAAAUGGUUCCUUCUUGAAAGUUGUUCAUAUGCUCAAGAACUAUAGGGUGUCCAAAAUUCAGCUCCAUUGGAGAAGAGCAGAGGUUGCAGAAAUUUGAUAGAUGAAAGGAGGCGGAAGAGGGAGAGAGAGAAAAAGUCUCUUGGGUUGGAUUUCUAUUUUGGGGCAGAUUCCAAUUUUUGUAGCACCUUCAUUAUUGAUGAAUUGCUUGUACUUUUGUCCAUUAUGAAACUUUGGGACUUUGGCUUGUUGUUGGAUCUAUUAUAAUAUGUUUGGGAACAUAUAUAAGUGAAUAAAUAAGAAGGAAAAUUUUGGGCCCUUGUGGGUGUAAAACAAAAAAUGUUUAUGUUUACCCAAGUGUUUUUGUACAAGUUCAAGGGCAUCUUGGGUUUUGUGAACAAAAUUUGUUUAUUUGGAGCAAGGUUUUGUGUUGAAGCUUUGUAGGUGAAGCUUUCUAGGUGAAGCUUUGAUGGUGAAGCUUUGUAGAUGAAGCUUUGUAGAUGAAGCUUUCUAGGUGAAGCUUUGAUGGUGAAGCUUUGAUGGUGAAAGUAUGUAGAGGGAGCUUUCUAGGUGAAGAUUUUUUAGGUGAAGCUUUGUAGGUGAAGCUUUUUUAAGUGAAGCUUUUCGGGUGAAGUUUUUUUUUUUGGGAAGCUUUGUGGUGAAGCUUUUUAGGUGAAGCUUUGUGGGUGAAGCUUUGGAGGUGAAGCUUUUGGGUGAAGCUUUUUGGGUGAAGCUUUUUAGGUGAAGCUUUGUGGUGAAGCUUUUUAGGUGAAGCUUUGUGGGUGAAGCUUUGGAGGUGAAGCUUUUCGGGUGAAGCUUUUUGGGUGAAGCUUUUUAGGUGAAGCUUUUUUGGGUGAAGCUUUGGAGGUGAAGCUUUUCGGGUGAAGCUUUUUGGAUGAAGCUUUUUUUUUUUUUUUUUUUUUUUUUUUUUUUUUUGGCGCUUGACACGGUCUUCAUUUGCUUGUUUUGUAGUGACUGUGGAAGACGGAUUGCUUUCUGAUUGAGAAGGGUUCCGGCAUCGCUUGCUAUGAAUGUAAAAGAGUGAGGGCUGAGUUGGCUAAAUUACCUCUUUAUUGAAUUCAUUGCCAAAUGGCCUUCAUUACAUAGGAUGCCGAACGGCUAUAGCUCAACACUUGUACAUCGUGAGUCUAUUUGUAGUAGUACUUCAAGUGAUCAGCGUUCCAUGGAUGGCCAAGGGUCUUGCCAUCGGAGCUUCUAAGUGUGUAAGAGCCAGGGCGACUGAUGCCAAUGACUUCAUACGGUCCAUCCCAGUUUGGACUAAGUGUGCCUUCACUCGGGACUCUGUCGCAGAGUAAUCUUUUCUUUAAGACCCAGUCUCCUAUUUUGAAAGAACGAGGCUUGACCCUAGAGUCAUAAUAGUUGGAGAUGCGCUGCUUGUAGGCGACAUUCCUCAAGUGAGCUUGGUUUCUGUGUUCCUCGACUAAAUCCAAGUUGAGGGUGAGUUGUUUGUCAUUUUCACUUUGAAUGUAGUUCUGGACUCGGAAUGUUGCUUGCUCGAGCUCAACAGGGACAACCGCCUCUGUGCCAAAGGCAAGUGAGAAUGGAGUUUCUCCUGUUGAAGUCCGAUAUGAAGUGCGAUAUGACCAAAGAACUUGGGGUACAAAUUCUGGCCAACAGCCUUUAGCUUUGUCCAAGCUGGUUUUCAAAGUGCGCUUGAUUAUUUUGUUGAUGGCCUCAACUUGUCCAUUAGACUGGGGAUGAGCUGGAGAGGCAAAGCAUAAGUUGAUGUUGAACUUAGAGCAGAACAACCUGAACUUCUUGUUGUCAAACUGUCGCCCAUUGUCAGUGACUAUCGCAUUGGGAAUGCCGAAUCUACAAAGGAUGUUCUUCCACACGAAGUCUUCUAUCUUUGCCUCAGUAAUGGUUGCCAAGGGUUCUACUUCGGCCCACUUUGUGAAGUAGUCCACUGCAACGACUGCGUAACAGACUUUGCCCUUCCCUGCCGGCAUUGGGCCGAUCAAAUCAAGUCCCCACUGGGCGAAGGGCCAAGGGCUGAUCAUAGGAGUAAGAGGCUCUGGAGGGGAAUGAGGAAUAGUUGCAUAUCGUUGACAUUUGUCACAUGAGCGGGAUACUUUGAUGGCAUCCUGGUGGAGUGUUGGCCAGUAAUAUCCUUGGCGAAAAGUCUUGUGUGCUAGGGACCGAGAUCCAGCAUGAUCUCCACAGACUCCCUCAUGUAUUUCCCGAAGGACGAUUUCCGCCUCGGCAGGCGUAAGACACCUUAAGUAUGGCAGGCUAAAACCUCGCUUAUAGAGUUGAUCAUUGAUGAUCAGGUAGCGGGUAGACUUGUAUCGAAUUUGCUUAGCCUGGACUUUAUCAUUUGGGAGGGUGCCAUGAGCAAGGAAAUUAUAGAUCGGGGUGAUCCAACUAUCCCCCUGUUGUAAGUUGCAUACUUCUGCGGCCAUGGUGCUUGGUGUUGCCAACAGUUCGACAUGAAUUUUUCUUCCAAUCUUGUCUUCCACAGCUGAGGCGAGGCGAGCCAGGGCGUCUGCAUGACUGUUUGCCGCUCGAGGAACUUGGGUGAUCUGGUAGUGGAAGUGCUUGAGCAAAAGUUGUGUUUGCGCAAGAUAUGCUGCCAUGGAGCUGUCCUUAGCAUCAAAGUUGUUGGUAACCUGGUUGACCACUAAUUGGGAGUCACUGAAAAUAUCAAUUUGUUUAACCCCGAGGUGUUUGGCCAAACGUAAUCCUGCUAGAAGGGCUUCAUACUCGGCCUCAUUGUUUGAUGCCUUGAAUUUGAAACGAAGAGCAUACUCCAUUGCUACUUUGUCGGGCGUAGUCAAGACUAGUCCCGCUCCACAGCCCUGUUGGUUGGAUGAGCCAUCAACAUACAGACUCCAUGCUGAGGUCGUUGAUUCUACUUUCUGAGCUUCCGAUGGUAAUGAAGCUACUGCUUCAGGUGUAGAAGCAAUGUCAACAGGAUAUGUGAAGUCGGCGAAUGAAAUCUGCUACUGCUUGGCCUUUUUCGGCUGGUUUUGGUUGGUAGGAGAUGUCAAACUCACCCAAUGCUAUCGCCCAUUUGAUCAUUCGCCCAGACGUGUCAGGACUUUGGAGUAUCUGUCGAAGAGGGUGAAUUGGUAAGCACGAUGAUGGCGUGUGCUUGGAAAUAAGGGCGAAGUUUCCGAGCAGACAUGACCAAUGCUAGAGCCAAUUUCUCAAUGUUGGAGUAGUACCGUGUCUCCGCAUCUUGUAAGGCCUUUGCUAGCGUAGUAGACAGGGCCGUUCGACACCAUUGUCCAUUUCGAAUGAGAACAGGAACUUACUGGCUGAAGCUGAUACCGAUAGGUAGAUAAUGAGAAUGUCUCCUACUUCGGGCUUUUGGAGAGUAGAGGGGCUUUACUCAUGUACUCUUUGAGGUUUUUGAAUGCCUCGGCACAUUCAUCAGUCCAUGUAAUGUACUUCCUACUUCCCUUAAGUGCUUUAAAAAAGGGAGCACAUUUGUCUGUGGCCUUAGAAAUGAACCUGGUUAAGGCUGCCACCUUGCCAGUAAGGCUCUGGAUGUCCUUUGAAGUUACCGGUUCCUUCAUGUCGAGGAUUGCUUUGAUCUUCUCAGGGAUUAGCUUCAAUGCCUCGUUGGCUAAUCAUGAAACCUAAGAAUUUGCCAGAGCCUACGCCGAAGGCACAUUUGUUGGGGUUUAACCUCAUUCGAUACCUCUUCAAAAUAGUGAAAGUUUCAGAUAGGUUGGUGAUGUGUUGGUCAGCAUGUUUGCUCUUGACUAACAUAUCAUCAACGUAAACUUCCAUGCUCUUCCCAAUCUGCUCGGCGAACAUUGAGUUGACUAGUCUCUGAUAAGUCGCUCCUGCAUUCUUUAGGCCGAAAGGCAUGACUUUAUAGCAGUAUAGUCCUCUGUCGGUAGUGAAGGCUGUGUGUUCUUGAUCCGAAGGGUUCAUGAGGAUUUGGUUGUAUCCUGAGUAAGCAUCCAUGAAGCUCAGGAGUUCACACCCGGCCGUAGAGUCUAUAAGUCUGUCAAUAAGAGGAAGAGGGAAGCUAUCUUUCGGACACCCUUUGUUUAGGUCGGUGUAGUCAACACACAUUCUCCACAAGACCUUUUGAAGCAAAAGACUUUCUUUGGUCGGAUUUUUCUUAACAAGGACCACAUUUGCUACCCAUGUCGGGUAAUUGACUUCGCGGACAAAGCCUAUGCCUUUGAGUUUUUCAACUUCUGCUUUCAUUGCCUCGUAUCGUUCAGCGUCAUAAGAUCUUCGCUUCUGUCUCACCGGCUUGAUCUUGGGGUCAAUACUCAAACGAUGACAGAUGACAUCGGGAGAGAUGCCUGGCAUGUCCUCGUAUGACCAGGCGAAGACUUCAGUGUUCUCUUUCAAAAAAGAUAUCAAUGCUAACCGAAGGGGUGGUGACAAUGUGGUGCCAAUCUUCACCAUGCGAUCUGGAUAAUCUCUUGAGAUAGGUACCUUCUCCAACUCUUCAGCAGGUUGGGCUUGCUGGGUGAAAGAGUCAUCUCGAGGAUCAUCGGGUUGAUUGUUGCUAUCAGGAAGAUCCAAGUUCGCUUCAUCUAGGCUGGUCUUUGUGACUUGGUCAUGUACAGACAGGGUUUCCUUGGGUCCGGGCAAGUGUUGUUGCUUAACUGAAGUGUUGUAACAUGAUCGUGCACUAAGCUGAUCUCCUCUGAUGUAGCCGUUGCCAUGGGGGGUUGGAAAUUUCAUCAACAGCAUAUGCGUGGAUACCAUAGCCUUGAGAUCAUUGAUGCCUGUGCGCCCAAAGAUGACAUUGUAUGCCGUUGGGCAGUCAACCACUAGGAAGUUAGUGGUAAUGGUAGCCGUGUAAGGGCCUGUACCAAUAGUAAAGGGUAAAUGUAUGCUCCCUAAGGGUUGCACGAUAUCACCGGAGAAGCUUAUCAGAGGAGAAAUCGAGCGAUCGAGCAAGUGUUCAGCUACACUGAGUGCCCUGAAAGCUUCGGCAAACAUGAUAUUGACCGAAGCCCCUGUGUCUACGAGGAUUCGUCGAACAUCAAAGUUGGCUAUGUGAGCCUCCACGAUCAAUGGGUCGUUAUGAGGGUAGAUGAUGCCUCUUUCUUCCUCAGGGUAGAAACAUAUCGGAUCCCAGUUAGGCUUUUGAUACUUCCCUCCCCUGAUGUCUUCCACGUGAAACACUUGGUGACCAGGCCUCAGAAUUCGUUCACUGUUUUUCAUGGCCCUAUUGGAAGAUUCAGAUAUGGGUGUGCCGCCGCUUAUGGAAUAUAUGACAUUCACCUGGCGUUGGUUACGGUUAUCCCUUUGAGGGUGAAGGAGGAAUUGAUCAAUUUUUCCUUCUCGUGCCAAAGCUUCAAUACGAUCACGGAGGAUGAUACAUUUCUCGCUAUCAUGGCCGUUAUGCUCAUGGUAGCAACAAAACAUGCCCGCGUUAUUCGGGGGCGUGUAAUCUGGGUGCCUCGGCUUUGGCUUUGGUAUCAGGUGAGCUAUGCUGGGGUAAAUGGCCGCGCAUGUGGCAUUCAAGGGCGUGUAUGUCUCAUACCUUGGGGUAGGGGGUAUCUUGACGCGGGUUUGACCCACUGCAUUGACUGCCUGGGGGCGAGCGUUAUUGUGGCGAUACCCUUGGUUAUCGGGAUAGUGUCCCUUACUCUUUUUACUGAAAUGAGAGUGGUGAGGAUGGAAAUCCUUCCUCUUGCCUUGAAAUUGAUAUGUCUGUUGAUUCGGCGAAGCAUUAUGCAAGGCAUGGGGAGGUGCCACUGCUGUUUGGAAAGUCGAGGUCUUCUCAUUUAGGUGAGUCUGGCUUCCACCUCCCACUUGUUGAUAAAGGAUGGUUGUAGGGGGUUUCUCCUGAUAUGUCUUUGCCUCGGCGGAGGCAUGGUUAUAAGCCUGCGCCAUCACCUCAGAGUAAGUCUUCCAAGUAUUGGCAUUGAUCAUGUAUUUAAAGAAACAAUCACGUAGGCCUGCCGUGAAGGCUUUGAGGGCAGUCUUGUCGUCUGCCUCGGCACACCGGGAGUAUUCAUGGCUGAAGCGGCCAGCAUACAUACGUAAUGACUCGUCUGGCUUCUGGCGGAUAGUGUACAGGUCAUCUGCAGAGUGCAAGCGAUCGGUUUGGAAAAUGUGUUGGGAAACAAAUAGUUUCCUCAAUUCCUCAAAUGAGUCUACCGUCUCAGGUGUAAGACGACAAUACCAAUUUAGAGCUCCGCCAGAGAGGGUGGAGGGGAAGAGAAGACAUCGCUCUUCGUCGGUGUGCAUCCGGUAUGCCAUGGUGGACUCAAAGAGGUUAAGGUGCUCAAUCGGGUCCUCUUUUCCAGUAUAAAGUUGCAAGCCAAGCUUUUGCUUUGUCUUUGCUUGAAGGGGGGUGUUGAGGAUCCUCCUUGUAAGAGGGCCAGGCCUGGGUUGGUUCCAGUCAGGUAUUUCAGCCUGACGUUCAGCCUUCAACUUGUUUACUUCCUCAAGAAGUUGUAGGACAAGGGGGUCCUGAGCGGAGUUAUGUGUCCACUGGAGCUUUCUUUCGUAAAUCUCCAUCUCCUCUUGGAAUUAGGAAGGUUUGAUCAAGGGCAUGUGAUUUUUCCCUGGACUCGUUGUACUGGCUUCCAGGGUAUGUCUGUCGGAACACCUCUGAGUCCCCUGUACCCUCAUGUCUCUCUAGGACUUGUUGCCCCUUCCCCAAAUUGGUGGCCGGCUCGGGCCGUGGCAGGGGACCGAGUCUCUCAGAAAUCCUUGGGUCAUUGAUCUUUGAGCUUAUAUGGAUGGAAUUCUCUCGACGUUGCUUCAGGAAAUCCCGACAAUCGCGAAAGACGGCUUUCGAUCCUUCUGCCCCUUCAGCAAAGAGGUGUCUCCCUCCACUUCUCAUGGUUCGGGUCGAAGCAACUGGGUUAAGAGAAGCCUCAUGUUGAUUAUCAAGUCGAGGGGUAAUCUGUUCCCUAUCAGGGAUAUCUAUGUCGAAUGCAUGUGACCCUCCAUGUUGGAGGGCACCCAGUUGAUGGUUGACUUCCACGGGGGCAACAAGCUCGCGUGUCUGAGCUUGCCUAGCUUCGUGGAGUGUCUCGAAGAGCUUCUCAUAUUGCUCCUGGAGGACCUCAUUCCUCAUUGCUAUCUUGUUGUUCUGAGCUUCCAACUCAUCGACUUUAGCUUGAAGAAGAACUCGUUUUCCUUCCUUCUUUCGUUGCUUUCGCACUAUGUGCAAGGGGGGUGUCAUUCUGUGUGCUGUGGCUUCCUUCGCUUCCCAUGUUGGAGAGGGAUGCCUGGUCAAAAGAAAGUGUACGAAUGAUAGAAACCAGCUUGACACAGCUGAAGAGAGUAGGAAUAAGUGUCGUUUCCCACAGACGGCGCCAAAUGUUGAUGCACAAAAUCAGCGAAGACUUUGGUACAACAGAAAGUGUCAGGUUUUGUGACCUUCGCUUGGUUGCUUCCGUCACUAGUGAGGAUAAGUACGUAAAUGAAUAGAGACAGAGAAGCAAACACAGGAUGUACGUGGUUCACCCAGAUUGGCUACGUCCACGGAGUAGAGGAGUUCUUAUUAGUAGUGAAGGGCUUACACAAGUACAAAGGAUCAAGCUCUCAAUUUAGUGAGUUCUUGUGAAUGAUUUAACACAAAAUGGCAUUAGGCAAUAUUGUGGGGGAAUGACCCCUAUUUAUAGAAAAACUUGUAGCUUUGUCACAUUGACAUGUGUCAUGUUAUGAUUGGUUCUUGAUGUCGACACGUGCUGCGCUCUGAUUGGCUUCUAAUCUUGACACGUGUCAAGUAGUGAUUGGCCUCCUGGUCGGAGGGGAACUCUUCUGGGUCCUUGACAGUAUAGCGUUGGCCGGUGCUCGGUAGUUUCGGGAUUGGUCAAGUAUGGUACAAACAAGCUGCAUAUUCAGUUUUUCGGAAACUAGCAAACUAAUUAGGUAGGGGAAUGUUAUAACGUCUAUUAUGGGGGAAUACAUCUCCUAGCAAUCAAUCCUUGGGCGCUGAGAGAAUGUAAUAGCCCACAUCGCCCAAGGGUGAGGAUCUUGUAAGCCUUAUAUGUAUAUUCUCAUCUCUACCUAGCACGAGGCAUUUUGAAAGCAAUACCAGGAUGGGCGACCCACUGAGAAGUUCUCGUGUGAUUUCCCAGAAACAAAACCGUGAGGGCGUGGUCAGGGCCCAAAGCGGACAAUAUCGUGCUACGGUGGAAUCGAGCCCGGGAUGUGGUCGGGGCCCGAGGGUUACCCAUCCUGGGAUUGCUCUCGCGCGAACCGCUUAACUUCGGAGUUCCGAUGGAACCCGAAGACAGUGAGUAGCGCGAGAGAGCAAUCCCAUGAUGGGUGACCCAUUGGGAAGUUCUGAUCACGUGAGUUCCCAAAAACAAAACUGUGAGGGAGUGGUCAGGGUCCAAAGCGGACAAUAUCGUGCUAUGACGGAGUCGAGCCCGAGUUAGGAUGUGACAGAGAAGCCUUGCGCUAUAAGGCGUGCUUUGUAUCGCACUAUUUCAUUCUUCUCAUUACGCUUCCUCACGAAAACCCACUUGUAGCCAAUGGGCUUCAUGCGUGGUGGUGUAGGAACGAUAAGUUUGACCUGGAUUGCUUGUUUCCAGGUUCUACGUUGGCAUUCAUCGACGGAACGUGGUUCAAUGUUUUCCUUUUUAGUCAUUAAAACCCACAAAACAAAAGAAAUAAUAUCAUUUUUAAAUAUCUGAAAGAAAUAAAAGUCACUAUAUACGUUGCCCAAUUGAUCUGUAUCGAAGAUACUCAACAAUGCAAUUAAUCAGAGAACAUGAUUUUAAGCCAGUAAUUACUAUAUCAUUAUUAUUUGAAAUUGAUUUUUGUUGUUGGCUUAAUUUACUAAAUCUUUAUAAAGGAUGGAGAGAAAGAGUGUGGAGGCAAUAGAGAGAAGAGAGAGAUGUGUAAUUGUGAGAUGUGUGUUAUGACACCUAUUGUGCCUUUAUUUAUAGUAGUAGGAAAGGUAAAUUCCUUACCCUAAUAGGAUUACAACACUAAUAUGAUAAUGUAUAGUCUAAGAGAUAUCCAAGAUAUGAUAGGAUUUACAUAAUGACUUUCAUAAUCUAAUAGGACUGCAACAAUUUUCAUUUUUUGGGUCAUUUUUGGGUCAUCCUUUUGAUUAUGGUGCAGUGUUUCUUUUCUUUAUAUUUUUCUUAUAACAAAAAAGGGACUCCUUUUUGCCCUCCAAUUUAAUUGUUAUUCAUUAUAAACGUAGUUUACAUUCCAAGUUAAUGUGACAUAUGUUAAUCUCUCACUUUUCCAUUUUUUUUCCAGUGUUCUAAAAAACGGCCUAGGCGGCCGCCUAGGCGCUGGGCGCCUAGCAACCGAGUUGUUUUUGGGCAAAUCGGGAGGAAAAAUCGGGUUGGGCCUAGGCGGGCUAGGCGGCGCCUAGGCGGGCUGGGCGGCUAGGCGGGUUAGGUGGGCUAGGCGGCCCUAGGCGGUCCUAGGCGGUCCUAGGUGGCCCUAGGCGGUCCUAGGAGGUUUUUUUUAUUUUUUAUUUUUUAUUAAUUGCGUGCUUUUUUCUUUUUUGGUUUCAUGGUGGUAUACUUAUGGAAAUGGUGUAUCUAAUUUGCAAAUGAUGAAUUUACUACAAGUUCAUCCAAUACUUAUGGAAAUAGUGUACCUAAUUUGCAUUUUAUCAUUAUUUUAUUAUCCAUACAAGUAUAGUUUUUUUUAGGUGUCAAUAUGCACUUAUUUACAAGAUAUACAAAAAUUUACCUAAAUCCGCCUAGGCCGCCUAGGCGCUAGCCCGCCGCCCGACUAGCGCCUAGCGUUUUUUAGAACCUUGUUUUUUUCUCAAGAUAAACACGAAACUAACGAUGAGCAUGUAUUACCUUAAUUGCCUCCUCCUAGUGCUCACCGCCUUGUUGUAUCUUUCCGUUGCUGCCACCUCGUAUGGAGUAGGAGGAUGAGAAGAGCACAAUUACCCUCCCAAGAACCGUUCUCUAAGGGGUGGGUACUUCUCUAUUGACAACUUGAGCGACCCACAUUUGAGGGAGAUCGUGGAGCUUGUUAUCUCCAUGUACAAUAAGAUUUAUGACAAAACACUGGUGUUGCAAAAGUUAGUUCGGGGACAUUUCUAAAUAGUGGAGGGAACCAAUUUCAAGCUUGUCAUUGCGGUUGUCAAUUCUUCUUCGAUCUAUGGUGGCCCCAUCAACUAUGAUGGCGUGUUUACCAAUUGGGAGUGGAAUGGAGAGAAAUGGAAUUGAAUUCCUCCCCAAGCAUUCUGCAGUUUACUAGCAACUGGGGAAUCAGAUUUUAUGUGGGGUCCAGCCAAUUUCAGGAUUUCAAUUUCGGAUUUCUCUGGAUUUGGAUUCCCUCUAUAGAGGUGGUAAUUGAAUUCUGGGUAGAGAGCUCCAUCACGAAUCAAAAUUUUCUACCCAAAAUACCCAUGUAUAUUCCUAAAACAACUUCUACCUUCAUCAAUCACUCUCCUCUGUAUUUGUUUCUCUCACAACUCAUACCACCCCUUUGUAAUCUGAAACGCAGUAACACAGAAUGACGAACGCCUGCGAUUUGGAACAACGAUCGACCGGGGUUUGAAACGACGACACAACGACGAACAUGAUCUGGAACAACGAACGCCCAAAUUCUCAAGGAAAUUGCGAUUUGUAGACUCAAACAAAAGAGAAGGAAAGAACUUUUAUCACUUUCACCCCUGAAAAUUGGAUUUUUUUUGUUGAUGGGAUGGGUCGUGGCUUCGUAGUUCCUCCUGAGAUUGGAUAGUGGGGUGUGGAUACUGCGUACUGGUGAAAGAAAAGGGCAAGAAAGGGGAAAGAAAAAGAAUGGGGAAAGAAAGGGGAAAGGGUUGCAGAAAAAGAAUGCGGAAAGAAAGGGAGAAGAGAGAAGGAAGUAAAAUGUUAUUUAGUUUACUUUAUGUAGGUAUUUCUAAUAGGAUUUAGGGUGAUUAAGGGUUAGAAGCAAAUAAAAAUUGAUUCUUUCAUAUCAAAUUUGAAGUAAUCUAUGCAAUUAGGAAAAUUUAAAAGUUAUAUAAAAGAAAAAAAAUUAUUCUCUUUAGUAAAAAAUUAAAAAAAAAAUAAAAGAAUAAAAGUUUUACUAAAAAUAAUUAGCAUAUAAAAUAAAUUAGUUAAAAUAGGGGCACUUUAGUAAUCACAUUAAUUAUCAUUCCGAUUCAUGUGAAUUAGUAAAUAGUUUGUAUACAUCAAUGUCAUUCCUACUCCGAUUCUAGACAAUUUUGGUAAACAAAUUCAACAGGAAUCUAAUUCUGAUUCCACCUCAUUCCAAUUCCUCCUCAAUCCAAUUCCUCUUAAUCUGAUUACGGAUUAGUAAACGUGCCCUGAGAUCAUUGUGUUCGAGAAUCUUUGGAAGACUAUUAGUAUUAAGGAACUGGAGUCCUUUGUUCGAAUUCAAACUAAUAAAAAUUAAAUCCCGUCCAUCUUAUUCAUGGUCUUUGGGGUCGUUUCUCACUUCUUUCUUAUAUGAUUUGGAGCAUAAGAAAUUAAGCAUCUGCUAAUAAUAUACAAGUUACUUUUACAUAACAUGUCAUAAGUUCGAUUUCUGACGUUGGUGAAUCACAAAAUGGUGGCCAGAGAAAGCCUGAAAUGCUUACAUAACUCUUUCCAGUUAAAAAAAAGAUGGAUUACUGUCAAAGCGACGAACUGAUCCUUUUUUUUUUUCUAAUAAUAAAAAAAACAACUCAAUUCAUCACUUUUCUCGACUUCUCCUUGAACCACUUUUUUAUAUUUUUUAUUUUUUAUCCAUAACAAACAAUAUUCUAUUUUUGUGAAAUAACCAACAAAUGAUAUAGAAAAGGGAGAAAUUAAAUUAAUCAACAAACACGAAUAUAAAAAGUAAUUUCAUUUUUUAUAAAGAUGUCUCCACACACAAAAAAAAGUGGGACUAAUCACCAUUCUGAGUAGAGUGGAACGGCUUGACUCUGCUACGUAGUGCCCUCAUAAAAAUUCCGUCAAAUAUAAAAAACGACACGUAGCUUUCUUUUUGUUCAGGGUGUUUUUAUCCAUAUAAUUUGGCGAAGCCUGUGACGGCGAAAAGAGGAGGAGGGACUGGAUUUUACAGUCGUAGACAACAUCAACUUCUUCUUCUUCCCCGGGUCGCCGCCGUACGUAAAGCACGACUCUCUCCUUAUAACUCGCCCCGCAGCCGUGACCUCUGCCGGGUAAGAGAUUUAUUGCCUCUUCUAUUUUUAAUUCCGCGUCGUUCUCUAAUUUAGGAAUUUGCGUAUUGAGGAUUUAGGGAUGUUGCCAUUACAAACAGAUGAAUUCGAAAAUUUCCAACUUGUUCAGUGAAUGGUUUUCAGCGAUUUUUCUCUGCUUGUUAAUUUUCAACUGUAAUCAAUUUGUAAUAGCUUCUGAAAAGUGAAAACAAAGUGAGAUUAGUAUUCACUGAAGAUUCAAAUGGACAACGAAACGAUGGAGUUCUGUCUCUGAAUAACUUCUUGCUCAGUGUAAAGUCUGUUGAUCGUUGAUGCUUUUGUUCUAACGAAAAGCGGGUGACCGGAAAAACCAAACAAUUAAAUGUGCAGAUUAAGGAAUUAACAGGUUCCAUAAAAUUGGGGAAAUCUCAUAUUAACAAAGGGCACCGUAUAAUUUUUAACCGAGGAAAAUUGGCUUAGAAUUUCAUCCCGCCACAUUUUCCAUUCCUGGGUCUCUGCCUGUUCUACAUUCUAACAUGCAGUUCCAAAUGUCACUGCUGGUUUAAUUUCUUUAGACGAUACUUUUCAUUUUUGCUGCUGCAGAAUAUUUUCGAAAUCAUUUUAAUUGAGCUUUUGGGAAGGCUUUGUUUGACAGAGCGGAAAGCGGACUGUUUGUCGUUGGCUUCAGUGUCAGCACUCUGGUUGAAGUCUUUAACAUGGUUAGCCUUAUUUUAAUCACAGUUAUAAUUUUGAUUGUUAUUUGUCUUCUCUGUCAAGUAUGGUUAAAUUUUCUUUCUGUUUUUAUUCUCAGGAAGUGUUCAGGACGGCCAUUUUGCAGCCUGGCCCACCUGAAAGGUUUGCCCUUCAGACAGUUCAACAAGUUAUACAACCUCAGGUAACAACCAUAGAUCCUUCAUGGUCAGGGUUCUUCUUAUUUAUAUUUUUUGCUUCCCAAAGAUUAAGUCCUGUGUAAAUGCAUGCUUAGCUAUUUAUGGCUUUGCUUCUCAAGACUGAAAUACAGUUGUGAUUUCAUUCUCUUUCUGUUUGCUACAUAUGGAUACACUUUUUUUGCUACCUUUGUCCUAUAAAGACUCCAAUUUCUAAUUUUCCAAUGAGUCCUUUACUUGAUUCUAGGCUUUAUCCUUGGUGUUCAGGGGAGCAUUGCUUUCUUCACAUAUAUCCUGAUUGUACAUUAAUCACAUAUUUAAAUCUUUAUUUUUUCCGAAUUUUGUUGUUUGGUCAAUAAAAAUUGGGCCAAUUGAUUUCAUUUCAUCAUGACAGAAACAAACAAAGUUAGUCCAAGAUGAGAAUCAAUUGUUAGAAAAUAUCCUUCGGACAUUGCUUCAGGAACUGGUGGUAUGUUUCUCUUUCUUGUAUUUGUGAACAGAAUAUUUUGAUUAUUUGAUUAUACUUCUGAAGUUUACUGCAUUUCUAGUUUUUUCUGCAUAUGUUAGCAUGGUGGUCAUCCACAGGAAAUUAAUGUUUGUGAUACGCUAAAAAAAGGCCUUAUGCUUAUUUGACGUCACAGUCAUGUAUUCUAUCUAAAUCUGAAGUAAAGUAGACCUUGUUAUAUACUUGAUUCCCCAUCAACCUGAACCCUCUUUACAUAUUUGACAUCAAUACAUAAUUCUCUCUCUUAUGCAUUUGGUUUUAUUUGUAAUUUUAUGUCACGUAACUUGAGAUUCUCACAGUCUUCUGCAGUACAGUCUGGGGAGCAGAUAAUGCAGUAUGGUCAAUCAAUUGAUGCUGGAGAAACUGCCCAAGGACAUAUUCCACGUCUUCUUGGUCUGUACAUGUUUCUGUUAAACUAUUGCAAGCACUUAGUUGUACGUAUCUAAUGUUCUUGACUUGCUUUUUAGAAGAAGCUUAUACACUUUCUAAUAUAAAAAUUCCUACGUGUUGUGUUGGUAUUUUGAUAUGUUUCUUGUGGUGCACUCAGCAUAAAUCUUUAAACUCUGAGAAUAAUUUAUACAUUGAUGUUUUUCUGAAAAGAAUUCGUAUUGCUAUUAAUUUUUGUGGUUUAUCUUUUGACAUUUAAAUCGCACCUAACUACUUUUUGACAAAAUUCAGAAUUGACUUCUCAAUUGUAGACCUGUAUAUCCUCUAAUGUAAACAAUAAGCUUUUUUAGGUCAGUUCUUUGCCUUACAAGAGCUACUCUAUGGAAAAUGGCUUGUUAUAUUGGUUUUAGUGAAGAAGAAAAUUGACGAGUCUUAUAGAAUGCAUCUCUCUCUUGCUCUAUCUCCACAUAUAUACUACUCUCUUCCUCUGCCUUAUACAGCUCCUUUUAUCUUCUGAUGCACCAGACGUUGUGUUGUAUCUUUGUGAGAAAGAGCAUGUCGAAGGUGGCAUGAUCUUUCAGCUGUUGGAAGACUUAACAGAAAUGUCAACUAUGAGAAAUUGCAAAGACGUUUUCGGUUAUAUUGAGAGUAAACAAGAUAUAUUAGGAAAGGUUUGUGCUUUUUAUAUGUCAAUGGAUUAUUUUUCCUUGUUUUGUUUUUUUAUUGUAAGUUUCCCAUUUUCCUUCUCUUUUACAUCCUGCUGUACUUUAUAUGGUUCUCCUCAUGCAGCCUGAGCUUUUUGCGCGAGGAAAACUUGUGAUGUUGAGAACAUGCAAUCAACUUCUUCGUCGUCUGUCAAAGGUGGUGUUACUAAUCAUAGUAGUCAUCAUUGCUUUUACAGCCAACUUUCAUUUUUGAAACUUUCCCCUCUAUUGUGAUAUUUGUUUGUAUUUCAAACACCAAAAAUUGGUAUGCCAUUCAGAAGUCACAUUUAAAGCUGGUUGUAUAAUGUUUAUAGAAAAUAACAGGUGCUCAGGUUAAUAUGUGUUGUACUUGUAAUUAUGUAAUGGUGGUUACAUAUUUGACAUCAUAGACUUGAGGAUGGGGCAUUGUAUAUUUGUGCUAGGGAGGUUCUCAUGUGUUUCUCACAUUGCUCCAUUGUGUUCCUCACAUUGCUUCACUGUGAUAAACAAAAUUUAAAAUGCGGUAUGCAAUCAUAUUGAUAUUGUUUUUCUCUCUUUUGAUUUAUGAACUAAUUUUUUGUUUUUUGAAAUUAAGUGUUUUAGCUAUUGUUGUACCACUUCAAGAAGUCCUUAUUUGAUGAAACUAUAUCCACUUCGAUGAUUAAAUUUUUCUUGAAAAACUUAUUGUUAUAGUCAUGUUGUGUACUAAUUUCUUUGAACCUGACUCAUAGGCAAAUGAUGUGGUAUUUUGUGGACGAAUUCUAAUGUUUUUGGCACACUUUUUCCCAUUAUCUGAGCGUUCAGGUACCUGUUUGUCUUCAACCCUUGUCUUCACUUGUAAUUUAAUUGCUCUCGACCCUGGUGUUCAGUUGGACUAUAUAUUCAUGUUGCUCUUAUGGUUACUGUGUGCAGCUGUUAAUAUAAAAGGAGUUUUUAACACAUCAAAUGAGACAAAAUAUGAGAAAGACCCCCCUGAUGGUACAUCCUUGCUAAUGACAGUUGCUUGAUUUCUCAAUGUUGAUGUCAACAUAUUAUUACACAUAUAUCUGUAUAUAUAUCUAGUGUGUAUAACUUUUUGGUGAGUAUAGAUCUCUUAAGCAUAUAUGUUAUCCGUUUUAUAAUUUUCAGGAAUUUCCAUCGAUUUCAACUUUUACAAAACCUUUUGGAGUUUACAGGUAAACUAUGCAACUUGGAAGCAAUACGGAGCUAGGCUUUUUAGUUAUGGUUUCCUCUUCUCCAUUUUGAUUUGAGUUUUGAGCUUAGGGAGUGUCUAUAUAUAAUGCUAAAAGGUUAUAUAGUUUGAAAUGUUGUUAAAUAUUCAUACUUUGUUUCUGUAAUUCUUCUUGUAAACUGAUAUCAGUGAUAUCAUUCAUUAUGCUAAAAACUUGUCUGGAUGGAUUUUCAGGAAAGCUUCUGUAACCCUCCUUCCUUAACUCUUGGUCCUACCAAGUGGAAGAAAUUUACAUCCGGUUUAAUGGUAAUAACAGUCUUCUGACAUCUUCGUUUUAUUUGUCUUUAUGGUAUGCCAGUUUCUCUUUAUUUUAUUAUUCACUCAAAUAUUCUUUUCUUGAAUGUCUUGUUAGGUUGUUUUGAAUACCUUUGAAGCUCAACCAUUAAGUGAUGAAGAGGGAGAUGCCAAUAACUUGGAGGAGGAAGCAACAAAUUUUAGCAUAAAAUAUCUUACAAGCAGUAAACUGAUGGGUUUGGAGGUUAGUAAUGCUGGAGUGUUGACUUAGAGUUUAAUUGUAGCAGACCAUUAUUUUGAUUAGGAAUCAAAUCCUUGAAUUUUGAUGUUUUCUGGUGAGCACAGUUGAAGGAUCCCAGUUUCCGACGUCACAUUCUUGUGCAGUGCCUCAUAUUGUUCGAUUAUCUGAAGGUAGAGUUGAACAGGUCUUAAUAUUGAUUUUGGGGAAAUAUCAUUUCACCUUCCUAAUCUCUGGGCUUGUUAUAAUGGCCCUUUUCAACUUUCUGAUUGAUCUAUUUUUCCCUAUAGUACUCUAAUAUGGUAAAAUUAACUCUUAUUUUCUUGUAGGCCCCGGGAAAAAGUGAAAAAGAUUUACCUUCUGAAAGCAUGGUCAGUGUUGUAGUUAUAUCUUGUUGACUUUUGUAACUUUCUUCCUUCUUCUUUUGCUUUCAUUAGAAAAGAAAACAACUUUCCUCAAGUGGUGCUAUCUUUAGAAAGAGAAUUUACCUCGGCGGUGCUGGUUAUAACAAAAGAUGUUGACAAAAAAAAAAAGGAAUAAAUUGAGAUGCCUUAGAUAUGUUAUGAUUUUGUUAGCCUUGUUUAUCUCCAAAGUUAGGAAUUUGGAACAACGGUGGAUUAGAGUACUACAAUCAAAUCUCACCUGUAACUUUAUAUCAAUGUUCUGUGCUUGUGUUCGCUUAUGAAUGCAGUAUUACUAUUAUCCCAGUCAUUUGCAUCAGUUUUGUUAUCGUUUCUUCUCAAAAAAAAAAUGCUAAUUUACUCAUGCAAUUCUAUAAGUUUAUUGUAUUCAAAAGCAACUGAUGGUCCCUGGGUAAUUGAGUUGUGCUUGGGACUUUAUCUUAUCUUUAUUAAGAUGCAAAUGGACACCGCUUACAUUUUCUUUAAGCAUGAAAAAUUAAUGAAUUUGUGUAGUAUACCUUUCAUUGUGAACUGGUGGAGAGGAUUUACUUUCAUUUGGACACAGUUAUAGCAAAAGGUUUUGUAUGAUGCUAUAAAGUCAGCUUUAGAAUAUCUGUGCAAUUUAUGAUGUCUGCUAAAGAUUUCCUUGUUGAUUUCAGAAAGAGGAAAUAAAAUCUUGUGAGGAGCGUGUCAAAAAGCUGCUUGAGAUGACUCCGCCCAAAGGGAAGGAAUUUCUUAAUAAAAUUGAGCAUAUAUUGGAACGUGAAAGGAAUUGGGUGAGUGUGUUAUCUGGCCUCAGCCAUGCUAUUCUCAGAAAAUGUUAUCGUUGUUCUUGAGCAUAAUAUGCAUUUAAUCUAUUCUUAGGUGUGGUGGAAAUGUGACGGUUGUCCCCCAUUUGAGAAGCAGCCAAUGGAGAAAAAGGUGAUCCAAGAAGGAGCCAAAAAGCGGUAUGCAAUUCAGUGGCCUGUUUGUCUGGGUCCUGCUAUUCCUUUUAAUGUGUUUUUUAAUAAGAAAAAAUUGAACAAUUUUAAUUUUUCCUUUUGUGUAAGGUCUACAUAAGAAUAACUGAAGCAGAUAGAAGUAAAUUCAUCCUUUGUUUUCUAGCCCUGCUGGGCAAUUCUACUUUAGUUAUUCAUGGCCUUGGGAGUAGGUUUAUCUUUUAUGUAUGUUUUAGAUCUCUUUAUUCUAAACAGUGAUGCAUAUUUUGACUUGUCGUUUUGAUGUUUCGAUUUUUUUUGUUUCUGAAGUUUUGGGUUACUGGUAUCGACACAGGUGUAUAUUGUUUAAACCUUUGAUGUGUAGUAUUAAAGACAUUUCUAUCAGAUCUCAACUUUAUCUCUGGAAAUACUAAAGACAUUGCUGUAGAAAACUUCUAUGGGAAUAUUAACAACUUCAGAGAUUCCAGUGAUACUACCAUUUUACAUAACAGAGCAAGAACUUGGAAAUUGGUCAAAAUUGCGGUGACAUCUUUGGAAAUAUUAAAGACAUUCCACUGGUCCUCAAUGAUAUUGUACGAAGGAAUAAGAUUUACACAUUUUUUUGGCAGAACCCUGCCACCCAUAUGCUGCCCUGAUACCAGCUGAAACUUCUGUACUCACUUUCACUAAGAAAAAAGGAAACAAAACUAGACUGUUUUUGAGAUGAGGUCUUCUGACCAAGUGCAGAUGUUUUGCCUUGUGGUGGAGAUUGUUUCCUCUUACUUGAAUAUACGAAAUGAUUUGGUUUGAGAGAAAGACAACCCUACCCUCAUAAUGGUAUUUAGGAUAUUUUAAAAUAAGCUACAAUCUAUGCAGAAAAAUAAACAAAUUCACAUGCUAGAUGAACUCAUGGAUUUUUGCUGGUAUAUAUACCCAUGCCUACAAAUUAAAAUUUUUGAAUUGUUCACCAACUUUUAUCAGCCUUCUGUUUGUUGUGACCUGUGAAGAUAUUUAAUAAAUUUGCAGUGCUCAUUAUAAUGAACUUUUUGGUUUUUUUUUUGUCCUAAAUUCAACAGUAGGCCGAGAUGGAGAAUGGGAAAUAAAGAACUAUCUCAGUUGUGGAAGUGGGCAGAUCAGAAUCCGGUAUGCUAGAUUGCUAUUUAUGACAAGAUUGUUGAAAUAAAUCUGGCUUCAAACAUGACAUUCACAAGGUUUUGAAUAUAUGCAAUUAUUUUUUGCAACCUCCAAUGUUUCACAAGCUUCGCUGAUUCUAUAAUUAAAUAUUGAGAAAAAGUUUGAUUUAUUUUCAAGAGUGGCGGUGAUCAUCACGAGGAAAUGUACACCCCCACACUCACACGGUAUAUAUAAAUAAUUAUAUUAUCAGCUGUUAACAGAAAAAAGUUAAUAGCAUCUUGCUGAUUCUUCAUGGUUCAUACCUACUGUCCUUUCUGAAUUAGUACUUAUAUACUCAUAGAAUAUCAGUUCAGUUCUUACUAUAAAGAAGACAAAGAUUACAGAUCAAGUUGUUGAGGAAGAAACAUGUAAAUAUGUAGCAAUAUGUUCCUUUCAGUAUUGUUGACCACAAAAUUAAUUUGAAAAUUUUGGUGUUAUAUUGUUUAAUAGUUAUUUUUUCCUUGUCUAGAAUGCUUUAACCGAUCCUCAACGUGUUCGAACACCUUCCAUCACUGGGUACUGGAAGCCCUUGGUUGAAGAUGUAAGUACUAUAUACUUCUGAAUGUCCAAACUAGCAUGUUGUGUGUGUGUACUCGCGCUCACUCUUGUCCCUUCUCAUGCUAUGGAUUUUUUAUGUUCUCAGUAACUGUUUAGUAAGAUGAAUUUCUUUGAGUUACAGAUGGAUCCAGCAGCUGGAAUAGAACCUGAGUAUCACCACAAAAAUAACCGAGUGAGUUUUCUUCUGGAAUUUUUGGUCAAAAUCAGAAGACAAUCAUACAGAUAAAAGUUGGGUUGCAUUUUGACUAGGGUUCAUUGUUAAUAUAGAGUGCUAUUUUAUUUAAUAUCUGUUCAACUGUUUCACCAUGUGAUUCAAUGUGCAUUACCUCUUGCUUUUGAAUAUUAGAAUUGUUGAAACUCAAACUAGUGUUCCACUUAAAAUUUGAUUUUGUUUUAUCCAAUAGUAAAAUUUCAACAUGCAGGUUUAUUGCUGGAAAGGUCUUCGAUUUUCAGCUAGACAAGACUUGGAAGGAUUUUCUCGAGUAUGAAUAUAACUAUGUUUGCAUAGUUAAUGUAUUAUUUCAUUUUUCACUGAGCUUUACACCACUUGUGUGGAUGUCAUUGCAGUUUACUGAACAUGGUAUUGAAGGAGUUGUACCGCUGGAACUUUUGUCUCCUGAGGAGCGGUCUAAAUACCAAGCUAAACCAAAUGACAGGUCUAAACGUGCUAAAAAGGAAGAAUCAAAAGGUGCUGCACAUCAAUUAGAAGAAAGUCAGGUAUAUAAUCGGCAGUGUGUUGAAUUUCUAGUGUUUUAUUGUUGACGUCUUUGAUUCCUGUAGAAAGUUGAAUAUGCAAAUGAGGAAAUAAUAUGAAUAAUGUGUAUGUGUUUGUGUGUGCGUGUAUAUUGCCGAUGAGAUUUAGAAAGAAACAUCUUUAUUAUUUAGACAUAACGUUACAUGGCUGCAUAACACUUGAUCUGUGCAAUGCAUCUUCAGCCUAAAGAUUGAAAAAAUGAGAUGAAAAAUGUUAUAAACUUUUGCCCCUUUAUUGUUGUAUAUUUCGUGUUCUUUUUUGUCUUGGGGUAUAGGUUGUUUUCAAAUUUGAGAUCAAGUAAAUGCAUGUGUACGUAUAUGGAAGUAUCAGCAUUACUUGUACCCCAAGAAUUUUGACAAUAUUUUUUUCCCUGAAGAAUGCUACACCUGCAAGUGAAUUAGACGGUGAAGCCUCAGGGACGCCAAUGGACACUGAUACCAUUGCUGCAGCCGGCAACAUGUCCCAAGGUGGAAGUCCAAUCCCUGAUGAACAUCAGAAGCAAAGCUCCGAUGCGGAUGUGGGUCAAGAGGGAGGUCAGUUGGAAGCAGAUGCCGAGGUCGAGGUUGAGGCAGGGAUGCUUGAUGGUGAGGACGCGGAGGCUGAUUUGGAUCCAGUUGGUUAGCCCGUUCAAAGUUGGGAGUUUGCAUAUGUAAGAAUGAAUAUUUGAUUGAAAGUAGAUGACAUGUUUGGAAAUCCUAGAUUAGCAACAAAAAUUCCGACUAAUUUUUGUAAUGAGAUUGUAUGUUCGCCGGCCAAUGAAUGAACCACUCGAGGUUCCGUUUCUUCCGUUAAAGGGGAUUCAUGGAAAAAAUGGAAUAUAAAGACGUGUUCCAAGAACAUCAUUGAUACGUUGCUUGCGAGUCCCUUGGGCGGUCGCAGUCAGCCAUGGGAAAAGUAAGCAAAUGAAGGCAAAUUAAAUGCCAUUCGGGUUGUUUGAUCUUCAAGCUACUUCCUACCGGGUUACAUAUCACACAAGGAUGCAUGUCUGCCACAAAUUUGACCUACAAAUCAAACCCCCCGUGACCUUUGUUCAUUAAAUGAUCUCUUCACGAGAUAUUUCUUUUCACUUGUAAGUGAGACGUCUUAGAUUUGAAUCUCGUAGAUGAUGAAUUCGAUACCAAAUUAAGUUACCCAUUAUGUGAUUUAACCGAACUUAUUUCUCUUUAGUGUAAAAUAUAUCGUUGUAUUCAAACAAAAAAAAUUAAUGAAAUGCAUAGCGAAGCUUGCGUAUUAUUUACACAAGUAUCAUUAGAUUCAACCCUACUACUUAUCAAUUACAAAUGAAGGAGAGAAAUAUCAACAAACAAUAGUAUUUAGUAACAAAGUUGUUAACAAGUUUAAGAAGAAAGCAACAAUAUCAAAGUGUCAAAGAUUUGUAACUCAGCUGAUUAAGAAUAUUUUUGUACCGACUUUUGAAUUAGUUUUUUUUACUGGUAUUUAUUAAUUGUGCAGUAAAAGUAAGACAAACAAAACUCGAGAUCUUGAACAUAAAAAAAAAAAAGGUUCGAUCGAAAAAAAUAAAAAAAAGGAGUAGGAAUCCGAGUGAGAAGAAACACACACUCUGACACCCACGACAAAACACAAAAUUCCUUCCUUUCUUCCAAAUUUCCAAUUCCAUUUUACAUUUUACAUUUUACAAAUUUACCGCACAAAAUCUAAAACCCUUUUCCCUUUCGGAUUUUCUUUCACCCAAAGCUUCACUCCACACCACCAGAUUCGUUGAUACCCCUCCGUCUGCUUUCUGUUUGUUUCCCGAGAAAGUUUUUCCAUGUUCAAUUUUUUAUUGUUCAGAUUUGGAUUAACUAAUGGCCCCUGCUUCCGAGGUUCGUUGACUUAACUUACGAUUUUCUCAAUCUUUGAUCUUUGAUAAUCUGGUGGUACAAUAGUUCAGAUCGUUUGAUUCGAAAUUUGACAUAUUUUUUUUUAUAUUAUUGAUUCAUUGUUUUAGCUCAAAAGGGUUGUCUUUGUUUUCUUGGUUAAUUGAAUUAUGAUUGUUGAUUGUUGAUUUUUGAGUAGGAAAAUCAUGGAGUUGAAAUUGGAUUUGGAAUGUGAUGUUUGAUUGGGGAAAGUGGAAUUCUUGUUGUGUGCUUGAUGAGCCAAGAUGCUGUUCAAAUCUAAGAUAAAAUGGGUUGCUCUCUUUGUCCUCAUUUUAUCUUUUGCAUCAUUGCUUCGGCACAUCUCUAUAGCAAGAUUUUCGACUGUCGAUUUAGUCCAGUAUAGCGCAUUGACCGCAUUCCAUAACGAUUUCGAUUCUAUCUCUGGGAGGCAGGUGAGAUUUUGAGUCAUUUCUCUGCCCAUCAUGCGUCUAUUUCGAGUGUAUGUUCUUGGUUGUCUUGAUGGGCUUCUUUUGUUUUUUACAAUCAUGCAGAGUGUUCCUAAUAAGAAGCUAUGGGGGCCUGUGAAGACCCUGCAGUCUUUUCAGCCUUAUGCCAACCCCCGAGGCAACUAUCCUGGUGAUCAUCUUGCUCUGUUUCUUGCAUUUGUGUAUUUUCUUAGUUUGUUCGUUUCUAGGUUUAUCAUAUUCUUGCAUGGUAUAGUUUAUGAAUUUGACAAUUUGAACCCAUUGGUGAAUCCAUUCCCUCGCAUGCAUGACCAUCUCGAAGCUAAUGGUAACUGUUAUCUUUGUUAUACUGAAUUUGAAUUGAGUUCCCUCAUUCUAUGUUCUUUUUUGUCACUGGAGGAUUUGAUAACCUUGAACCAUUCAUAUUUUAGUUGAUUGAAUACUUUUAUCUUUUUACAGUUCCAAAUGAACAGAGCAAUGGCUUCAUUUAUGCAAAAAUAUUUGGAGGAUUUGGAAAGAUAAGAUCUACGGUAAGAUUUGUCAAAUAUGUGAAAGUGAUUCUGUGAUAAUUUGUAUGUGGUGUUCAUAAAUCUUUGUUAAUUUUCUAGAUCUGUGAUCUGGUCACCAUAUCCAGGCUUUUAAAUGCUACUCUUGUCAUUCCAGACAUUCAAGAAAGUACUCGCUCAAAAGGCAUCAGGUUCUUUUUUAGUUUGCUACUUCUUUUAUGCCAGUUUGCUGCGAUCAUAUGAUUCAUUGCUUCUUAUCUCUUUUGUUUUUUAUGACUUUGCCAGCUCUCAUUUCAAGAGUUUUACAUAUCUCUACGAUGAGGUGCACUUUAUAGCAUCUCUAAAAAACGACAUAGUCAUUGUGAAGAGUCUGCCAGAUAAUCUGAAGGCAGCAAGGAAAAGAAAUGAAUUCCCUUCUUUUAGACCCAAGAAUUCAGCUUCUCCAAAUUUUUAUAUCAAAGAAGUCCUACCAAAGUUAAAGAAAACCAAAGUUAUCGGCUUGAUCAUUGCUGAUGGUGGAUGUCUGCGGGUAGCUGAUUUUCUACUAGUUUAAUAGUAUAGCCUAUUUCAAAAUGUCAUCUGCUUGAGAAAAUAUGCAUAUUCUGUUAACAUUUAUAACCACAUAUUGUCAUACUCUUUUUUGCACUAGAACUGUCACCUAUGAACCAUUGUCUAUGAAAAUAAAUAAAUGUUAUCUAAGAACCACUUAAACAUUCAUUCUCUGUCGCUUUCCUAUUGGUUGAUAGGGAUCAUUCAUUCGUAUAUGAUUAUGUUAGUAGUGAGUCUGUUUUGUUUCUUUUCACUUAGUGAUUUCUGUGUUACAAGCAUGCAUGCUUGACAAUUAAGUUUAAGUGUUGAUGCAAUAUAAUCCUAUUUUCAGUCAAUCCUUCCACCAAACAUGGCCGAGUUUCAAAGACUUAGAUGCAGGGUUGCCUUCCAUGCACUUCAAUUCAGGCCAGAAAUUCAAAUGCUUGGACACAAGAUGGUGGAGAGGUAUGAAUCUAGCAACGCACCUUUUUUCCUGAAGAUUUGAACCGAUAGAGUGAUAUUGGUGUUUAGAGAACUUGAUUAGUAUAGACUGCUCUUAGACCAUCUGAUGCAAGAUGUUUUUAAUUAAAUAGAUUUUAUUUGAAGGUUACGGUUGAGUUGGAAAGAUUAGGUAAUAGAUAGAGUUAACUGGAGGGAUAGAGUUAACCAGAAGGAUGGAGUCAACAGGAGGGGUCGAGUUAUGGAGUAAGGAAAUUUUAUCUUUGAAAGUCUUAGGUCUGGCUUUCUACAAAUUGGAUGGAAGUUUGUAUAAGGAAAAUGGAAACUAUAAGCCUAAUGGAUAUGCCUAGGUUUUCCAAGCAGUCAAAGUGAACACAUCCUCUUAAAGAGGUUCAAAGGCCACGUGAAGUUUCCUAUAAUAUCCGCUAGUGUGGUCAUAUUCUUCUAGGAAGGGGUGAGGUUUUGGUUUUUGCUUGGGGAUUGAUUCUAUCUCAUCAGAGUUUAGGGAUUAUUACUUUCGUAUAUAUUACUAGAUUAGAAGGCAGUUAUGUGAUUAUUUUGUGUCAUAGCUUUUAUUUAUGUAGCUUCUGUAGAUGAUGGAUCUUUAUUAGUUUCCUUUUUUUUUUUUUUUUUUUUUGAGAAGAAACGAUAACACUUUAUUAAAAUAAAAACAAGAAUUAAAAAAUAGUGCAUAAGAAAUCCACCAUAUAGCAAAGCUAGCUAAGACCUCUCAAAUAGAUCUGAUUACAAGUAACAAUACCUCAACCAAAAUCAUUUUACGUGGCUUCUGGUGGACCCCGUUCACUUCUUGUAAUAAUUUACUUCUAAGAACUAUUUUCCUUCAGUUGAUCAAUGUGGCUUUUAUACUCCAAUAGGUUACGUGCAUGGGGUCAACCUUUCCUAGCGUAUCAUCCUGGUUUAGUGAGAGAAACCUUGGCAUAUCAUGGCUGUGCUGAACUUUUUCAGGUAAGAUGUUUUAGCCAGUUUUAUCUUUGGUAGUUGUGAAAAUAUAAAUUGUUGAUCUACAUGCUUAGACUUUAUCAUAGUAUUAGAGUAAUAGAACCUAAGUUUGAACCACCUCCAAUUAUGAAAUUCCAAUAUUAAGUUGAGUUCCACACGUUGGUCCUUAGUGAUGGAAAGAGGUUCACAUGUGAUGGGUGUUACAACUUAACAUAAUUCUGUCCAACACAUACACACAGCUUAAACUUUCUGGUUACAAUCUUUUUCAUAUCUCUGCCUGUGAAGUCUAAGUUAGUGUUAAAACGAUUGUUCUCCUUUGUUCCUUGGUUAAAAUCUAAGUCCGAUAAAAAUUCAGUUUUGGAGUUCUCUCCCUCCUCUUGAGUACAGGUGGUUUCUACCUUAAACAACUGCAAAAUAUUAACAGCGUGUCCAUUCACUGUCAUGGUUAUCAAAGUUAUCUUGCUAACUUGCUACUUUUCUGUAGGAUGUUCACACUGAACUCAUACAAUAUCGAAGGAAACAAAUGAUUAAAAAGGGCAUUGUUCAUGAGGAACUAAGCAUAGAUUCACACUUGCGUAGAGAAAAUGGCUCAUGCCCGCUGAUGCCUGAAGAGGUAAGCUCAGUACUAAUUUGAGAUCCAGCUUAUGUAUUUGUAAAUUGUAAGUACUGUUGUGUGGCUUUUAGUCCAGCCUGAUGCUUCUUUCUCGUGGUUCAUUUUUUAUUGUUUUGAAAAUUUCACUUUUCAAUGCCAUAAGAAUGUCUAGAAGAUUAGUAGUGAACUUCAGUGCUGGUUGUGAAAUUAAGCUUCCUUGGCACUCACUCAACACUGAAUUGAUUUUAGCAGUUCAGAAAAAGCAGAACCUCAAGCAUCCUUCUAUCAAUUUCGCUUUUAAAUAUUAAAUAUUAACAUUACAAUGGGAGUGGAAUUUGUGUUUCCAAAAAUUUAUGCUCAAGUGAUAGGUUUAUUAAGUCAAGGAUGCAGACCAGAAUUGGCUUCGGUUACUAAAGAGUUUAAUAAUUGCUCUCUAUCUCAAAUACUGUGGGAUUUGUUAGCAGCAGUUAAGUGAGCUAGGUCUAGAAUUGGCUGAUGUAGCCAAAUCCUAUUGGGAUUUUCCUUUCUAAUUUGUUGGUGGACUUCUUAUCCACUUCUGUGUAUUUCUCUAUUCUUUAAUAAAAUUGUUUCUUCUCAAAAAAAAAAAAGGAUGCAGACCAGAAAAAACAGUAGAGGAUGGAAUGACGCUGAGAAUUUAGUUAAUCCAACACCAUCUAAUUCAUAAAAAUAACUUUCGUAUUUUAAUUACUUGAAAAUUUUAUUUUAAAGGAGAAAAUGAUGAAUAGACAUCGAAUAAGAGUAAGGACUGAUCCUUUCUAAAGGUAUCCACUCAAAAUAAGGAUAUGUGUCACUGUGAUUUCUACAUUACCUCCUUGACUGGCCCUAAUUGGGUCAUCACCUUGACCAAAAGCAUAAGAUAAAAAAGGGAGGGGAGGGUAGUAGAAGGAAAGAACCUGGGCUUGAAAACCCUGUAUAUUAUCUCAAGCUUGAGUUCUUAUUCCGGGGCUUGACUCAAGCAUGUUAAUACGUUUGUGAACAAGCUUGUGACUAAGAAUCAUGGUAUAAAUUUGAUCUUCUACUUAUUGUGUCAUUUUCCACUGUAUAAUUUCAGUUUUGGUGGUGCAUUGAUAACGUAUGGGCUCAUUGAUGAUAAUUAAUAAAUCAAUCUAUCUACAUUUCCGUUGUUCAUUAGCUCAUUUAUUCUUCUUGAGACUUUCCCAGGUUGGAAUUCUUCUUCGUUCAAUGGGGUUUUCUCCUAAAACAAUUAUAUAUCUGGCUGGUUCUGAAACAUUUGGGGGUCAACGUGUUCUGGUCCCUUUGCGUGCUAUGUUUCCCAAUUUAGUGGAUCGCACUUCCUUGUGCAGCAAUAAAGAAUUGGCUGAUAUACUUGGACCUGAAACACCUCUUCCGCAAAAUCCAUUUCAUCCACCUCCAGCAAAAAGCGAGGAACAACUUAAAGAAGAAUGGAAGAAGGCUGGUCCUAGGCCUCGGCCUCUUCCUCCACCUCCUGGUAGACCUAUCUAUCAACAUGAAAAAGAAGGCUGGUAUGGUUGGAUUACUGAGACUGACAUCGAACCAGACCUUUCUGCUUUGGAUCUGAGAAUGCAAGCACAUAGACUAAUUUGGGAUGCUCUUGAUUAUAUUGUCUCUGUGGAAGCAGACACAUUCUUUCCUGGUUUUAACAAUGAUGGCAGUGGAUGGCCAGAUUUUUCAAGCUUGGUCAUGGGACACCGUUUGUAUGAGGUUGCUUCUUCUAGAACAUACCGACCAGACAGGCAAGAGAAGAAAAAAAAAGAAUCUAAUUCGACCUUUUAUAUAUGAUUGAUGAUCUUGUUUAACUUUGUGUGUCCUCUUUUCGAACAGGAAAGUUGUAGCACAACUUUUCAACAUGACGAGGGACAAUGUCUACCAUCCCAAGCAUAAUUGGACACUCUCAGUGCAGGAACAUCUUAAGAAAAGCUUAAGUGAGGAAGGCCUUACAAGGCAAUCCGUUGUGUCAAAGCCAGCCUUGUUUAUUUCACACCCACUCCCCGAAUGCUCUUGUAGAAUGUCUUCUGCCGAUGCUCCAGUUCAUGUAAAAGGUAAUGAUGGCCGAACUGUAUAUGGAGGCGAAGAAGAGUGCCCGAAGUGGAUGAAGCAUGGUCAAGAAGUUCCUUUGGAUUCAGCUGGGGAAGAGGGAGUGGAGGACAAUGAAUUGUCCCAGUACGGAAGUACUCUGGACGAACAACCAGAAUCAAAUGACAGUGACAGAACUAAUGCUACUCUCUACUCUGAUCAGGACGAGGAAAUGGACCCGAAUGACUAAAGUUGGAUCUGCAUACGAUCCAGUUCCCAUCUUUUUACUAUACUGCGGCAUUCAGUUUCCAUCGUUUUCUACCAAAAUGGAAAGUUUUGGAGGUAGAGAUGACAUUAACUUCACACAAGACGAGGAUCGAGGACAAAUCGAUGCGCUUGGAGUAAGCCAAUCAGAGUUUGUACACCGUUUUACUGAUAUAAGGUUUAUAUUCAUAGAAAAAGUUAUUACUUGUUAGAUAAGCCACAUGUAAUUUUCUUGUAGAGAACAAAUGACGAGUACAGGAAAUGAUUCAUUGCGGUCUCUCAGAUAAUUUUUUGUCGAUACAUUUCAUUUCGAAAACUGUUCGCUUUCCGUUUUUUAAUCAUGCACUUGCUCGUUUGUUGGCCAGAAUUCGAGCAAAAUUUAGCGGAUUAAAACACAUGUAGCUCACACUGCCUCCUAUUUGUUCAAAUUUUGAACUACAAUGUUAGAGCUCGUUUGGAUGUGCUUUUAAAAUGAUUGAAAGCGCUUUUGAUGAAAAUGUUUUUAGAACCAAUCUUUAGUAAAAAUACAAGUGAAUUCUGAAAAACAUUUAAAGUGCUUCUUAGAAGAAGUACAUAAUUGGUGCUUCUUGCAGAAAGCACUUCAAGUGCUUUUAAAACCUAAAACAAUUUUAUCUAAAAGCACUUUCAAUCAUUUUAAAAGCACAUCCAAACGAACCCUUAUGUAGGAGAGGCUCCUCGCUGGUGCACAGAGGUCCAUUUAGAAAAUUUACUUCGCGGGAGAAAUAUGCAAACAAUCGAGGCAUAUGCCACCACCGCUCAGAGCAAUUUGUGGCUCUCUGUAUGUCACUUUCUUUAAAACUCAAAAGGGCAAAACUACUUAACCCGGAAAAAAUAUAUAGCCUCAUCAGCUCCAAAUCUAAAGCUAGUUAGAUCGAAAAGAAGGAAAUUCAGGCGGCAGCUGCAUGCUUUCUCAGAAGAAAACAAGUCUUGAAUACAGAGAAAAUAUCACAUGCAUACAACUGUAAUUUGUAAUUUCAUAUAAAAAGUUAUACAGCCUCUUUGUUUACAAGCAAAACAAAAUUUCAAGUAAUUUACAUCCUACCGAAACCUCCCAUCAUAGUCCUGUAAGUUGAUACACAUACCAACCCACUCCAGCUUACUGGGUUUCCUCUGGUACAUAUUCCGCUGCCCUAACACCCACCGAAAUGUGAGGUGUCCACACAAAACAUCAGUUUACACAUGGAUCACUUCUAAAUUGCACAACAUAAGAAAACCACACUAACAGAUUACGUUUAUUCGUUACCAGGAACACUUUAUUCAAGUAAUAUCAAACACGAAGUAUUGACCAUAGUAUAGAGAGGUGAAAUGCGCUACCAAAGAUUGCUAUGCUGCUGCUUCUGUGGGCUUCUCAGCAACAGUGGGGCUUGCACUUUCGGCUUCUUUUAUCUGCCUCAUGAUGUCUGACUUUGUCUCAAGUAGGCCUUCUAUUUUGCCAUUGAUCUUCUCUAGCUUCUGUUUCAGCUUUACAACAUCACUGCCUUUGUCCUUUUUAUCGACUUUCCUUUUCUUCUCGCCCUUCUCCCCCUUCUCCCCCUUCACCUUUUUCUCUUUAUCUUUCUUCUCUUUACCCUCCUUUCCUUCAUCUUUCUGCGUCUCCUCCUCUACUUCACACUUUGAUUCCUUUACAUUUUCUUGAGUGUCAAUCUCCCUGGAAGUAACUUCAGCCUUGACCUCCUCCUCAUCCUCUUCAUUUUUGUGUUUCUUCUUUUUGUCCUCCUUGUCUUUCUUCUUCUUUCCUUCUUUUUUGUCAUCUUUUUGCUCAUCGCUCUUCUUCUCUUUUUCAUCAUCACCGUAUUUGUGUUUCUUCUUUUUAUCAUCCUUGUCUUUCUUCUUCUCCCCUUCUUUUUUAUUGCCGUCACCUUUUACUUCAUCACUCUUCUCCUUUUCGCCAUCACCACCCUUGUGUUUCUUCUUUUUAUCGUCUUUCUUCUUCUCCCCUUCUUUUUUAUCAUCGUCACCUUUUACCUCAUCACUCUUCUUCUCUGUUUCAUCAUCACCGCCCUUGUGUUUCUUCUUUUUAUCGUCCUUUCCUUCAUCCUUACGCGUCUCCUCUGCUUCACCCUUUGAUUCCUUUACAUUAUCUUCAAUGUCAAUCUCCCUGGAAGUAACUUCAGCCUUGACCUCCUCCUCAUCCUCUUCAUUUUUGUGUUUCUUCUUUUUGUCCUCCUUGUCUUUCUUCUUCUUUCCUUCUUUUUUGUCAUCUUUUUGUUCAUCGCUCUUCUUCUCUUUUUCAUCACCACCAUCCUUGUGUUUCUUCUUUUUAUCAUCCUUCUCCUUCUUCUCCCCUUCUUUUUUAUCGUAGUCACCUUUUACCUCAUCGCUCUUCUUCUCUUUUUCAUCAUCGCCCUUGUGUUUCUUCUUUUUCUCAUCCUCGUCUUUCUUCUUCUUUCCUUUUUUCUUAUCAUCACCGUCGUUUUCCUCAUCCUUGUCUUUCUUCUCCUUCUUCUUCCCUUCUUUUUCAUCAUCCACCUUUUCCCCUUCCUCUAAAUCUUUACCUUUGUCCUUCUUAUCCUUCUUCUUUUUCUCUUUUUCUCCCCCUUCUAUAUCAUCUUCUUUAUCUUCGUUCUUCUCCUUGUUCUUUUUCUUCUUCUCUUCCUUGUCCUCCUUUUUAUCUUCUUCACUCUCUCCCGCUUCAUUAUCCUUCUCUUUCUUCUUUUCCUUCUUCGUUAUGUCUUUAUCCUUCUUCUUCGAUUUCUCCUCGUCUGCAUCCUUAUGUUUAUCCUCAUCCUUUUCAUGUUUCGACUUUUCUUUUACCACUGACUUGGUCUUAGAUUCAAGUUCCACUUCAGUCUUCUCCUCCUUCAGGUCGCCUGGUUCUACAUCCUUGGUCUUCAUCACCAUAAACCGUUCUUCCUUUUGAACCUUUUCAAUUUCUUCUCGUUUAUAUUCAGUUUUGUCUUCCAUCUACAGACUAUCUGCCAAAACUCGAAACGCAAAACAGUUUCCUCCGAACCUGAGAUCCCUAAAACAAAUCAACCGUGCGAUCAGUAAUCCGGAAAACAAAUUCAGUAGAUUAAAAAAAAAAAAAAAAAGAAAAAAAGAAGAAGCUGAACUUGGUGAUGUACAAAACGAAGUAACUAAAAAAAAGUAUAAAUCCCUUCUGCUUGCUAAUACUCGGCACAUUGCAGAGACCAUGCUUACUUUCAGUUCACCAUCACAAAACACAGAGUACAGAUCCGGGACAAGGUUAUGCAUAUCUUUGGCGGCAAGCAACAGUCGAUAAAGGGCGAAAGAGUGUUCCAAAAGAAUCUAGCUCUAGUUAACAAUUUGUUGUCAUUUUUCGAAAUACACAGCCGAUACACACAGGGCUUAAGAUUUCCCCAAACUUGCAAAGGUUCGGAGGAUGGAACACAAACUCUGAGUUCCCUAAUUUUAGCCACUUUAAUCGACCCCUACUUUGUCCUACACUUAAUGGAAAACCUAUCACUUUCAUCCAACAGAGAGAUUUCCAUAUAAACAGUCAGGAUUCUCAAGACACGAACACGAUUCUGUUGUAAGGGAAAGGACAGCAUAUCAAAUCGAUUUCUGAACGGUGAUUUGAGCACAAUUCGAUAACGUUUUUCUCCAAAUUCCCACAAAGUAAUUAAAUUGAUACAAUUGAACGCAAAUGAGUAAAUAAAGCAACAAUGUUGUCCUCAAGAAAAUGCGAAAGCAGUACACAAAUCAACACAAUAACAUCAAAUAAAAGCAACAAGAAAGAAUCACAAUUUCAUAACACGCAUUCACGAUCGAUCACAAAAACUACACGUUUACUAAUCCGUAACCGGAAUUGAUUGGAGUAACGAAUCGUCAGUACCUCAAGGAAGCUCUGGUUUGACUGCCUCCUUCUUCAGUAACUUGAGAGAGGAAGAGAGAGAGAGAGAGAGAGAGAGAGCUUUGGAUUCCUUUGCAAAUUGUGUUAGCUUCGAAUCGAGUCGAUGUGCAAAUUGACCGAUAUAUAAACAUAAUUGGAAAUACGGAAAGCUGUUGGGCAUUGGAUUGAUUGUGCCACGGGCGGCCACCUGUCGGUAUUUUCGUCAACACGCAAAGGACCGACACCUUCUUGAUUCUUCCGCGUAGUGUGCGUACCCAAUACGUGGCGUUUUGUUUUGUGUGUUUUCUCCGAAACUCCAACGUCGACGACUUGGAUCAGAAAAUUUACUUAGCUCUUAAGUCUUCUUCCAAGUCUGAACCCCUCACCCCUCCCUACCUUCCGGUCACUUUCACAUCGCAACCUCCCUCCUUGUUCCAAUAGUAUUUUUUGGUCUGUAUUUUUAGGGUGCCAAACUUUUAAUCAAUUUUGUACUUUCCUUCUUGCCCUUCGUUAAGAGAACAUUUUUUGAAUCACGUUGUACGAUUUGCACGUUUUAAAUGUAUUUAUAUGCGUAAAUUAACAAAAAGAAAGUCAAAUAGUUGAAGUAAAUGAAUAAUUUGUCUCUAUUGAAUUUACAUUAAGAAUAGAGAAAAUAAUAUUUAAUAAACAACUUAUUGAAUCACAUUAUUGCUAGCUCAUUGUAAGACUAAGCUCACUCCCUCCCCCUUAGUGUAGAUAAUAUCGUUUGUUCGAAAGAAAAAAAAAACAAUCAUUUGACAACUAAUUUAAUCACAUUAUUGCUAGCUCAUUGUAAGACUAAGCUCACUCCCUCCCCCUUAGUGUAGAUAAUAUCGUUUGUUCGAAAGAAAAAAAAAAACAAUCAUUUGACAACUAAUUUAAUCAUAUUAUUAUGUGCGUGCGAAAAACAUUUUUUAUAACCAGUAUUACAUGCCUCUUAAGAUGUUUUGAAGGUGUUUAAAAAUUGAAAAAAAAAUAUUUAAUGAACAACUUGUUGAAACACAUUAUUACUAGCCUAUUGUGAGGUACUAAUUAUAAAAUAAAAAAAAUAAUGUACAAAAAAAAUAAUUAUUAAAAAAAUACUUUUAAAAUGACAAAAAUACUCCUAUCAUAUUUGAUGCAUUAUUUUUGGCUGCUUUGUUUGAGCAGCAUUUCUGUCCACUUAUUUUUUUGUGAAGCUUGUGACCUCAAAAGGAGUUGUUGUUGGCUUUAUAUAUAAAGAUAAGCGAAUUAAAAACAAAAUAAAAUUAUAAAUUUUGGAUGUUGAUCGAGUGAACUUCUUUCACCGUCCAGUAUUAUUUUUUGAAGAACCAUGAUUGAAUUUUUUUUUUUCUCUACAUAACCAUAGUCCAAGAUUUGAGGUUGAAUGCACAAGGAUAGGUGCAAUCGGACUGAACCUUAGUCAAUGAUUCAUGUCCUUUUUAUCAAGAAUUUUUAACAUUCAUUAUGAACUUGUAAGUUUCGAUGAUGCAUAAUAAACUUAAAAGUUAAGUUAUCCAAAUUGGGUUUGAUAAGGAACAAUUUGAAUGUUUAUAGGUGUACUAAUAGAUUUUUAACCUUCUAAAAAAACUAUCAAAGAAGAAACUAAAUAAUGUGAAUUUAGAAAACAAUUGAGCGUAAUUGAAGGCACCUUAGUUUAAUAUAAAUGUACUUGUGGAACCUCGUAGGUCCACCGCCAUGACCGACAUAACACAUGCUACAUAGUUUUUCAAUGGCUGUCGUGUAAUGUAAGUAGAGAAAAACAGCCGAAAUCAAAAGGCCACUUUCGUCAUUUAAAAAUAGAAAGUGCCACUUCUUUCUCUUUCAAAUUGCCUAGGUUAAGGUCAUUUCGUACUAAUAGUAUUUUUCUUUAUUUUUGUUUGUAAGUGAUAAAUUUUAAGUUUAAUUUUCUUAAAAAAUAAAUUUGUACUGUAUUAUUGCUAGUUAUUGUAAAGUUUAAUCCACUUCUUUACGAGAAGAAAUUUUUAGUUGUGAUGAGAAUAGAAGUGGUACACCACGUGUUUUAAUAGGAGUGAUAGAAAAUUUUAUUUUUUAAUUUAUUAACAUUUUAGCAUAUAUAUCUCAAUAUUUAUAUAGUGAUAAAUGAUGUACCACUUAAUGUACUGAUUACACUGAAAAAUCUAUCAUUCAAGUUGAUAAUAUCAUUUUUUGAAAAUUCCCACAUUGAGUAACAAAUCAAUAAUAAUUUAAAAAUAAAAAAGUAACAAACGAAUUUACUGAAAACAAAGUGAGAAAUUUAAAACAGAAAAGAAAAUCACGUUCUGUCUCUGAUCUGUCUCUCUCCCCUCAGCUGCAACAUCUCCAGCGCAAAAAGCAUCGUCUUUCUUUCUUUCUUUCUUUCCUUCCCUUUCUUUUGGUUUCGCUCUCCCUCUCCUCUGGAAACCCUAACAGUGGCCUGGUUUUUUCAAUUAACCAGGUCCCUCACAGGGAAAAAACCUUCAAUUUGUUUUUCUUAAAUUUUUAGUUUUUGUUAAAUUUCUUCGCAAGCUGUAGUUUUUCUUUGUUGCAUUUGUCAGCUGCCCUCGACAAUGAACGACCUGCUAACGGUAAUGUAUUUGAUUUUCUUUCAUUAAUUUAUGCCAUGGUUUGUAUGUUUGGGCAUGUUUGGAGGUUUUGAUGCUCUGUUUUUGUCAUGAUCCGGCUGCGUUUGAUGUUAUUGGAUCUGCUUUUUUAAUGAUUUUUUUUGAAUUUUUGGCUUAUGGGGUUUUGGUUUUCUUUACUUUCUGUUUGGUUAGUGAGAAAAAGGAGGGAAAUUGAUGGAAGAAUUGAAAGUUUUUGAAUCAUGGGAUUUUGCAUUGUGCUUUAGGGAAUGGAAGUGGUGGGUUUUACUUUGUAGAUCCACAAAAUCAAUGUGGACUUUGGUACAACAGAAAGUGUUAAGUUUGUGAUAUUCGCUAGAUUGCUUCGGUUAGUGUGGAUAAUUAUGUAAAUGGAUAGAGAUAGGGAAAUAAACAUAAGAUGUACGUGGUUCACCCAGAUUGGUUACGUCGUGGAGUUCUCAUUAAUUGUGAAGGAUUUACCCUUAGGAUCAAGCUGUGAGUACUAGUGAAUGAUUUAGGACAAAUGACAUUAGGAAAUAUUGUAGAAGAAUGAUAUCCUUUUAUAGAAGAGAGUUUCUAGCUUUGUUCUGAUAUUGACACGUGUUGUGUUGUAAUUAGCUUCUGAUGUCGACACGUGUCGCACUGUGAUUGACCUUCUAGUUGGAGGGAAACUGGUCCUUGAUGGUAUAAUGUUGAUCGGUGCUUGGUAGUUUUGGAAUUGAUCAAGUAUGGUACAAACAUACUUCAUUGCAGCUCAAUCAACACGAGCUACUGCAGCUUUCGAACAGUUUGGUGUUACCCUAAACUGAGAAAAUUGAACAAUUUGGUUUCUUUUCCUUUUAUUUUCCUGUGUUGUUUUUGGUUUCUCAGCUUUUGAACAGAGUUCAUCGGCAUUGGUGUUUGAAUCACUUAAGAUCUUUAUAAACGAAACUUGUUUUAAUUUGUGAGAAGUACUUCCCUUUUUCUCAUUUUUGGAAUUGAAAUGAUUAACGAUAAGGACAAUGAUGGAAGUUGCAAAGCAAGUAUUGUACUUUUACAUAAUGCAGAACUGCUGAAUAACACUUGACAUAUACCCAAGCCAUUUAAUCUGCGAUUGAGGCUCGGUUUUCCUUUCUAUGUUUGGUGUUUGCUUGUAUAUAUUAAUUAUAUACCAAAAUGUGUUCUUAGAAAUUUAGUAGUGUCUUGUCGUUACGAAAGUUCGAGUCAUAGUUAUCGUGCCUUUUCUUUCCUUUUAUCUUUCUUUCCUAAACCCCAUUGAACUCAAGCAAUCGGAUUUGGGAUUAAGGUUUUGUUCAAGUACAUUUAUGACCUAAUUACUGCUUGCAGGAUUCUUUUGAGAUCCCUCGGGGUCAAGCUUCGAGAGAUCAGGAUAUUGAACUAGGAGCACAUGCUUCAAUGAAUUCUGGAGAACUUGGUUUGGAGAAUUUCUUCAAAAAGGUGCUUUAGCUUCCUUGACUUAUUUUUCUUUAAUAUCCCUUAAAUGCAUGAAACGCAAUUAUUUCUCUUUCCGUUACUUUUUCCAUAGAUAAUUAUUCUGUACAUGGAGUAUGUGUUAUGUUUACUUUCUGUUGAUUCUGUCUAAUGCUUUCAUGAUUUUUGUCUCCAGGUUCAAGAGAUCGAGAAGCAAAAUGAGAAGCUUGAUAAGCUUUUGAAAAAGCUCCAGGUAUUAUGCUUUCCAAUAUGUUUUCCUUACCUUACCAGCAACAUGAAGGUUUUUUUGUUAGCCUCAGCUGUCAUAGUUCCUAAUUGGUUGGGUUCUCUUGUCUAAAAUGUAUAGACUUACUACUCUUAACUUGGUCUAAUUUCAUGUUGUGCUGAUGACAUCAGCCGUUAAACUUAAUUGAGAGUGAAUUUACUUAUCCAAGAAGCUCAAAGAUUUGAGUCCUGUUUUGGUUUGAUAAUGUUGUCGUCUUUGUAAUUGCAUGCAUGAUGCCAAUAUGUGGUGAUAUCAUUAACGGAUUUCUAGUUACACAUCGUUUCAUCAAAUUGGGAAUUUAGUGAUAAGGUUAUGAACAAGUAUAACUGUAACUAAACCGAACAUAUAAACGUCAUACUGCAGUGUAGGUAACAUAGAAUUGUGUAGCAACUGGACUGAGUAUUGUUUAUUUGCAAAAUAAUGCAUCAUCCAGAUUGGUAAAUUUACUGUGUUUGUACCCACUAAUUUAAAUAUUGUGAAACUGUUAUUUUGGAAAAUUCCUGUGUUUACAUUUUUGUGCCUUAUGCAAUAGCUUAAAAAAAUUAGAGAGCAUUAUAGUUGUAAUGAUUCUUUGAGAUAUAAAAAAUAAAAAAUUAAAUGCACUUUUUUUUAUCACUUUUAAUCGCUUUUGUCUGCAGGGUGCACAUGAGGAGUCCAAGGCUAUUACUAAGGCUCCUUCAAUGAAAUGUAAUCUCAAACUUGUUUAAUUAAUUUGAUAAUCACGUGAAUCUUUCAUGCUUAUAUUCGUAUUUUUCUUUUAUGUUAUGUAUGCUUGUUCCUUUCAUAGUUCUGUAAUGAUGUCUAUGGAUUAAAAUGAAGGGAGGAAACGAUAUGCAUGCAGGACAGGAGAUGUCAGAAAUUAUUCUAGCGUGUUUUCUCAUAAUUUUUGAAAAAGAACGCCUGUAAUCAGUUUACCUCUGCUGGUGUUCUUUCUUCUGUUUGCAUCCAUCAACUUAUUUUUUCCUUCCUCAUUAACCCAACAAAGAUGAUGGAUCCUUUCACCAUGUGCAGCAAUCAAGCAACGGAUGGAAAAAGAUGUCGAUGAAGUUGGAAAAGUUGCUCGUUGGAUAAAGUCAAAAAUUGAAGAACUUGACAAAGAGGUAAAACCUGACUCAACAGAAAGCUUGGUUUUAUUUCUGUGGUUCACUGUAAUUUUGCUUGUCGGACUAACCUUUCCUUCUGGGUCCAGAAUUUAGCAAAUAGACAGAAGGCUGGUUGCGGAAAAGGAACAGGUGUAGAUAGAUCCCGAACAGCAACAACCCUGUAAGUUCGUAUUUCAACAAUUUCCUUUGAAAUGCCUCAUGCCUAUUUCCCCUCAUUUCCUUUUGGUAUCUCCUAAGUUGUGGGAUCACCAAUGAUUUUCCCUCACACAUGCUUUGUUUGAGAAAUCUUUUAUUAAUUUGUCAACUCAACUGAAUCCAACAUUGUCAAGUGUCCACUGUUAUCUAUUGUUGCAGUGCCUUGAAAAAGAAAUUAAAGGACAAGAUGGCUGAAUUUCAGGUAGGCCACACGCACCCACACAUGCAUUUUGUUUUAAUGUCUGUUUCUUUAUUUCUUUCAUCACUAAAUUUUUUAACUUCCAAAAUAUGCAGACUCUAAGGGAAACCAUCCAUCAAGAGUAUCGUGAUGUUGUCGAGAGGCGAGUUUUUACAGGUUUGAACCCCUCACUUGCCACUCAUGAAUCGCUGCUAUUUUUAGAACAUCUACUUGAUUUUCCAUGAUCUGAUUUUCUAUUUUAUUUUUCUUGCUUUUUGUUAUCGUUAGUGACGGGCGCAAGAGCUGAUGAAGAGGUAAAGCUUAUUGCACUGUUGAAAUAUGGUAUAUCUAUACCAUUGUGAAAGCUCAUUUUCUAAUCAUUUAACAUUGUACAGACAAUUGAAAGAUUAAUCGAGACAGGGGACAGUGAACAAAUUUUCCAAAAGGCAAUCCAGGAACAAGGGCGAGGCCAGGUUUGUCAAUUUCCCCUUUUUAUUCUAUGCCCCCGAAUAAGCACAUUUUAUGAUCAAAAUUCUGAAUUCUCUCACAAACUUGACAAACUUUUUGACACUUUGAACAAUUAAUUCCAAGCUCCUAACUCCUCUCGUAAAUUUGUUAGCUUGGGUUGUUGAAACAUUGAAUUUUCUGAUUAAGAUUGAUCACAUCCAAAAUUGUGUAUCAAAUUGUAGAUAAUGGACACUCUGGCCGAAAUUCAAGAGCGACAUGAUGCUGUUAGAGAUCUUGAGAAGAAGCUUCUCGAUUUACAACAGGUAUCUUCUUAGUUUGUGCAAUGAUGCGUACUCUCUGAUGAAGACAUGAAGUUGCUAUACAAUACAGAUGUCUAGCAUAGGCCUUUUAAUUUUUGGAAAAAAUGAGGAAAUAUAUUGAAAGAGAUAACAAGUACAAGUGGAGUCAUAGAAGACUCUGAUCCCAGCUGGGGAUACAUAGUGAUACCAACCAUACAGAGAAAGUAAAUCUCAGGAAGAGAAGAUAACACUAGCUAGAAAAAGCCAUUAAGGCAUACAAAAAAUAGAGGAUGGCAAUGGAGUAGCCGUCUUCAGACUAGCAAUGACGGAGGACAAGGGAAUCCAUCACGUGAAAGUACCAGAACCAACAGGCCUUUUAAUUUAGAGUUUUCAAUUUGGUAUUGCCUUAUGAAUAUAAUAACAUUAAUCUGUUAAAUCUUUCUGCAUUUCUGUAAGAAAGUGCAGGAUCGGUAGAUUAUUAAGUUGUGUCAUGACGUGGUAAGUCUCUGUUUAGGCAUGUAACUCAUAAGAAAGCCAAGUUAUUGUCCACUUUUAAUUGCCAUGAUUUAUUGAGGCCGACUGUGAGAAUAGCUGCAAAACUAAAAGGAAAACUUUCUGUUUGUGUUUCGCCAUGAGUAUAUAUUAUAUGUUAAACACCAACUCAUAUGCACAGAUAUUUAUGGAUAUGGCGGUGCUGGUUGAUGCACAAGGGGAAUUGCUUGACAACAUAGAAACCCAGGUAAUUACCACAAUUUCAAAGCAUGAUGACCCCCUGAAUUUCGUAAAGUUUCAAACCCGAAAGAAAACAGAAGUUGAUUUGUAAAAACAUGACGUGGAGUGCAACUCUUGUAUCGCACUUGGGUAGACGAUCAUGUAUGUUGUGCUUUCAUUCCGCAGGUAUCAAGUGCAGUAGAUCAUGUACAGCAGGGGAAUACCGCUCUUCAGAAGGCCAAGAAGCUACAAAAGAAUUCGAGGAAAUGGAUGUGCAUUGCGAUUCUCAUUCUUCUUAUCAUCGUUGCAAUCAUUGUGGUGGCGGUGUUCAAGCCGUGGCAGAGCAACAAGGGUGCUUAAAUUAGCUCCUAUGAUAAUUUGUAACUGAUAAGUAUAGGGGAUUACAACUGACACUUUGGGACUCGAACAAAUCUUGUGAAUCAUUUCUAGCCCUUUUGUUCUCCUGUGAUAAUGCCCGCAUGUAACACUAUUAAUCGAAACAAACUGUCACUAUAUUCUUUAAGGGAUUCUUUAAUAUGCAUAAAAGAAAACUCUCUUUUUUCUUCUUGAAUGGCUCAUGUUACUGGUUAUAAAACCGUACCGUCACGGAGAUAUUCCCGUUGAUAUUUCGUACGGAUUUAACGGACUCUCCAAGAAGGGGUGUAAGAGAGUGGGCGAUGUUAGGGUGUAGAUUGGCACGUUUAGGAGAGAUUUUUCAAUGUGGCCGAAACAUAGAGCGGUACAUCAUAAGUUAUUAUACAAGUGGAGGGAAGUUUUUUUUUCCGUUCCAAAUGUUCCUCCACUUAUAUAAUGACACUAAAUAAUCUCUCCACGUUUUGAUAAAAAGUGUAGCUGACAUACUUAUCGAAGAUUAGUUAAAUGAUUUCUAUUAACUAUUGAAGAGUAGCUGACAUGAGCAAAUUACUGACGAGGAGUCGCUAAAUAGUUUCCUAGUUGGAAUUGGCCGUUGUUGUAGUGAGGCCAUAUCCAAAGGGGAAGAGAGGGUCAUAAUGUGCGUCUCCUACAUUCAUCGGCAGCUGAUCAACGGUUUUGAACCAGGUUCGAGAAAGCUUGCCCGUGAAGCCAUAGUCACCAAAUAAAACAUCAGCUACGCCCUGCCCUUCCGUUCCUGGAAGCCAAGCUGCAACAAGAGCAUCCAUCAAGGGAACAUAUGGUUGGAUCACAACAGGACGGCCAGAGAUGACGAUAACAACACAUUUCACAGAACCGCAAACAUUUGUGAUGGCACUCGGGCCAGGAUCCGGUAUUGUCAAGUUUAGGCUGUCACCAAACGUCUCUGCGUACGGGUGUUCCCCUACCACAACGAUGGCAUAUGAGAAAUCAUUCGACUUCACAAAGUCAGCAUCAGGAUUCUCCUUGUACACUACUUUGGUUUUAGGAUCCACUGUGUUCUUAAUGGCACUAAGAAUUGUGGUACCUGUUAAAGAGAAAAAUAAGUUUCUUACAGAGUUUAAUAGGUCAGUUUUUUCAGAGUCCCGACAGAUUUCAUAGGCAAACAUGUAUCAAGAGGAUAUUAUGUUUUAUGACAGCAAAAACAGAAGGAUCUUUGUUUACCUUCGGUGAGAUUGUUGCCACUUAAGCCCUGCCACUCAAUGGUCCACCCACCACACUGAUAACCAAGGUUAUCUGCAUGACUACCAGCUACAAGUAUUUUUGAUGCCUUCUUCGGAAGGGGAAGCAACAGCUCAUCAGCAGAUUUGCCGUUCUUUAGAAGCACUAGAGAUCUCCUCACAGCUUCCCUAGCUAAUUCUCUGUGUUCCUGUGAAAAUAGUAAUACAAAAAACCAGAUUAAGUUUCCUGCAUUGUUGUAGAAUGGUGAUAAAUUUACCAACGUCUACCUUACUCCCAAGUUGGUCGACCAGGCUGCGAUCAGCCAACGGUUCCUCAAAUAAGCCCAUGACGAACUUAACCCGCAAAAUUCUUUUUACAGCAUCAUCAAUUCUGCUCAUGGGAAUGAUUCCAUUUUUCACCAGGGAGGUUAGACCGUCAAUAAAUUCCGUAUAGUUGUAUGGAAUCAUGACCUGUAACAGGCAAUUAAGUAGGGGUUAGAAGACCAAACACAUCAUCAAGUUUAUGGAACUUAAGAAAGGAAAGCAACAGAGAUGUUAAGUACCAUGUCAAUUCCGGCAUUGACGCCUGCUUGAAUUGAAUAUGAGUAGUUGGCAUGAGGUGGAGACGUGAUCCUGUCAAUACCCUCCCAAUCUGAGAUGACAAAACCCUGAUAUAGUCCACAAAGUUUCACAGUGCUUUUAGCUUCUACUUAGGCUAUUGUAAAAUGGACAUAGUGCCGAAAAGAACAUCAGAGAGUCGUUUUUACCCUGAAAUGAAGAGUGUUCUUAAGGAAGCCAGUAACAAGAUCAUGAUUAGCAUGCAUCUUUACUCCAUUCCAGCUCGAGUAAGAUACCAUAAUAGUUGCAACCCCUUUGAUAAUUGAGUCAUAGUAGCCUGGCAUGUGGAUACUGAGCAAGCCGUGUCUGUUUAUCACAGUGUUAUUCUCGUUGAUGCCCCUAGUUGUUCCUCCAUCACCGACGUAAUGCUUUGCACACGCUGCAACCUUUUUACUGCCAACAGAAAUGGCGGAACAUGAACAAAACACCUUCGUAAAUUGGAUCACAAUCGUGUUGUUUGGAAUUUGACAAUGAUUGGUGAUCUUUCAGUAAAUUAAUGUGCCAUGAGAAUUGCAGUUGUAAAUAUGUCCUUUUCGGACAAAUCAAAAUGCAACAAUAUAGGGAUUAUAGGUGGUCUUUGUGACCACCGUAAAUAGCCUAGUGCCAAAGUAUGCUUUGACAAGCACUUUCCCUCUUUUUUUCCUACAAAAAGCUACCAAUUUUUCAAUGAAAGUGCUUAAACACACUCGUCAUCUCUCCCUUCCUCUAAGAGCCAACAUCACUGCACGCGAAGGAGAAGAAAAAACGACUAGUACUUGCAUUGCAUGUUGGAUUUAUGUGGACCAAUAGAACUAAAACCAAGUUAAACUUCAAGAUAUUCCAAAACUGUAACUUUCACAGGACCAUUAUGAUGAGUAUCAAUCAUUUUCGAGAACGUGGACCGCCACAUUAUGCAAAAGAGAAUAAGACCUUUCAAACUCUUGUAAUGUGUUAGAAAUGUUGGACCGUUUUAUCUUUGAUAGCACAAAUGGACCCAAAAAAAAGCAUAAAUCAAGCACAAGGCUAUGACAAAAAACUGAGGAAUUAAAACUCUUACUUUCCGCCCACAAAGGGAAUGCCCUUUCUAGAGUUGGCUGGUAACUCCCCUUGUAAUCCAGGUAUGAUCUCAGUCAUUGCUUGAACAAUUUUGUGAUCUUCACUGUAGCUUUCAUAACAUCGACCCCAUCUUGGAUCUCUGCAAACCUGCAAAGACAAAAUUAAGAGGAAGCACAACUUAGCUUAAAGUAACUUCUGUCGGUACUAAUCAGAUGUACAGUUUAUUUUAGUUACCGCUAUACAAGGUGCGAAGACAUAUGGAAUGCCUGUAGCUCUAGCUUCAAGUGCAGUUGCAGCUCCGAUCCUCUUAACAAGUACGGGGUCCCUGGUUGAUUUUAAAUACGAGGAAGUUGACAUUAAUACAUUCACUCUUAUGGUUUAAAGUUUGAACUACUAAGAGGACUAAAAUUUUACAGUUGAAGAAACAAAUUUCUCAAUUGAUCCCAUUUAGUUAAAGUAUCAUCAUAUACUCGAACAUAUAUACACCAACUUAUUUGUAUUUGGAAUUUUAAUUUGUCAGCACCAACGAAAAAUGAAAGCUUCAGUCAAAUUCUUGAUCAAAUGCCGGACACAUAAGACAAUUAUCGCAUCGUAGAACUCUUCAUUUAAUUGUAGAGAAAGGAAAGGUUGUUUUUUUCUCUCCAAAAUUCAAAAGGUUGACAAAAGAGACUAAGCGAAAUGUUGGUAUUCAAGGCAAAUCUACUUGCCUGGUAGCUCCAAGGCCAAUAUUGUGCGGAAAGAUUGUUGCUUUGUAGACGUUGUUGUGGCCAUGAACUGCAUCGAUACCAUAAAUCAUUGGAAUUCCAAGCCGGGUUGAUAAAGAACCUUUUUGAAAAUCAUUCACCAUGUUAAUCCAUGCUUCUGGAGAAGCCCUUUGUGCUGGAACGCUCCCACCCCCGCUUAAUAUACUCCCUGCCAAAAACAGAUUAAUUUCUUCUUCCUUAAAUCUAACUGAUCUGCAUAUGCAUAUGUGAUACAUUCCAUUCUUUCUGUAGUUACACAUGUAUAUAUAAUUUAUACACAGGCAGGACAGAAAGAAGAGUGAUGAUUACCAAUGAAGUAUUUCUUCAUCACCUCAGACGAAGCAACACUGCGGUCUAUCUGCACCAUUUGGCCAAUCUUUUCCUCCAACGUCAUCCGGCUCAAUAGAUCCUUGAUUCGAGUAUUCAGCGGCUGUUUGGGGUCUUUAUAUCUAAUAUGUUCUGCUUCUGCUACAGCUAUGAAGAAACAUGAGAGAAGAAGCCCCAUCAAGAAGAUGGGAGUUCUAGCCAUUUCCUGUUCCCAAAAAAAUUUACAGAAGAAUGUAAUGCACAAUUAGAAAGCCAGUUUGAGGAUGAGCUAUGGAACAUUGUGAACCGAAAUUCGAAAACAUAAAAAAGGCCUAAAAUUAGAACAUCAAACAGUUAAAAGAUGAACAAAAUUUGAAGAAAAGUAUUAAGGCAACAAUGGAAAGGAAUCACAAUAUAAUGAACCUCAAGCAUUCAAGCACCAAUGGAAGAUUAGUUGCAUGGUGGAAAUUAUAGAAAGUUACCACUUUUAUUAACAAAAAAAUGCUGCACCCGAAGUUAAUCCCAGAGAAAGGAAUCAGAAGGACCUUGUAGCAAAAUGCAGAAUCAAAGAGAACCCUUUUCCAAGCAAUGAAAAAAAGGGUAAAAAAAGUUUACUAUUCUUCAAGUGACAAUCACAACACAUGCAUGUUGCUCCUUAUUAACCACCAAAACACUUAAGAAAUUUCGCUGGCCUUUUUUUUUUGUGACUGAAUGGAACUAAAAUCUGAAACCCAACAACUAAGAGAGAGGUAACUGAAUCACAACUGAGUGAAGUAUUUCAUUUCAUCUUUCUGGAAACUAAUAAAUUCCCAUUUGUCAAAAGAAACUAGUAGCAUGUGGAAGUGGAACUUACAGAGAAGCAAUGGAGACCCGAUACUCCAAUAGGCAAUGAGCAGAGAGAGAGGUUGGCAAUGAGCUCUGCUGCUUUGUGGAAGAGAGAGAGAGAAGUUGAGUUGGGACUUGGGAUUUGGAAAGCAAUGUGAGGCAGAAAAUGGAACUUUAUAGAAAAAAAAAAUUAGGUGCUAGUUGACUGAAAAUUUGGAUGUGAUGAUAUAUUUGUCAAUUUCUGGAAAAAAAAAUAUUUGUCAAUUCGAUAGCGGGCAGAGAAAGGUGACGCAGAGAGUUUUACUGGAAUCCAAAUUUGUUUAUUUGCCUUUCAUUUCGCUUUCAUGGAUGAACUCAUAAUUCAUCAUGCUUAUCUUUACUUUAUUGGUGAGAUUAGCACCCGCAUUAGUGAUGCUGCUGGUGUAGGUGAAUUAAGAGACAAGGAUUGUCUGCCCUCCCAUUUUCGGUGCUCUCUCGUGCCCUUUUGUUUGUGUGGUCACGGUUAAAUCACGUUAAUAUUUUAUAUUACUAUUCAUUUUUAUCUUAUUAUUUCUAUAAAAAAUAAUAUAAAAUGUUGACGUGGCUUAAUUGUGACCACACAAAACAGGAGGGCACGGAAGGGCACCAAAAAUGAGAGGGCAGACAAUUCUUGUCUGUAUUAAGAAGGCCCCACUGGCAAUAAAACUGGUGGUUUUGCUUGUUGACUAUUAUUCCAAAUUCUUCUUCCUGUCAAACUUCUAAAAAGAAAGAAACAACUGUUCCAACUUUUAACAUUUGUUUUUGGCUUCCUGCCUCAUCCACAAAUUACAGCCUUACACUACACACGCAUGCAUUGCGUUACAGAGAUCGAUAUCGCUCGAAAACGGCUAGUGGGGUUUUAGAAAUUGAGGAAAGGCGAUGAGAUUGAGGGAGGCGGCACAAGAGAGAGAGAGAGUACCCUUUUGAAUUAGAGUCUUCUCUCCUCUUACUGGGUAUUCCCAAAUCCCUACUCGAUUUCAAUAUAAAAUUAUAAACUUACAUGAAAAUAGCAAAAACAAUUAUUUUCUCUUUAAAUUUGUGUACUCUAAAUACCCAUCAAUCAUCAAGAACAGAGACAAUUAUUCCAUUCUAGGUAACCUUAAAUACUACGAGCAUUAGAUAGCCUGUCUUAAUUUGGAUUUGGAAGUUUUUCAUUUCCUUUCCAAUUUCUAAUGAAUGAAAAAACAUAAAAGAGAAAGAGAUAAAAAAUAAAAAAAACUCGUUUGGAAAUGUUUUUAAAGUAACUGGAAGCACUUUGGGUAAAAUUAUUUUUGGAUUCCAAAAGCAUUAGUUAUGUGCUUCUUCCAGGAAGCACUUUAAAUGCAUGUUUUUCCUUCCUUAUACCUAAAUUUGUAUGGAAGACAUUAAAUAUUACAAGUAUUGGAUGACUUGAAUUGGUUUGGAUUAUUGCUUUUUUCGGUAGCUAAAUCAUCUCUCCCGAUGUUGCACUUAUAUAUAAAUAACUAAUUGAACACACUUAAUCAAGGAAAUACAUAGCAUCCAAAAAAGAAACACAACCAAUUCAAUUUUAUUUUAUUUUCGGGAAAAAAAAAAAAAAACAAAGAAACAACAAUGGUUUGUUUGAUUUUCCUUUAAACAAGCAGCUAGCAAAGUGAUCGACCAAUUGGAAAUUUUCAUAUAUAUUAUUAGUCACGAAUUCGUUGUGAUUAUAGCUUCUUCAUUCGUCACGCAUUGUACGUAUCUUGAGGCCAAACUGCAUGCACAAUUUAGCCAUGCAAAUCAAGCACUUUCAUACGUGACACGACACCCAACCUAGCUAGCUAUAUAAAUACUACCGUACAUAACGAUGCAAAGUGCAAACUGGUCAUGGCCUUCUUCGCAAGAAAUGCACUGCUGCUAAUGCUGCUUAUGUUGAUUCUAAUUAUGUCUGAUGCAGUAACUGUUGUGAUCGAAAAUUAUUUGUGGGAUCAAUCGGGCGACUCGCCACUGAAAGUUCACUGCAAAUCCAAAGACGAUGACCUUGGUGUCCAUGCCGUCCCCCUUGCUGACUCCUACGAAUUUAAGUUCCAUCCAAACAUAUGGCGGACCACGCUAUUUUAUUGCAGCUUUGAGUGGCAGGGCCAACUUCACCAUUUCGAUAUAUACGACCAAGGAAGGGAUGGAGGUUGUGUACUAGACGACAGCGUUUGUUUAUGGCGGAUACAAGUGAACGGUCCGUCCAGGUUCAACGGCUAUACUGGCUCAUAUGAUCUUCUGUAUGCAUGGAAGGACUAGUUGUUUCAAAAUCAAACAUUCUGGGGACAACUCUGUUGCAAGAUACCCCAAGUGGAAAUGUGGAUCUUUACCGUUUCGAGAUAUAUAAGGAAAAAGGAGGGAAAAAUAAAAAGCAAAUCUAUCGUUGUGCUCUUUCUUGCAUGUGCAGUUAAGUUAGCAAAAGUAGUGUGCUCCUUUUUCUGUAUAACCUAAAUUUGAAUCCUCAUUUGUAAUUUGUAUUAGAUUAAAUAUAAUUUCAAUUGAAUAAAUAAAGUGGGAUAUAUUAGUCACCAAUUUUGUUGUGAUCAAUAACAAGUAAAAACUUAUUUCCUAGCUUCUACUGUAACUAGAAUUUCUUAAUUCGUCACACUAAUAUAUUAUUAUUGUGAAAGGAAAUUAUAUAAGCAAAGCCAAAAGAUUUAAUUAAUUAGCAAGUAGCCCUCCACCUCAAUAGUGAAGAAGAGUGUUGCCCUUGCACCAUGACAUGAGUUCCAACCCAUCGACGUCCUAAUCUAACAUCUCUAACAAAUUUAUUGUUUGACAAAAGAUUUAAUUAAUUAUGAUCGUGCCACCACUAGCUAUGAGAAAUCCUAAUAGAUUGUAAAAAGACAUAUAUAACUUGCACCUCAAGCAAUAACUUCGAAUCAAGUCUCUUAGUAAAGGAUGACGUAAGACGCGCGCAGAGCGUCCAUAGAAAAAAGACAUUUAACUUGCACAUUAAAACCGAAAAAGAAGAGUAGCUACAUGAUUUUUCUAGUUGAAUUUUUUGGGUGUUGUAGUGAGCCCAAAUCCAAAGGGGAAGAGAGGGUCAUAAUGUGCAUCCCCAACAUUCAUAGGUAGUUGAUCAACCGUUUUGAACCAAGUUCUAGAAAGCUUGCCAGUGAAGCCGUAGUCACCAAAUAAAACAUCAGCCACCCCUUGUUAGUACUAGAAAUUAGUAAGUCAAAAGCCGAGGAAUGAAAAUUCUUACUUUCCUGCUACGAAGGGAAUGCCCUUUUCAGAGCUGGUAUCUCCCCUUGUAAGCCAGGUAUGAUCUCUGUUAGAAUUUCUUUGUCCCACAUCGGCCAGAAGGAUUGAGAACAAGCCAUUUAUAUAGAAUUACCUCACUCUAACUAACACCGAGGCUUUUUGUAUUAAAACCCCACACCUGACGGAUUGAGAAGGUGGCCAAGUGGGGACAGUACCGGUGUUGUUGGAGUGGGCCCAUGGCCCGUUUACUUGAAAUUUAAGAUGGUAUCAGAGCCAGGGGACGGGUCCGUACAUCCACGUGAACGGGUGGGUCCCCUUUGGCCCCGCACAAAUGGGUGAGCCCCAACUUGGCUCCACAUGGUUGCCGAUGUGUGGAACUCCACGUGUGACCCAUAAAAUGGGGUCUCAAGUGCGGGGGAGUGUUAGAAUUCCUUUGUCCCACAUUAGCCAGAAGAAUUACCCCAUUCUAACUAACACCGAUGCCUUUUGUAUUAAAACCCCACACCUGACGGAUUGAGCAGGUGGCCAAUUGGGGACAAUAUCGGUGUUGUUGGAGUGGGCCCAUGGCCCGUCUACUUGAAAUUUAAGACAUUGCUUGCACAAUCUUGGGAUCUUCACUGUAGCUUUCAUAACAUCGACCCCAUCUUGGAUCUCUGCAGACCUGCAUGGACAAAAUCAAUAUGAAGUUCAGUGCCAGCAUAAAUUGACUUGUGUUCAUAUCAAUCAUCAGAUAUAUACAGUUUAUUUUAGUUACCGCUAUACAAGGUGCAAAGACGUAAGGAAUGCCUGUAGCUCUAACUUCAAGCGCAGUUGCAGCUCCGAUCCUUUUAACAAGUUCAGGAUCCCUAGUUGAUUCAUCUUGGAUCUCUGCAGACCUGCAUGGACAAAAUCAAUAUGAAGUUCAGUGCCAGCAUAAAUUGACUUGUGUUCAUAUCAAUCAUCAGAUAUAUACAGUUUAUUUAAGUUACCGCUAUACAAGGUGCAAAGACGUAAGGAAUGCCUGUAGCUCUAACUUCAAGCGCAGUUGCAGCUCCGAUCCUUUUAACAAGUUCAGGAUCCCUAGUUGAUUUUAAGUUCGAUCAAGUUGAUAUCAGUAUAUUUACUCCUUGAAUUUCAUAUGGGUUGAUCUCUUAAUACGACUAAAAGUUAAGAGUCGAAAAAACAAAUUUCUCUAUUGCUAAUAAAUUUUAGCACAAUAUCUACUUUAAAUUCAAUCAAUAUUACUUUGAGACUAGGAUUACAAAAUAAGUUACAGCUCAGUGAUAUGUUAGCAAUGGAGGACAUCUACUUGCCUGGUUGCUCCAAGGCCAACAUUGUGAGGAAAGAUUGUUGCUUUGUAAACAUUAUUGUGGCCAUGAACAGCAUCGAUACCAAAAAUAAACGGAAUUCCAAGCCGAGUUGAUAAAGAACCCUUCUGAAGAUCAUUCACCAUGUUAAUCCAAGUUUCUGCAGAAUCCUUUUGUGGCGGAACAUUCACAACCCCUCUUAAUAUACUUCCUGCCCAAGACAAAUUUCCUCUACCCUUAAAAUCCAACUAAUCUUCAUAUACAUGCAGAAGGACUGCUUCCAUUCUUUCUAUAUAUAUUUUAUGCAGAGACGAGAGAGAGAAUAGUAAUGUUUACCAAUGAAGUGCUUCUUCAUCACCUCAGGCGAAGCAACGCUGCGGUCUAUCUGCACCAUUUGGCCAAUCUUUUCCUCCAACGUCAUCCGGCUCAGUAGAUCCUUGAUUCGAGAAUUCAAUGGUUGUUUGGGAUCUUUAUAUUUAAUGUAUUCUGCCUCUGCAAUAGCUAUGCAGAAAACUAAAAGAAACCCCAACAAGAAGGGAUUCCUAGCCAUUUCCUGUUCCAAAUAUUUACACAAGAAUGUAACGCGGCGCUCAAUUAGAAAGCCACUUUUGAGGAUGAAUGUAUAACAGCAACAUCACAAAUUCACAACCAAUACUAGAAAAGAAAACAGGUCUAAAACUAGAACAUGAAAAGUAGAAAGCAACCAUCAUAUAAUUUUCAAGAAUUCAGGCAGCAAGGGAAUAACAGUUUGCGCGGUCGGGGUGCGACAGAAAAAAGAAAAACUGCAGCAAAAAUUAGACUCGGAGAAAGGAAUCAGAAGCACCCUUUGAUCAAAAUAGUAGAAACAGAAGAGAAUCCAUUUUUCAAGCAACUAAAGACAAUAAAACAAGUGAGAAGCACAAGACACGAAUAGUUUGAGCUCCUCAACAUUGCUCCUUAAUCCUCCUUCCCCACCAAAACUCGAAAUAAAGUUCGUUUAUCCCCCUUAGCAUCUGAUCGUAAAUUACCGGUAACGAAAAUCUGAAACCGAACAAGAGACGAACUAAAAGUUUCCCUUUUCCAGAAACAAAAAAUGGGAGUAAUUAAAGAAGUUGCAUGUACUAAAAAGUGAGAAGUGGGAACUUACAGAGGAGUAAUGGAGUGGAGAGGCAAUGAGCUUUAUCUGUUCUGUGUUGAACUUGAAGGAAUAGUGAGUGAGUGAGGGAGUGGAGGGCAGAAGAGAGUUGAGUGAAAAACGUGAAGUUAUAGAUGGACAAUUUGACUCUCACUUUAUUGAAACAGGACACGGACUUCUUGUUGGCUUCUUCAAUGAACAAUGAACUGACUUUGAUGGAUAAUAUUAACUGUUUGCAAUUUCUACUCAAGAUAGGACGUAUUGGAGUUAACGAAAGACUUUGUGCAAAAACGAGCGGAGUCACGUUUUAGAAUUCAUAUAGCCGAUUCUAUUUAGUGGUAUAAUGUUUGUUUGUUGUUGAUGCAAAUUCUACUCAUGUACCAAAAAGCAUUACAUAUAUGUAUCUUACAAGAAUUAUAGAUACACAUGCUUAUUAAUGUUACUUCACUUGCUUUGCCUAAGCAAAAGCAGUUGAUUAUCCAAACGUUACAAAACAGAAGCUUAAGCUUGAUUAAUUAAAAACAUGAUGAAAUAAUCAAUCUCACAAAAGGCGAUCAGACAACGACGGAAGCCGUCGAAUGAAGUUCAAAGCCGGCGACGGCAUCCGAUCACGGAAUAUCGGAUGACGGAGAUAAUAGAACCCAAACGCCAUCGCCACCAUCUUCGACGGCACCACGUACAGUAUCAUCGCCACCACCAAACACAACACCACAAAGAUCCCCGUCGCCCGCGGAUCCUGCCACGUCACCAGCGCCUGCACUCGUUCCCCUUGCGUUGCAAAAUCUCCCAGCACGGUCUGCACGCGUGCCCCCAACAUCCUAAGCUUGUCGUACCUCGCCCGCACCACCUCAUACGGCCUGUUGCUCGGCACCGCAUCAAACUCCUCGUCCAGCUCGUCCCGGUCAACGUUGUCCGCCAGCGAGAGCUUCGGGUCAAAGUGCUGGAGUGGGGCCCGAGAGCGAAACCUGUAGUUCCACGCGCCAAUCACAAACACGUAAAACAACAGGGUGGGCACGAUCAGAUCCGGGAACCAAACGAGCAGCACCAGCAGUGCGUGCACAAGAAUCGUUGCCAUCGGUUUCUUCCAAGAACGCGUGUCGUUUAUCCACGCUACGACAUCCACAACCCCUGCUACGACAUUGAUGAUCCGGAAAUAAUUGGCGCGCACUUUCCGCAUGCUGAAUCCCUGCGAAUCCGCGUCCAGCAUGUAAAUCACAACCUCGCGCCCGAGCGGCGGUUCCGAGCGAGACAGGUGUGCGGCGACGAUCUUAACCGCCGCCCUGCGCAGUAGGUCCUGUUGCAUCACACCUAGCGGCUUUAUGUGGUGCAUCAACGGCAGUGAAGGCUGCGAGUACGCGUGGAUCAAAUCCAACGUCGGACACACUCGAACAAACCGUAUGGCCACCUCCACCUCCCCCAUUUUUUUCAAACCGGCGGGAGACAAAAGCAACAGCGGAUACGUAUUUCUGUAUACUCUACCCGUAGCCAGCGUCGAAAUACGCAAGCGGAGCUUCCCGAUACGAAAAUCGGGACGCGUGGCAUCUGUCGAGCCGUCGAUUUUGAAUCCCGGUCCAGAGCUAUCAAAAACGCCGAUGCUCAACACCGUACACGGAUCGUAUACUUUAAACGUAUACUGCUCGUUCCAUUUGGGCUCCAAGCUAUCGCACACGGCCCGUGUCCGUACCCAUUUGGAUCCAUAUUUUGCCACGCAAUACGCAUCCGUACAUCCCUUACCGCUCACCGUCUUGACAGGUAUCAAGUUCUUGCACCCGAUGACGCCGAGCUCGACGGUGCCCAGCGGCGGCUUCCAGAGCUGCCUCGCGGUGGGCCGGUAGUCGCUGCACACGUACGCUGCCUCGUCCAUCACGUGAUACCCGCCGUCGAAACAGAGGCGCAGGUGCAUUCUGCCUCUGUACACCGUCCUCUUCUUCUGGUCUUCCUCGCCUGGGCUCUCCAAUGAGAACCAUCUCGAAGCCACUUUGCGGUCGUCGACGCGUCGUUCGAUGGCGGUAAGGGGUAUUGUAGCCACCCCCAAUGUGACCGGUCCUUUCGCUAGCCGAUUCUCUACAGUGAAAAUUAAACGAUCGCUGAACGGCUCCGCGGCUACGAACAUCAAGUCUUGGUUCCACGACAGCGUGCCGUUUUGGGUGACUGCGGGGUCGGUCUUGAGGGACUGGAAUCCGAGCUGGGCUUUGACUUGGACAGAUGACUCCGUCAACGACGGCGUCAUGGGGAGAACGUCUUGGGCUUCGAGGACUGUUGCUCGGAGAUACCACAGCUUCGGCGAUUGGUAGACUUUGGCUCGCGCGUUUGGGUUACCGGCUGUAUCGGUCUUCCACGCGUCGGGAAACGAAUCGUCCGCCUGAGUUCCCAUCCACGUGGCGAGCAUCAGGUCGCCGUUCAUGCGGGCCCCGCCGCCCUCCAGCCUGUACCACUGCGGGGCCAAGGGGCUGUCGGGCGGGUCUCUCAGGGGAAUUUCCGUCACGUCGAAACAGAUUCCACCGAGGAAGUGAUGCCCGGAGGCAACCGAGGCGGUCGCGGGGUCAAACAUGGGCGGGUCCCACACUGAAAUUUCGAGGAUGGAGGCGUCGGAUUGGUCGGGGGAUUGGCGGGCGAAGGCGAAGGUCUGGUCCCACUCGAAGCAUUGGGUUUUUCUGGCGGGUUUGGACGUGAUAUGGUGGUUGGCAGUGGAGAUUUUAACGAUCGGACUGCCGCUGGAGGGAAUGAAGCGCGCCUUCACCACUCGGACGAAGAGGUAGUGCAUCUUCUCCACCAGAUCAAACGACGGCCGAUCCAUCGACAUGCUUUCUGUUGGCUCCAGCUGCGACGUAUAGUUCAUUACUGGUGGCCUUGGCAUUGGCUGUGGGCCGUUGAUUCCAUGGAAUUUGACAUCUGGAACUGAUUUCGAUACGGCGGCUCCAAUCAUCUCUAUUUCGGGUUCACGUUGCAUGGCUGCUUCAGGUGGUGGCGGCGGCGGCGGAUCCCCUUGAUCAUGAUUUGCAUCAUCAGUGGGUGGUGGUGGUGUUGACGUCGGCCCCGGUGGAGGAUCAGACUGUACAUCUUCAGGAGCUACAGUUUCCUGUGGUGGCACCACCUCAGUCGGUGGUUCUUCGGCGGGCUUCUCACCUUCCGGUGGCGGUGCUUGUUCUGCUUCCGGUGGUGGGUCCGCCUUAGUUUCCUUCUCGCCUGGUGGUGGGGUUGAGUCAGAUUCUGGUGGCGGCGGCGCCUCCGACGACGGAGGCGGUGCAGUUUCAGCCUUUGGCUCUUCCGCUUGAGGCGGCGGUGUUGGUGGUGCAGGCGGCGGGACAACCUCAUCGACGUAAUAAAUCUUCAAGCCAAUUUCACCUUGAAUCCAACUAAAGAAGCUCUUCUUCUCCAAUGGGAAAUAAAUCAAAGCCUCCUCGCCUUUCUUGACAAACUGAGUGGAACUCAGUCGGAUCCUCCCGAGGAAGUUGUUCCUCCGGGUGGGUCCGUAGUUCUUGUCGUGGUGGACAUCGAGCUCCAGCACAUCCCCAAAAACAUCGGAAGGCUUGCCAACGUUGAACUCGAGCAACUCGUUCCACACGGGGUUUAGGUCUCGUAUCUUUGUCUGCGUCCGCUUCCGCUGCCCGUAGUAGUCCAUCACCACGUACGGGCUCGACGUCCCGUGCCCGUCUUUCGGCGACAGAUUUCGAGCAUCGACAACCUCAACUAUCAGUUUCCGUACAGUAGCCAUAACGUUGGUUCUUGAGUGAUCAAAAUGUCACAGAAAAUGUGUAGCUAGCUUUGGUACUGUAGAGUUUCUUAGCUAGCUACUAUCAUACUCCACUUUCAAGUAAGAGAGAAGAGGCAUCAUGGUUAUGGAGAGAAGCUAUAAAUAAUGUUAAGUAAAGUAUGAGGGGAGAUAUUCCAUCCCGUGACCGAUUGCAUAUCUCGAAUUCUCUCAUCACUUCAUGUAAUGAGAGAUAAAAAGUACAAUUGAUUACACUUGAGAUUUUACCGUAAAAUUGACGUUUCUUAACUUUUUUUUUUUUUUUUUUUUUUUUUGGUGUAGCAAAACUAUUAAGUAAUGCAUGCGAGCAAGGUUUUUAUCAUAUCGAUUGUAUAUUUUCAUCACUCUACUUCUCUCAUCACAUUACAUGAGAGAGAUGCAACUGGUUACACCUAAAAUUUGCCGCAUGACAGAUAUGUUUCUUAACUUCUUCAUCCUUUACGUAUUUAAUUCACUACUUUUUGAAUAUAUAUACAUAAAUAUGUCUUUUAAUUCUUUUGGUGCAGAAAAAAUGGAAAAGAGAACGAUAAAUGGGAAACAGAGGUAGUGGGAUUCCAGUUGGGUGGGCAAGUAAAGGAUAAAAAGAUUGGGAGGAGGAGGAGAUAGGGAGAUAAGAAAACUAAAGGUGCUUAACUUCAUCCUCAAGAAGCUUUUAUUAUUUUUUUUCUUGAUGUGUAAGGAGCUUUUAGACUAUCUAAUUUCUUUUGCUUGUUAUUAGGAAAUACUUUUCUUUAUUAAACUCAAAGAUUCUGUCUCUCAGAUAUAAGCCCUUUCCUUUUGGCCAAUACCACAGACAUUAGAGGCACACGCUUUUGACACAUAUUUACACUUAUUUUGUAGGGCUCACUUUGUAAUAUUUUUCAACAAUUCAUACUGUCUAUUAUGAACAUUUUAAUGAUUUUAAUUUUACCUAAUUUUUUGCAAGAAUCAUUUAUGAACAACUUUAAUUAUUGAAAUACAUUAAGAAAUGAAUUCAACAAAAUAUGUGUCAAAAUGUGUGAUAGAGGAUCCUCACCGGAUCUUCCAAUCACAUCCGUUCAUCGUACAUCGUGCAGUCAGUUUUUAUCAUGUACUGUUUAUAUUCAAUUUUAAAUAAAAAAAUUAUAAUAAUUUCUAAUUGUACAAUUUACGAUGAUCGGAUGUGAUUAGAGAAUUUCCAGAUCCUCCUGGAAAAAUGUGUUUCCGGAUCUAAUAUAUAUAUAAAGUAAUGGACAAGCUUUUUUUUCAAAGAUGAAAAGCUUUUGUGUCACCGACCGCGGGAUUUUGUCACCCCAACUACAUUGUCUUGUAAUGAUAACUGGAAAUUUGACAAAGAUGACUCGUUCACACUUAGGCUAUAUGACUACAAGCCAAUCACCCAAGCCUUUCCCACACUUCAAUAAAUCUAAAAGUUUGAUUCCAUUGAAAAGUGCUUGGUGCUCCUGACGCAGGACAACACACAGAUUCAAUCAAAUUGGAAGAGAAAGGUUGAAGAGGAUAAAUUUUUAAAGCAAAUAAUGUGAAUGUUGAUAAUUGAAUUAUUAAUUAAGUAUCGAUUCACGUAUUUAUUUUUUAUUUUUAAAUUUGGUUAAAAAUUUGGUAUUCUUAACAUUAUCCUGAUUGGAAUUAUGUAAAAUGUAAGAUAGGCAAAUCAUGAGUAUUUUUUAGUUGCGUAAAUCUUGUAAAAACCCAAGGGUUCUAAUUUUUACACACCCAAUAGUUUAUCAACAAUGCUCAACUAUCGCAUUUUUCACAAAAUUUGUGAGUUAAUUCAUGGCUUUUGUUCAAAUAUGUGAAGUUUUACGAAACCAUCAUAAAAUCUUUUAUCAUAUUUUAUGUGUGAAUAAUGAAUUCCACAUUAAUAGAAGAAUUAGAUAUUGUUAGACCGAUAAAGUGGGAGCCAAAAACUCUUUGGUUGCUUAAGUUGGACUACAUGUUAGAACUGAAAGCAAAAAGUAACAAGUUUUUGGUAGAGUGAUAAAUUUGCCUCAAUAUUUAAAAGAUAAAGCAGAGGAAAAGUCUAGACAUUAACCAUGUUGUCCCUUGCCCAUAACAAUUCCUUCGUCUUGAAGGACAUACUUAUCUCAAACGGGUGUUUCUAUCAAAUAGUGUGCAUUUCUUCAAUCGGAACGCCUUUAGUUUAAUUUGUAGAUGAAGACAUUCAUGAUCAGGACCCAGACCACAAAGAAGAUAAACAUAAGUAACAAAGCAUUUUGAUGAAACUUGAGCUAUGGAAAAUUUGAAGAUCAUUUUGGUAAUGAUGUCGCUGGAUUCAGCAAGUGAAUUUACUUCAACAGGGAAAAUUUCACUUCUCACCGCCCAUCCUAGAGGUCAAAGACCAUGCAAAUCCACCAACCUAGAUUCCCAAAACCAUGCAAAUCCAGCAACAUAUGCAGAAAUGCCGUUCAUCAAGACCUCAACAAACUCCCUGCACCAUCCAUCCUAGAGGUCCAAGACCAUGCAAAUCCACCAACCUAGAUUCCCAAAACCAAGCAAAUCCAGCAACAUAUGCUGAGAUGCCGUUCAUCAAGACAUCAACAAACCCCCUUGACAAUACACCAAGGUUGUUACCAACCCCAAAUUUAAUAGCAAUUGCAAUCCUAAUAAUCACCUAUUAAUGCCAAAACAAAAAAAAAAAAGAACAAGCCACCUUAAAUUGAGUUUUUUCUUUAUGAAAAUUAUGAAGAAAAAAAGAAAAGCAAAAAACCUGAGAAAUAAAAGUAACUAACCGUGAGUUUGCGGGAUACUCAUUUUUAGCAUUCGAUGGAGCUAAUGAAGAUGAGAUUGAAAGAAUGGGAUUAAGAGUAGAAUGAUAAGUGCAUUAAGUGAGAGGUGAUAUUUAUAUGUAAGACUUCGGAGAUUUACUAAUCAUACUUGAAUAAUUAGUAAUCUUAUCCAGAUUUUAGAUGUAAAAACCCAAUUGCUACAGAUUUUGAUUUUUUGUUGAACACAAUUUUUUGUUGAAGAGACUAUAUCUCAUCUCUAUAGAUUUACUUGUUGAGUUUGACGUUCUAUUUGACUCUCUAUAUCUUUGUAAGUUUGCAAGUGAGAGAGCAUAGUUAAUUUCUAGUUUUCUCAAAUAUCUCAAACUAAUUAAAGUCUAUUUUUCAUUUCUAAUUCAAUCAUUUGUUUGACAUAUGAAUGUGCAUCUAUCAACAUAGUCCGCAACUGCAUAAAGUUUACUAUCAUGAAAAUAUGAUUACUUUUUUAAGUGAAAAAAUUAUGAUUACUUAAAAAGACAUAUACGUUGCAUGAUAUAUCAACAAAAUUUGCAUAAUUACGUUUCUUUACAUUCCAACAAAUUUGUUAUUUUUAUUUCAUUUAUUUUGCAAUAUUAGUUAAUGAAAUGACCAAAACGUAAAUAAAAUCUAAUUUUCAUGCAAUUUAGUGUAGACCUAGCCUCCUAGAACCUCGAGUGCUAAGGUAAAUGAAAAUGUUAAAUGCAAGAAGAACCCAAAAAACUUGGACUUGUUUCACCAUGCCCCUGAUGGUUGGACACCACUAAACCACAAUAUUGAGUGGGUACUUGUUAUGUCAUGAAUUUUCCUAAUUAUUUGUUUUUCAUUCUUUUUCUAAUUUUGAUAUUUGUUUUUUUUAACUAUCACAUUAACCAUUUUGUGAAAACUAUUUGUGUAAGAACUUUGUAUUCUGUUUUAAUAUCAUACUUCUAAAGGGAAGCAAUACAAUUUCAUUAUUCUAAAUCCUAGCAAAAAAAAAAAAAAAAACAAAAAAAUUGAAAGAAUGAACAAGUAUUUCAACAAUAAAACUUAUAUUAAAUGGGAUAACCGCAAAACUACUGUAAAUAAAAUCAUGGAAAAAUUAAAAUGAAUCAUUUGAACUAAAUUCUCCAAUCGGAAAAAUAUACUUUUACGGAUUUAUUGACAUUAUAUAGUUCUAUAUUAUGAACAUAACUCCCUGAAUUAAAAGUCUCAAGGGAGCAUGAGAAGAAAACAACUGCUACUUUACGGAUUUGAAGGGAUGAUAUAUGUGCAAAGCAAAGCUAAAUCUAUACAGUCAAACUUACAGCAUUGUGUUAACCCAAAAUGUAAAUCAAAGGAACAGGGAGAUGCCUAAAUUUCUACCUAAUUCACCAUCGGCUUCUUGACAAUCUUGACACUGUCGUAGAAGCGCCUAAGCUCCUUCAUAGCCUUUUCCUCGAUCUGAAUUGACCGAAUUGGCGAUGGUUGAUCUACCUCCGGUUUGAACCAGCGGUUCACUCCGGAAGUAUCCAGUGGCGAUCCCUGACCACUUGUUGUGACUGAGAAUCCGGCGGUUUUUGUCUUUGGACUGUGGGAAACACUCUGGUGUUGCUUUCCUUGCUUUGAGACGUAAAAAGACAGGUAAGAGUUCUGUAAACUAUAUGCAGGAAAACAUGAUAUACGAGAAAGAUGUGCAAGUCAUAUACCUGCUGCAUUUGGAUGUCCCUAAGAGAUGGCCGGGAAACAAGGGGAGGAGUUCCUGACGCAGUCCAAGGAGGUGUACAUCUUUCUCCAUCAGAUGCCAGUGAAGUAUGGGCUGAGACCAAUGGUAUUGGCUUGGAAGGUAAAAACGAACUCAGUCGAAUCUUCCCAUCGCUUCUCGCAUCAGAAGGAUCUUCCACGUGAUUUUUGUUCCUAGUUGACCGACUCUCCUUGGUUUUGCCUUGCUCAUCCUGAAUCUCACGAAGGGAUGCAAAACCUUUGGAAAAUUUAGCCCCACCCCAUGCAGGGCCUUCACUUUUUGGAGAUGGUGGAGGUGGUGCAACAAACUUGGGGGCAUCAUCAAGAGCGCCACUCAAGAACAUAGAAAGCCCACCCUUUUUAUUCUUCUUCUUGGAAACUAUUGGUGAAGAACACUUGUUAUUUGUUAGGUUGAAAUUGUCCUUCUGAACACACAAAGCUGACUCCUGAUUGGUUUGGCUUGUAGCAAUCUCUUCAAUCAUGACAUCGUCCUAUCACACGUAAAAUUUCAAACAAUUUAGAAAAUGAGAUGAAAUGCUCAACACAUAAUUUUAAAAACUUCUGUUCGCACUAAGUUGUAUAAAAUAUUUUAAAAAAGGCAAGGAUCACAAAUAUUUAAGAAAUGCAAGUUCUAAUAUUGAGUGAAUAGCAUGGCAAGAUCAAGCUAAAGGAAUGUGCUAGGUGGGGUGAAGUGAUAGGAAGUAAUAAAGGGAAAGGUCAAAUUCAAAACCUCCAUCUAGAAAAUGAUUAAUUAUGAACAUGUUAAACCCGUGAAUCCUUAUUAUCAAUAACCUGAAAAGAUUCCCUAGCCCAUUUGAAGUUUCAAACAUCUCAAAAGAAAAACAAAAUCAUCUCAACAUGAGCUGAUAAAUAGAUUUGUAGACAAGAACCAUAAUUUACUCAAUCUUGAAAAGAAAAUUAAUUCAAGAAAUUGACAAGCUCACCAUAUUCUUUGAGGUUUGAGAGAUUUCAUUAUUCGAAAAACCAUUUUCAUGGUCUGGUUCUACUUCAUUUCCCGAAAAACACGACCCUAUAUCCACUUGUGUUGCCAUCUUUUUGUUCCUUCUCCUCUGUUUUUUUGAUGGCUCAACCUUUUUGUUCCCUUUUCCAUCUACCAAACCUGAUGAUGGUGCCCUCAACAGUGGUGCCUCAACUGGAACACCAAGCUCAGCCAGCGAGCUCUCUAAAGCUGACCUUGUUUCAAGCUUUGCAAUUUGCUGGUUAUCAAGAACUUGCCCCCUAGACUGUUUUGCUUCAAGCAUCUCAAUCUGCUGCAGCUUUUUCCACAAGGCUCGAACUUGCUUUUCAAUAUUUGAGUCAUCUUUGGGUUGAAGAAAGGAUUCUGUCCUUUGAUGGAUUUCACUUUUCCAUACGGAUUGCUCUGUAUGGCCAUCGCGCGUCCUUUGAACCUCAGUCUCACUAUCUUCCUCUUCACUACAAAUAAUAGCAGGCAAAGUAGCUGUAGGAGUUGGGAGACGACGGUAACUCCAUGGUUCAGAUGACCUAAGGUCCAAUACAUUUUCAAGGUUAGCCAGAACAUCUGGUGAAGCACUAGCAAUAGCUUGUGAAGAUACUGUAAAAAUAUAGUCAAGGUUGCGUAUGGCAAUCUCCUGCGAUUAAAAAAAAGAACAGCUUCAAUAACAUGUAAAACAGAAAGCUACAAUAAAUUUCCUCACAAGUUGCAAAACCAGAAGCAUAAGGCAAUGGCGCAGCCCAAAUAUCAAAUGUUUUUUGGACAAAUUUUAGGCAAUACAAGACCUAUCUGAUAAUUUUAGCCAUCAGUAAUACGCCCACCCAACCACACACACACAGACACACAGGGAGGGAGAGAUUCAAAUCAGGUACAAUUUGAGACAGAUUAAAGGUUUCAUAACUUUUCCUUCAUAUAUUGAGCAGUCAAAGAAUACCUCACAGUACUUCCGCAAAUCAUCUGCCACAAGUGAAUCGGCAAUUUCAAGCAGUUGAAUAGUAUUUCGUGGCUCCACUAGAUUAUCUGCAGCCACUUUUUCACAAAGACUUUUUAAGCUUGGUGUGGGCUUUAUCCCAGCAUCAUCAUUUUGGAUAGUAGGUAACAGAUUAUCAGACUCCAUGUCAUUGAACAUAAGAUCUUCAUCAAGCUCUUCUAGCUCAUCUUUGACAUUUGACUUCUGCUUCUGAGGGUUAUUGGAAGUAAAGGCAGGGUGAUAAAGGGAGCCAAUAAUCAACAAGUGUGUUUCGCCUACAGAAACUGAACUAGCCCGCUUUGUACCAUGUAGCCGAGUUGCAACCGGUGGCUUAUCCUUACCUUUCUUCCCAUCCCACAUGUAAACAUCACCUGUAGCCGUAACUGCAGCAGUCCAGUAUUUCCCUGCAGAUAUGUUCACCAUAAUUCUUCCACCCAAUGAAUACAGCUAUACAAACAAACAAAAGAACACAGAGAAGAUUAGUGCUUUGACAUGCGUCGCCCAAAGGAUAAGACAAUCAACAACAUCACUAGUUUACUAAAGUAAAACCUGCUGGCAUCUGAAGUCUGGAUCUGAUGACACCCAAUAAAAUAAUGCGCCAUCAUCUGUCAGGGCUGUGCUAUGUACCAUCCCUGCAGCUAUAGAGACCACAUGAAGCCGUUCUUUGCGAUGAAACUUCAAAGUGGUAGUUCCACUCUUUUUCAAGUUUCUAGCAAUUACAACACGUUUUGGCGUAACAAUUCGAUGACCCCAAGUGUAUACCUGGCACAUAAAUACAUACAGGAUUAGGCUCAAAUAAAGCAGAUAGAGGAAAGUUUUCACAAGAUCCCAGAUAAAAGCAUAGUAUCUAAAUGUAUCGGAACUGAAUACCAGAGAUAGUUCUAAUGUUUGAGAAGAAUAUGCAAUUUUCAAUCAGGUUAAAUUUACCUCCCCAUCAACUCCCAAAACAAUUGUGUGAUAUUUUGCUGCUGCAACCCCCUUAAAAACCUUGCCUUUCAAGGAUUCAACUAAUCUUGGAGUGUAGUUUGAUGCAGAGUUGGAUGUACCAUAGCCUAGCUGACCCUCCCUAUUGCAACCCCAUGUGAAAACUUCACCGGCAUCGGAAACAACAGCAGUGUGCUUGUUGGCUGCAGCAACUUCAACAAUUUUUGACCUAAGAUAAUUCACUCUACGAGGAGUAGGUUGGGUAUCCACAGAAGUGUAGCCAAGCUGACCCUCUGCACAACAUCAUGUGAAUAAAUCAAUUUUCUAGUCCUCAAUCUCAGCAAUAAAUUGAUCACAGAUGAACCAUUUAUUAAUGCCCAAAUACAUUAAAGAAAACAAAUCAAUUCUCUGACAAGUUGAAUUGUGAAUGUAGCCAUUGACUAAAGAAGACAAAAUUUGUGUUUCUUUUAUUAUGAUCAGUAAGUAAUUUGAAAUAUCAACCCCUUUUAGUUGGCAGUUUAAAUCCCCAUAUGAUUUACCUCUGUUGGAUCCCCAAGUGAACACUUCCCCACCCUCCGUAGCAAUAACAGUGUGAUGUUUAGCUGCCGCAAUUGCCUUCACCUGACGGGACCCUAUACCAAAAGUCACCUGACGCGGUGUGAUAACUGCAGCUUGACCGCUGAAAUGCAUAUAAUAAAAUGGAUCUGACUGGCGAUUCACAAAAGGUAUAACUAGGUAAAGCAAGGAGAUUUCAACCGAUUAACCAUUUUUUUAGUGAAAGGUGACAAAACUCGACUUCUACUUCAUACUGUGAAUAAACCUACAGAAAUAUAGGGCUGUUUUUUCUUGCAUCUCGUCUUUUUACAAGUUCAAGAUGAAAAGUUCCUUCGCCUUAGAAACUACAUUCCUACUCAAAUCAUUUCUUAUUUUCCAUGAGGACAAGCAUAUUCGUGUACCCAAUACCAUACAUGGAUAUAUAAUGGUAGGAGUAUCACACACGUAAAUUUAGUUAUGUUAAAGCAUUCAAAAUUGUCCAAACAAUUAGCACAUUAAGAACUGUUGAGUACCUAAUUUUAGAUAUUAUAUGGAAAUGCUAAAUCAACCAAGGUCAAAGUAUCCUACAUGUUUAUACCUGUGUAUAUCAAAAUCGGGGUGACCAAGUCGUCCUCCUCUUCCAAAUCCCCAAGUGUAGACUUCUCCUCGAGAAGUGACUGCCACGCUAUGGAACUUAGCAGCAGAAACCAAUUUGAUUAAAGAACCACGAAGAACAUCAACCUUGCAUGGUAACUUUUGUAUGUGCGCAUUUCCAGUUCCAAGUUGAUAGUUUGUACCACUUCCCCAACUAUAAACCUCUGUAGUAACUGAAGACAACAAAAGGAAUCAGCUCAUCUCUAAGCACAAGUAAUAACAGUCUGAAAAAACAUAAGAUCCUCAGAAACCUUGGCAAAACACAGCGGUAGAUACCAGAAUUAUCUCCAUUUUGAAGAGCUUGCAUGACAGGCCCAGAUAGGAGAUCGAUAGGUGUUCGAAAUUUAGAAUCUUCUAGUGUGAUAGAAGCACCAGACUGGAGAAGUAUACUUGCCACUGCAAGAUGACCAAAAUGCAGAGCUCUGUGAAGGCUACUCCAUCCAGAUUCCCCAUCCUGCAAUAAAUGAUAUGAAUGGCCAUGCAAAUCAUAAAAACCAGUUUCCACAUUAAAUGAAAAGUAUAAAUGAACCCCAACCAAAACACAAAAGUAUCACAAAAAAUAUCAGUUCAUUCUGUUAUAUAAAUGAAUCAUACUUUCCUGAUCAAAGUGUUUGGGAUAAUUGGAAGUUAUAGCCUUCACCACAACAUAGAAGAUAAAAAAAUUAAAAAAAAAAACAUAGAAAUUCACAAACUUGUCACAUGCCUUGCAGAUGAGGCCUAUUUGUAAAAAUUAAUGGCUAAUAUUUUUGAAUUGUAGUUAUCUAAAAGUUGAGUAUUUACUUCUUUGCCUUUUUUACAUUGUAAAAACUUACAAACAACAACCAGUCUUAUCUCACUAAGUGGGGUCAGCUGUAUCUAGGACACCAUUGCGCUUGGUUUUGCACCAAGUCUUCCGUUAGCUCCAAGUACUCCAUGUCUUUUUAUAAAGUCUCUUUCCAAGUCCGUUUAGAUUAGCAAUUUACUUGAUUAUAUCAUGGUAGUUAGAUUAUAUCCUUGGCCUCAGUUGCUUUAUUUCUCUAAUAAUUUGUUAUUUCCUAUAAAAUUUCCUUAACUGCAGGUCUGAUUAACUGAAUUGUACGGAAGUUACAAAGUACAGCGACUCAAAAACACAAUUGGCAAUAAGAACUUUAAUAUAAUAUAGCAAUAACAUUACAACUGAAUUGUAUGGAAGUUUAUCGCUGAUAGUUACUUUAACAACAACUUCAGUCCUAAAUUUCAGGAAAGGUCGCUAAAUUUCAACUUUUACAGGUGCAUGAGUGAAGUAAUGAUAAAUAAAUAAAUAAAUAAUAAUCAUAUAAAACAAACAGCUUAAUAACCACUAGCAACAACAUAAAAGCAUUCAUGUCACUAAAAGAUUGGUAAAGCAACAAACCCUAGCAUCAGGGUCAGCACCAGCAGCAAGAAGCGUCCUGACAAUGGGAAGGUGAUUUCUCCAUGUUGCAAUAUGAAGAGGAGUGAGACCAAAAAUAUUUCUUGAAUUUAUAUCACCACCACUCUUCUUCAGUAAACCUAGUGCUGAAUCCACAUCAGCCAAUGAUCCUUCUCGCACAACAAUGCACAGAUCUUUCUGGGUUCCAGUUGACAGAAAUUUGCGAGCAGGCUUUUGUCCUUGAGGCGAGGCUUCCAUUAGUCUAAAAAGCAAGGCUGAAUGCCACUACGUAACGACUAAUAUGUUGUCACUGCCAGUUAAUGACCAACCAACCAUGGAGGUGUUGAGGUUGGUGUCGUCUAAUCCAUGUUCCAGUUGAUUUCCAAUCUAAUAUCUAGAAAUCCAAGUAGCUAAAUCAUCAUCAACGUCCUUGUGCUGAACACAAUCCCCUCACGGGACCCAAUCUCCGCUCCUCCGACAAACAGAGAUAUUCAAUAGACAAGAGACUGUAUUUGCAGUUACUCUGACAGUACAAUAUACCCUUCACGCCGACCAACUGAAACAAAUUUAAAACAACAUUAACAACUAAACCAAUUGCACGGAUUGCCAAAAGGGUUUUUUUAUCUGUCAUACAGCUACACCCUGAAUGACUGCCAAUUCGAUCUUAAAAAAUGCUAGAAACAAAAGUAAAAUUCUACCCCGCGGUAUGUAGAUUCUUUUUUUUCACAGAUUGGCAAUUAAUGGUAAGAUCACUGUAUCAGCGCUUACAUGAACCACAUUGCUCAUCUACUUUCAGUAUAAAAUAUAAUCCAUCUAUACAAGAUUUGUUCUUUCUAUGAAAUGAAAUCUCAGACAAAAAAAACUGAGACCUACUUCUCAUCAGUUGGCUAAUAGUCCAAUGACAAACCGAAAGAUAUGAUUUUCGAACAAAUCCCCGAAUCACCCAAUCGACUCAAAACGCAAACUUUAACACAAAAUUGACUCCCCCAAAUGUACGGAUCAAGUUAUAAUUUUCAAAACCCGCAUAAAAGUUCAAAUAAAAGAAAAAUCACAUGAAUUUGAAGAGUGCCAAUCAAACCAAAUCAUGCCCACCACCAGAAAAAGGAUUUCAUAUAAGAAAAUGAGCACGAAACUAACACUACUAGAAUGGCAAGAACAGAAACGUGAACCCAAUACACACCGAGAUACCAGAAAACAAUCAAUACCCAUUUUCCAGAAACUACAAUAAAUCACAAGAACAGAGAUAAUAAGCUCGGAAAUUAACUGACCAACUCAACUGGAUCGCAUCAAAAUUCCAAAAUAAAUCGUUAAAAUUUACCCAAGAAAAUAAUAAUACGAAAAUAAAUCACCUGUUUUCCUCUGGAGGGAGAGAGAGAGAGAGAGAGAGAGAGAGAGAGAGAGAGAGAAUUUAAAGGAGCUGUUACCGUGUUGCUGUUGCGUUCUGUUCUGUGAAUCGAAACGGAGAAUAUCCUGAAAGGCAUAAACGCAUCAACGCUUCAGACAGAGAGGAGAGAACCGAAUCUUUAAACUGGAAGGGCAUUUUGGGAAUUAGAAUAGUUGGGUGAAGAAAAAUGUGGUUGUACUUUAGAGUUGACGGAGAUGGCGUUGGCGUGCGCGCGCGCGCGCGAGAGGUGGGCGGUCUGAUCAGCUCUAUUCGGUUCGGUGAAGUCUCUCUCCCCGUUUGACACGGGCUUGCUCUUUAAGCCUUACGUGUUCCCUUUUCAUUUUUUGGUAAAUCUCAAGGUGAUAUUAGUGAGAGAAUAUUUACUGUAUUCGCAUCCAGAAGUACAUCAUAUAUCAUUAUUAUAUAUGUAGAAAAAAAAAUUUUAUUUCUCAAAUGUUUUUUACUUGUAUAAUAACAUAAGAUAUUAAAAUUUGUCAUCUUGUGUUUUAAGCACAUUGCAAAAUUGAUCCUGAAAUCUUCCACUCACGAUUGUUAUUAAUUGAUUUCUCGUGACUUGUACUUAACCGGAAAAAAUAUUUUUGCAUUUCAGAUGAUACAUUUUUUUAACUAAUUUUUUUUAAAUAAUGAAGUGAUACACGCAUAGUAAAACAUGAGUUUGGGUGGUAAAUUAUCAAAAAAUUAUUGGGUGGUAAAUUAUCAAAAUUUUACUACUUUGGACUUCAGAAGGGCGUUUGUGCAACUCUGGCAAAUAAUUUCGAGCCCCUACGACGUCGUACAGAAUAAUAAAAUACGUAGGGUUUCAGAAUUUGCGUGAAAUACGGGUGAAAAAGUUCCCAAAUUUCAAGACUUUUCACUCCAUUUCAGCCUAUAAAUCCCUGAACCUCCCAUAAACCCCACAGUUCCGCCGGAGCUCAUAGCGUCGCAACUCUACUUCCGACCAUCAGAGAAACCCAGCAACUCUCCUUCACCCAAUAGAAAUUCAUUCUGAUUCCCAGAAAAUCAAUAUCAAAUUGCGGGAAGGAAGUGGCACGCCAGGUCCCAUGGACUCGGAAAACUCAUCCGCCGUUAAGGUACUCUCUCUCUCUCUCUCUCUCUCACUUUCUCUCAUUCGCACACUAGGGUUUUGUUUGUCAAGUUCUUAGCUUUAUUGGUUUUUUGCUUGAAUUUUGAUUAAGCUUUAGUGUGUUUGAUUUUGCUCAGAAGAAUGAGGGGAGAGAAGAUGAGGAGCUUACUAACUUAAUGAAGAAACUACGAUUUGAGGAAUCAUCAUCCGGUUCAGGGCAGGCAUCAGUGUCUAACUUCAAGAGAAAACCGGUUAUUGUAAUCGUUGUCGGCAUGGCAGCUAACUUCUGUUUGGAUCAAAACUUAAACUUUGGGCCGGGGGAAGUUGGCCCAAAAAGCAACCUAAAAGGGAGAGGAAAUUGAAGGCCCAGUCAAAAACCCACCCAAAGUCCAGAAAGCGGGAUAGGCUUUUUCCCGACUAGGUGCAGGCCAUGUAGACCACUUGCUCACCUAUCCAAAGGCCAAGUGGUCUAGACCAACCAGCUAAUCAGCCCAAAAAGUACUUUUAAAUGAGAGUGCAAGUAAAUAGCUGAUGAGUCACUACCCUUCAAACUGCAUUCGGGCAAGGUUGCUGCUACAUGAGGCCAAGCUAAGAUGUCUAUAAAAGGAGAAAGAGAAGUCAGAAUCAAGGACACUCAAACAAACAAAUACAAGCACAAACUCUGCUCAAAGCCAGAUUUGCCUUCAAAACGAAGCUGUAGUCAGCCCAAGCCUUCAUCCCUUUCGGGGUAACCCUUUUUUGUAAUAGCUCUGCUACCCUGCUCAACUCUUGCUGUAGUAUCGAUAUCUUUUCUGAAAACUCACCUCCCAGUCUUUUUUUCUAAGCUUUCAAACCUCUUGCAAGACGAUUAGCCUUGUCCGACAAGGUUAAACCUUGCCCGACCCUUUUUGUUUUUGUCUUUUUAUUCAUUAGCCUAGCAAUAUGUUAUAUAAUACAAAUUGUACCCAAGUUAUUUCUAGUAAUAUGGCUAUUAAAAGGUUCUCUCAGUGCUUGAAUCUGAUUUGAACAUGUUUCCACUGUUCAAGUUAGAUCUAAGUUCUAGUUCUAAGCCCUCGGGCAUAUAAGAUUUGAUCACCCUAAAAGUCCUUGGCCUCAAGGCAUGAAAAAGAACCUGAUGUGGACUUAACCCAUCCACUACAAGUUUUGAUAACAAGAAGUCCGAAGUUACUUGGGGCGCAAGUAAUCGACCUGUCACUUAGUUUUAUUUCUGUUAUAUCAUGAUUACCAUGUAACGUUCGGGGACGGGAUGAAUUCUGAUGGGAAGCAUCAAGGCCUAUACUUAAGGCCCCACAAAGGCACCUAUUUGGAUUCAUCCUAUUUCUCGGGCAAGAACAUUGAAUAUAGAAGGGGUUCUGAUGGGAAGCCUUAAGGCCUAUACCUAAGGCCCCACAAAGGCACCUAUUUGGAUUCAUUCUGUUCUUUACGUUCAGGUAAUCAGAAGUAUGAUGGUUAUAAGAUCCAUAUAACCAAGAAAAGGAACCUUAUGUGUUCGAGCACUGUUUAGUUAUUGAUUGUGAAGCCUUAAGGCCUAUACCUAAGGCCCCACAAAGGCACCUGUCAAUAACUAAACAUAGUCUCUCGAACAUAUAAUUAAACUCAAACAUCCGUUCUACAUCGGUCAUGUUGAAGAUGGCAGUGGCACGCCUGAGCACGUAAAGGUUAAUCUUGAUUGUGAAGCCUCAAGGCCUACACCUAAGGCCUCACAAAGGCACAUUUCAAAGUUAACUCUGUCCUUCUCUUUCAGACUUGCCCGACAAGCCUUGCUCGACAACCCCGCCAGUAAAGCAGGAGCCCGACAGAAACCAUCAACCGGCGCCAACCUCUCGGGGAGCUGUGUGCUCGUCGGACAGGAAGCAUCCCCCACGGAAAUUCCAACCACGAACAUAGUUUUGGCACGGCCGAUGGGAUUUUGCUGAUCAAAGCAAUAUGUCAAAAGGAUCAGAAGAUUUCCAAACUGCUUUAUUGCACAUGCUGCAAAGAUUGGAGAACACCUCUGCAGGCUCCAGAAAAGAAGAUGAUCCGGUUCUAAAACCACCUAUUCUUAUGUCUUUACCUCAUCUUGGGGAGAAAAGUGAUAGGGAAAAUAGGGGGCUUAAAACCAAUCAACUAGAAGAAGCUGCGGUGACGGAUAAACAUACGGAUCCCUUCUCAGAAGCCCCUAUCAAUAUGAUCAGUAUGGCCUGGGCAGAGAAGGGAAACGAGAAGGUCACAAGAGAGGAAGAAAGAAGACUGAUUGACAAACCCAUAAAAAUGGUGGUUAACUUGCCCGAAUAUCCAAAAGCCGCCAUAUUCAAAGGAAGGGUGAUGUGCAGUAAGUGCCAAUGCGAGUGUGAGCUCGAAAUACCACCCACAUGAGCCUUCAUAGACCAUGAACUGAUCAGAAGGAAUGAAGAGCAAAAGAGAAAAGAGGCACAAGAGAAGGCUCGGCGAACUACAGGAAGGGAUACCUCCCGAAGUGUCUUUCAGCGGCUAGGAGGUGAUUCCCAACCAAGGGCUUUAUCAGAAAUCUUUCGUAACCAUGAGGUUUCUGAAGAAGCAGAGGAUAAAGAUGCUAAGAAGCCAAAAGAAAGAAGUGUAGGGCAUUCUCAGUACGACCAUAUGGGAAGAGAAGUCAAGAGGAAUGACAGGAUAACAAACCCUGUCACAAAGGAUAAUCCUGCCCGCCUCGGACGAAAAUGGUAUGUGGUCGGAAAGAAUGGACAGCCCGUUAAGCAAAUGGGGGCUUGCAUGGUCAGAAGGGUUCAGAGGCAACAUAAAGCUUACAUGAAUUCCUUGAAAGCCCCAGCGACGUCAGAAGCCUCUAAAAAUCAAAAGUUAGAGAAAACGUCAUCUGGAGAGAGCAGUCAGCUCCACUGGAGAAGUAAGAAGGAGGUGGAAAGGGCUAACAUCAAGAUUGAGGGCGAAGGAAAUCAUGUGCCACCAAACCUGCACCCUGGGAAAUAUAGAAUCUUGAGGAGAGCUCAAGAAGAUAUGGUUAUGGUGCCAACUCCUGGCUGGAAGGCAGAACAACCUAUUUUCUUUGGAACUGUCUCCCCUGAGAAAAAACAACCUUCUCCAUCAUUAGGGAAUCCCUUCGGGGAAGUUCCAAAACAAACACCAUGCCCAUGUGUGAAUCAACUCGUGGGGGCACCAGAACCAUUGCUUCCACCAGAUGCUAUGGCAUGAUUGGAUGAGUUCAUGGACCAGAUUGGGAGCAAAAAGAGGAAUUGCUAGAGCCUAGCAACUUUCAUAUAAACAUGGCAUAUGUGCUACCUGCUAUGUUUGUUGCCCAACCUGAUCAGCCCGUCGCCAUGGAAGGAGAUUAUGUAGCAACUGAGCCAAUGAUGGCUCAUGUUAAUAUAGAGGAAGCAGAGGAAUGAGAGUCGGGAAAAGCUGCAUCAUCUGAAGCAUCUAAAGAGGGUCCUUUAAGGAUCUACACAGACAAAAUGGUGUUCAGCAGCCCGACCAUUUCACUUGCCAAUCAUCUGAAACCCAUAUAUGUAACAACUCAUCUGGAGAGGGUGCCCUUCAGAAGGAUUUUGAUUGAUGGAGGGGCAGCUGUUAAUGUAUUACCAGCUAAGCAGAUGAAAAAAUUGGGGAGAGGCACAGAGGAUCUUAUUCCUACAGACCUCACAGUUUCUGGUUUCUCGGGCGCUAUCACCAAGACUCUUGGGAUAUUGCCUUUGGAAGUAGAUCUGGGGUCUAAACAGAUUAUGCUGGCGUUCUUUGUGGUGGACUGCACCUCCACCUAUGGAGCCUUACUUGGAAGGGAUUAGAUCCACCAAAGUCUUGCUGUACCCUCUACCCUACAUCAACAAGUGGCUGUGUAUCAUGAAGCAAGCGCAGAAGAGCCAGGCUUUUGGGAGAUAGUAGAGGCCGAGUCACAGCCAUUUCUUCUCACAGCCAAUAUAGCGGAAGCAAGUUUCUACAAUCCCAACGUAGGAAUCUUGAAGUGUUUGGGAGCAGAUGAGAACGGCCGCCCUACCAAGGUGACGGCCCAAAAGCUUCUAGAAUAAGGGAUGCUCUUUACUAGAGAAGAGUGGGAUAGACCUUUUAUCAUCCCAACACCCCUACACCAUCAAUGAUAGAACAAAAAAGGAAAGAUCAGGUAAUGGCAGUCAGAUCCCUGAUUAAAUGACUGUUGGUGUAUGGGAAAGAAAGAAGACAAGAAAAGGAGCUCUUAGACAGAGAAGAGCAGGAAUGGCAGGUAGGAGCUUCAACCAGCCAUGAUCAAAGCAGCGAGGAAUCUUGUCAAUAAGAAUUGGAAAGGGCCAUUCAAAUGGCCGAGUGUAUAAAUGACCUAGAUGAGCCAGACGACUUGCCCGAGAGCCCAGAGCUAGUCGAAUUUUUGUGUGCAGAACCUGAUAAGCCACCACUAGAGGUCCAAGAUCCUUUGGAAGUUAUUGAGCUAGGAACAAAGGAGGACCCAAGACCAAUACAAAUCAGUGGUUUAUUGAAGCAAGAAGAUCGGGCACAAAUUAUUUAUCUCUUGCAAGAAUUCAGAGAUUGUUUUGCUUGGCAUUACACUGAGAUGUCGGGUUUAGAUGCAACUUUGGUGGAACACAGAAUGCCCAUCAAGGAAGGAUAUAAGCCGGUUAAGCAAGCACCACGAAGGAUGUCGAAGGAGAUAGAAGAGAAGGUCAAAGAAGAGAUUGAAAGGCUCGUAAAAGCCGGAUUUAUCAGGCCAGCCAAAUAUGUAGAGUGGUUAGCUAAUAUUGUACCCGUUUUAAAAGCUGUAACAAAAGCAGUACGAUGUUGUGUUGAUUACAGAAAUAUUAAUGGCGCUACACCUAAAGAUGAAUAUCCUAUGCCUAUGGCAGAUCUGUCCAUAGAUGCAGUAGCAAAACACAAAGUCUUAUCUUUUAUGGAUGGAAAUGCCGGGUAUAAUCAGAUAAAGAUGGCCUCGGAAGAUAUACAUAAAACAGCUUUUAGGUGCCCUGGGCAUGUGGGGGCAUAUGAAUAUCUGGUCAUGCCCUUCGGGCUCAAGAAUGCUGGUGCAACCUACCAAAGGGUGAUGAAUGCCAUCUUUCAUGAUCUAAUUGGCCAGAAUAUGGAGGUGUAUAUUGAUGACAUCGUGGUGAAAUCUAAGACGGAAGAACAACAUCUGAUAGACCUCAGGCAGGCACUAACAAGAAUGAGGGUCCACAAAUUGAAGAUGAAUCCAAAGAAGUGUGCGUUUGGAGUAAGAGCGAGCAAUUUCUUGGGAUUCCUGGUUCAUCAACGAGGGGUAGAAGUGGACAAGAAUAAAGCUCGGGCAAUAAUGGAGUCACCUUCACCUACCAACAAAGUGCAACUUCAGAGGCUGUUGGGAAAAAUUAAUUUCUUAAGAAGAUUCAUUGCCAACCUGGCGGGCAAGAUUCAGCCGCUGACUCCUUUAUUAAGACUGAAGGAUAAAGAGAAUUUCGAGUGGGGACCACCGCAUCAAGAGGCUUUUGAUGGUAUCAAAGCUUAUUUGACUUCUCCUCAAUUAUUGGUACCACCUCAGAGGGGAAAACUCUUAAAGCUAUAUAUCUCCGCUUCAGAUAAAUCAAUUGGGAGUUUGCUAGCUCAGAACAAUGAAGGCGGGAAAGAGUAGGCAGUGUACAACCUCAGUAGAAUUCUGACCAAGGUAGAAACAAGAUAUUCCCCAGUAGAGAAAUUAUGCUUAGCUCUGUAUUUUACUGCCAAUAAGCUGAGGCAUUACAUGUUACCUUGUCACGUGCACAUCAUCGCCAAGACAGAUGUGAUAAAGUACAUGCUGUCAAAGCCAAUGUUAAUAGGGAGGAUUGGGAAAUGGAUUCUAGCAUUAUCAGAAUUCAACUUCCAGUAUGUUCCCCAAAGGGCAGUAAAAGGCCAAACAAUUGCUGACUUCUUGGCGGAGCAUCAAGAAUCUCGAGAUGAGAUAAUCAAUAUACCAGGAACCGUGGAAGUUACUAAUGUUUGGAUCCCGCCAGGUAAAGGGAUAUCGGGCAAAGAAGAGUGGAUCCAGCAGGAGAUAAGAAUAGUGGCUGGUUUGUGGAUUACUCAUUGGAAGCUGUAUUUUGAUGGUUCUUAUACUCAUAAGGCUUCAGGAGCUGGGGUUGUGAUUAUCAAUCAUCAGGGGAUUUAUCAUUAUUACUCAUUUCUUUUGGAUUAUCAAGGGAAUACCAACAAUCGGGCAGAGUACGAGGCCUUAAUAAUUGGUUUGGAAAUCUUGAUGGAUCUGGGGGCAAUGGAAGUUGAGGUGUUUGGUGAUUCAGAAUUGGUAAUAAACCAGCUAAAUGGGGAGUUCAAUUGCAGACAUAUCACCAUGGCCGGAUAUUAUUUGGCGGCUACGCAAUUGCUGAGUUAUUGGGAUUCUGAGAUAUCGGUGAGUCAUGUUCCCCGGGGAGCCAACUUAGCAGCCAAUGAGAUGGCGCAAUUAGCCUCAGGCAUGCCAGUACAGGAGAGAAGAUAUGGGUUAGAUGUCGAGAUUCAAAGGAGAAAUCUUCCUUCUAUCCUGGAAAGGGGAUUCAGCCUGGAUAUAAUGGUUCAGGAGACUGAGAAAGAAGAUUGGAGAUCGCCCAUCACCCUUCAUUUGAAAGAUCCCUCUUCACCUACCAGCAAGAAGAACCGACAUCAAGCAACUAAGUAUGUCUUAUGGGCGAAAGACUUACUAAGGAAAACUCCAGACGGGUUAUUACUGAAAUGCCUAGGCCAAGAAGAAUCUAUGCGAGUAAUGGCCGAAGUACAUGAAGGAGUAUGUGGAGCACAUCAGGCGAGGACAAAGAUGAGGUGGUUGCUUAGGCGAUAUGGUUAUUUUUAGCCCAACAUGGAAAAGGAUUGCAAGUCUUAUGCCUGAGGGUGUGAGGAAUGUCAAAGGCACGGUCCUCUCCAACAUGUACCCUCUGUACAUUUGAAUCCAAUAGUCAAGCCAUGGCCUUUCCGAUGAUGGGCGAUGGACUUCAUCGGGCAGAUAUAUCCAGCUUCUAGUAAGGGGCACACUUUCAUAAUUGUGGCAACGGAUUACUUCACCAAAUGGGUGGAAGCGACGGUAAAAUCCAUAACCUCAGCCACAAUUAAGAAUUUCAUUGAGACCAAGAUUCUGCAUAGAUUUGGGGUGCCCGAAACUAUUGUGACUGAUUGAGGGCCAUCUUUUAUCUCAAAAGAAGUUGAAGAAUUUGCAAGCAAAUACAAAAUAAAGAUGAUCCAGUCCAGUCCUUACUACCCGCAGUAAAAUGGCCAGGCAGAAUCCAGCAACAAGAUUUUGGUAAACAUUAUUAAAAGAAUGGUGAUUGAGAGUCCGAAAAAGUGGCAUGAAAAGCUGGGAAACACUUUGUGGGCAUACAAAACUUCCAGGAGGGCAGGAACAGGCACAACUCCUUAUGCUUUAACAUUCGGGCAAGAUGCAGUGCUUCCCAUGGAAAUCAACGUAAGUUCUAUCAGAAUUCAAAAUCAGUUUGGGUUACACAGCGAGGAAUAUAUCGAAGCCAUGUGUCAAGGAAUUGAAGACCUAGAUGUAGCCCGACUUGAAGCCUUGAAUCAGAUUCAAGAAGGAAAGAAAGUUGUUGCCCGAGCUUAUAACAAGAAGGUGAAGGUGAAGUCUUUUAAGGAGAGGGAUUUAGUAUGGAAGACAAUCCUCUCUCUAGGAGCUCAGCUUAGGGGCUUUGGAAAGUGGAGUUCGACAUGGGAAGGUCCUUUCAUAAUUAGUCAAGUAUUAAACAAAGGGGGGUAUUACCUGGCGGAUCUCGAAGGAAAGGGGCAGAAACAUCCCACUAAUGUUAAAUUCUUGAAAAAAUAUUGUCCUACAUGGGAUGUUAGAGAUUGUUAUAUUGAAGAUGAUGCAAGGUAAAACAAAUGUUGGAAUAUCAAGGUGCAGUAUAUGAUCACCAACCAUUCAAAAGAAAACAGAAAAACAAAAAGUUGCUAAGACAAUGUUUAUUUCAUUUCGACAAAUUGGUGAUAUUUGCAAACAGAUCCAAGUCCUAAGUACUACAUUCGAUUCCUUCUGGAUACAAUGUUAUUUUCAGCUGGUUUUCCGAUGUCUUCCUAGAUAGGACCCGAUCAGGUGAUCGGGUUGUGCGGCCAAGACGUGCCUGGUAGAGGAUCAUCAGACAGAGUCACCACCACAUGAUGGUGAAGCCUGAUUUAUCACGGCGACGAGCGGGAAGGCAAGUCAUCGUGAGGAAACCGUCUGACCAAGGGUGUUGGAUAUAGCGGGGUGAUCGACCAAAGGUGUUGGAGAUAAUAGUUAUCUGAUGAGAACUCUUUUUCUCACGAAAAGGGAGUUUUAAGAAACCCCACUUAAACUCUGAAGAACUCAUUUUCACAGUUUUUGGAAGAAAACUAAGGAAGUAAAAACAUUGGGAGCGGGUAAAAGAUAAGGUCGAGGAUGAUUUGUGGGGAAAACCAGAAUUUAUAGGAAUGUCAGAAGGUAGUUCAAAGGUUGUGGGAAGAUCAAAAGACUCCGGAUGGCGUUAAUCUCAAUAAGAAAAUACAAGUUCCAAGAGUAAGGGCGCAGACGCAUGCAGCUAUUCAAUUAAUAUUGGCGCCUGAAAUUCCUGGCUAAAUAUCAAUUGAAGGGGGCACAGUUUGGAUCAAAACUUCAACUUUGGGCCCGGGGGAAGUUGGCCCAAAAAGUAGCCUAAAAGGGAGAGGAAAUUGAAGGCCCAGUCAAAAACCCACCCGAAGUCCAGAAAGCAGGAGAGGCUUUUUCCCGACUAGGUGCAGGCCAUGUAGACCACUUGCUCACCUACCCAAAGGCUAAGUGGUAUAGACCAGCCAGCUAAUCAGCCCAAAAAGUACUUUUAAAUGGCAGUACAAGUAAAUAGUUGAUGAGUCACUACCCUUCAAACUGCAUUCGGGCAAGGUUGCUGCUACAGGAGGCCAAGCUAAGAUGUCUAUAAAAGGAGAAAAAGAGGUCAGAAUCAAGGACACUCAAACAAACAAAUACAAGCACAAACUCUGCUCAAAGCCAGAUUUGUCUUCAAAACGAAGCUGUAGUCAGCCCAAGCCUUCAUCCCUUUCGGGGUAACCUUUUUUUGUAAUAGCUCUGCUACCCUGCUCAACUCUUGCUGUAGUAUCGAUCUCUUUUCUGAAAACUCACAUCCCAGUCCUUUUUCUAAGCUUUCAAACCUCUUACAAGACGAUCAGCCUUGCCCGACAAGGUUAAACCUUGCCCGACCCUCUUUGUUUUUGUCUUUUUAUUCAUUAGCCUAGCAAUAUGUUAUAUACUACAAAUUGUACCCAUCCACUACAAGCUUUGAUAACAAGAAGUCCGAAGUUACUUGGGGCGCAAGUAAUCGACAUGUCACUUAGUUUUAUUUCUGUUAUAUCAUGAUUACCAUAUCACGUUCGGGGACGGGAUGAAUUCUGAUGGGAAGCCUCAAGGCCUAUACCUAAGGCCCCACAAAGGCACCUAUUUGGAUUCAUCCUUUUUCUCGGGCAAGAACAUUGAAUAUAGAAGGGAUUCUGAUGGGAAGCCUCAAGGCCUAUACCUAAGGCCCCACAAAGGCACCUAUUUGGAUUCAUUCUGUUCUUUACGUUCAGGUAAUCAGAAGUAUGAUGGUUAUAAGACCUAUAUAACCAAGAAAAUGAACCUUAUGUGUUCGAGCACUGUUUAGUUAUUGAUUGUGAAGCCUCAAGGCCUAUACCUAAGGCCCCACAAAGGCACCUGUCAAUAACUAAACAUAGUCUCUCGAACAUAUAAUUAAACUCAAACAUCCGUUCUACAUCUGUCAUGCUGAAGAUGGCAGUGGCACGCCUGAGCACUUAAAGGUUAAUCUUGAUUGUGAAGCCUCAAGGCCUACACCUAAGGCCUCACAAAUGCACCUUUCAAAGUUAACUCUGUCCUUUUCUUCAGACUUGCCCGACAAGCCCGCCAGUAAAGCAGGAGCCCGACAGAAACCAUCAACCGGCGCCAACCUCUCGGGGAGCUGUGUGCUCGUCGGACAGGAAGCAUCCCCCACGGAAAUUCCAACCACGAACAACUUCAUUGAAUUAGGUUGUUUUACUUGAUUCAUUUUGGUUCCUAGUUUGGUGAAUAAUUGUGUUAUUAUGUGACUACUCGAUUAAGCGAUUGAAAUGUGUUGUGGGUUUUGAUUAGGGAGUGGUAAGACAACCUUUAUGCAUCGGUUGGUUUCGCACACACAUGAAUCCAACAUUCGUGGAUACGUGAUGAAUCUCGACCCAGCUGUGAUGACUCUCCCGUUUGGUGCGAACAUUGACAUACGGGAUACUGUUCGGUACAAGGAGGUGAUGAAACAGUUCAAUCUUGGACCAAAUGGUGGGAUUUUGACUUCACUCAACUUGUUUGCUACCAAGUUUGAUGAGGUACUUGCUUCUUAAUCUUUGCCUCAAGUCAUUUUGUUCACUUGAGCGUUUGGAACGCACCGUAAAUGGGAUAUGGCGUCCUUUUUUUUACUAUCAACUCAUCUUCAUAAGCAUUUGGAAGAGUUUUGUAUCACAUGCAUAGUACGUCAGAUUGUAAUUUUGGUGAUUUCAUUCAAUAACUUUGUAUAAUGUAUUGCAUCGUUGGGCUGAGUACUGGUUCUACUUGUUCAAUUUGUUUCCAAACGUCGAAUCCUUAUGAAAAUGAAUCCAGAACAAAAUCGCGCUAAAGCUAGGGCGUCACCCGUAAGUGGCGCGCUGUGUGGCCUGAGCACAGUGAUAAGUGAGCAAGGGUCGCUGCAUCUCCAUCGGCACCCGGAUGCAGUGUUAAAUGAGCAAGGGGGCCAUAGAAACUUCUUUUCGAACGACUCCACUCAAAGUUGUUUGGGAGCAUAUGCUCCUAUCAAUUUUACCCGGGACACACAAAAGAAGUACUUUGAUCCUAUUAGACGGGGGAGGGUGAAGAAGCUAGGACAGAAGGGUAGAGUUCAAGAGAGCAAAAUGCGUUUAGGAACGUGGAAUAUAGGAACCUUAACGGGAAAAUCUAUGGAAAUAGUGGAAGUUAUGGUGAGGAGAAGGAUAAAUAUUAUGUGCCUACAAGAAACUAAGUGGGUUGGUAGUAAGGCAAAGGAUCUAGAAAACUCAGGGUUUAAACUUUGGUAUUCGGGCACAAAUAGAACGAGAAACGGUGUUGGCAUCAUCGUGGACAAGACCUUGGUACAAGAUGUUGUAGAUGUCAAGAGGGUAGGAGAUAGAAUCAUGGCAAUCAAGAUUGUAAUAGGACAAGAACUUAUCAAUGUGAUUAGUGCGUACGCACCUCAAGUAGGGUUGGAUACGAGUUCGAAGGAGAAAUUUUGGGAAGAUCUUGGAGACUUGGUGCAAGGAAUUGCUCAGACGGAGAAGUUAUUUAUAGGAGGAGAUUUAAAUGGACACGUGGGCAGGGAGACAGGCAACUAUGGAGGUUUUCAUGGUGGCCAUGGUUUUGGGGAGAGAAACGAGGAUGGGGAAGCUAUCUUGGAUUUUGCAAUGGCAUAUGAUCUCUUCUUAGCCAACACCUUCUUUAAGAAGAGAGAAGAACAUGUGAUCACCUACAAGAGUGGGUCGUCAAAAACACAAAUAGAUUUUCUUCUAAUGAGGAAAGGGGAUCGUAUAACUUGUAAAGGAUUGCAAAGUUAUACCAGGAGAGAGCGUGGCUAAUCAACAUCGCUUGUUGGUGAUGGAUGUACAUAUCAAAAGAGUAAGACAAAAGAACAAGACUUGGAAGUGCCCAAGGACUAGAUGGUGGAAUCUAAAAGAAGAAAAACAAGUCAUUUUCAAAGAGAGAAGGUAAUCACCCAAUGUGUGUGGGAUAGAGAGGGGGAAGCUAGCCAAAUGUGGGAUUCCAUGGCUAGUUGUAUCCGAAAAGUAGCAAAAGAGGUAUUAGGAGAGUCCAAGGGCUUUGCCCCACACCAAAAGGAAUCUUGGUGGUGGAAUGAGGAGGUACAAACAAAGGUGAAGGCUAAGAAGGAAUGUUGUAAAGCCUUAUACAAGGAGAGGACCGAUGAAAAUGGUGAAAAGGUAUAGAAAAGCGAAGCAAGAGGCGAAAAAAAGCUGUCAGAGAAGCUAAGUUAGCGGCUUACGACGAUAUGUAUAAACGACUAGAUACCAAAGAAGGAGAGUUGGAUAUCUAUAAACUAUCUAGAGCAAGGGAAAAGAAGACAAGGGACCUAAACCAAGUGAGGUGCAUCAAGGAUGAGGAUGGAAAGGUUCUUGCUACAGAGAACGCGGUUAAAGACAGAUGGAGAGGUUAUUUUCAUAAUCUUUUCAAUGAAGGACAUGAAAUGAGUGCUUCUUUAGGGGAGUUGAGUAACUCAGAAGAGUGUAGAAACUACUCUUUUUAUCGUCGAAUCCGGAAGGAAGAAGUGGUUGUAGCUUUGAAGAAGAUGAAGCAUAAAAAAGCAAUAGGCCCAGACGAUAUACCAAUCGAAGUGUGGAAACUUUUGGGAGAGACAGGUAUAACAUGGCUCACUGACCUUUUCAAUAGGAUUUUGAAAACGAAGAAGAUGCCAAAUGAGUGGCGAACGAGCACUUUGGUGCCUAUCUACAAGAAUAAGGGCGACGUACAAAAUUGCAUGAACUAUAGGGGUAUUAAGCUAAUGAGUCAUACAAUGAAGCUCUGGGAGAGAGUCAUUGAGCAUAGAUUGAGGCAAGAGACACGGGUUUCGGACAACCAAUUCGGGUUCAUGCCAGGGCGCUCAACCAUGGAGGCAAUCUAUCUCUUACGAAGAUUGAUGGAAAGAUAUAGAGAUGGGAAAAAGGAUUUACACAUGGUCUUUAUAGAUUUGGAAAAAGCGUAUGAUAGGGUCCCAAGAGACAUUCUUUGGAGGAUUUUAGAGAAGAAAGGAGUACGAGUAGCAUAUAUCCAAGCUAUAAAGGAUAUGUAUGAAGGAGCAAAGACUGCCGUAAGAACUCAUGAAGGACAAACCGAAAGCUUUCCCAUAACUGUAGGAUUACAUCAAGGCUCAUCCUUAAGUCCUUACCUUUUUGCGUUGGUAAUGGAUGAGUUAACAGGACAUAUUCAAGAUGAUAUUCCUUGGUGUAUGCUUUCGCAGACGAUAUAGUGUUGAUAGAUGAAACUCAGGAAGGGGUAAAUGCAAAGCUUAACCUUUGGAGAGAAGUGUUGGAAUCUAAAGGUCUUCGCCUAAGCCGAUCAAAGACAGAAUAUAUGGAGUGCAAGUUCAGUGCAAAUGGAGGCCAAAACGAGUUAGGGGUGAGGAUCGGAGAUCAAGAAAUACCAAAGAGCGACCGUUUUCGUUACCUAGGAUCUAUCUUGCAAAAGAACGGAGAAUUAGAUGGAGAUCUCAACCAUAGAAUACAAGCUGGAUGGAUGAAGUGGAAGAGUGCAUCCGGCGUGUGUUGUGUGACCGCCGUAUGCCACUGAAGCUCAAGGGAAAAUUUUAUAGGACGGCAAUAAGGCCGGCGAUGCUGUAUGGCACAGAAUGUUGGGCGGUGAAACAUCAACACGUACACAAAAUGGGUGUAGCGGAGAUGAGGAUGCUUCGUUGGAUGUGUGGGCACACGAGAAAGGAUAAGAUUAGGAAUGAGGAUAUCCGGGGUAAAGUAGGAGAGUAGCCGAAAUUGAAGGAAAGAUGAGAGAAAAUCGGUUACGGUGGUUUGGACAUGUGCAAAGAAGGCCUACUGACGCUCCGAUUAGAAGAUGCGACUAUGGGACAGAGGUUCAGGGCCGAAGGGGUAGAGGAAGACCUAGGAAAACUUUGGAAGAGACUCUAAGAAAAGACUUAGAGUACUUGGAUCUAACGAAGGACAUGACACAGGAUCGAGCACAAUGGCGUUCUAAGAUUCAUAUAGCCGAUCCCACUCAGUGACUUGGAUUUUCCAAGUCUCCAACCGAGAAGUUUUCCUCACUCGGGAAAUUAAGGGAACACUACCCCAACCUACAUGCUCCACUCAGAAAGCUUCAACAUACAAAGCUUCAACAAAAGAAAAUUCAAAGAACUUAGCGAAGAAGGCUUUGGUGUAUUUAACACAAUACGUUGAAAUGAAGGAAAGCUUAUUUAUUGAUAUCCCCGAUAAGCUACAAAUAUGUACAUAUACAUGAGUCAAAAUAAACACACAAGAGGGAGCCUUCACAAAGGUUGCUUAGGAGAAGUCUCAGCAGUCGGUAGAGCCCCAGAAAGAGAAGGCACCGGAGGGGGAUCAUUUGGAGCCUCAGUACUGGACAGAACCCUAGAAGGAGGAGGCAUCAGAGGUUGAUCAUUUGGAGCUUCAUUACGCGGUACAGCCCCAGAAGACGAAGGCAAUAAAUGCCUUUGGAACAAACCCACAAAUCUCUGAUGAUCAAGUAAAACCUGACCAUCAGUUUCCUUCAUCUGGUCAAGCUUCCUCUUCAUGUUUGUAGCAUAGUCAUGUGCGAGCCGGUGCAACUGUUUAUUCUCAUGCUUGAGCCCUCUAAUCUCCUGUUUGAGACUCAUCACUUCAGCCGCCAAUGAUUCAACUUGGCGGGUUCGAGCAAAUAGGCGUUGGGCCAUAUUAGACACAGAACCUGCACACUGAACACUGAGAGCCAGCGAAUCCUUAACAGCUAACUCAUCAGACCGUUUGGAAAGUAGUCUGUUAUCUUUGGGAGUGAGAAGGUUCCUGGCCACCACCGCAGCGGUCAUAUCAUUCUUUCAUCACGGAAUCCCCAACGGUAAGAGGACCAGUAGGGGAGACGAAGGAUGGGCGCCAUAUGUUGUCUGGAGAAGGCGGGGCUGCCUCUUCAACAAGGUUCAAGUCAAAACGACGGUCGGAGGGGCCAGACAUUUUCAAAGGUGUUGAAGAGAGAAGAGGUCGGACAAAUCAAGAUCUUAGAAGUGCAAGAAUGAAGCUUCUACUGGUGGAGAUUCAAGUGUGCUUUGGAACUUAAUGCCAGCCCCUAUAAAAAUCUGCACUCGACGGAGCUUCAGAAAUCGAAGAGGCGCCUGCUCAGAAAUCGAAGAGGCGUUUGCUUUCUCAAAAGCUGGGCUGCUUAGAGAUCACGAGGGUUGAUCUCAGAAAUCGAAGAGGCGUUUGCUUUCUCAAAAGUUGGGCUGCUCAAAGACCACGAAGGCCGAUCUCAGAAAUCGAAGAGGCGCUCGCUUUCUCAAAAGCUGGGCUCCCCAGAGACCACGAGGGCCGAUCUCAGAAAUCGAAGAGGCACCUACUUUUCCAGCCUUGUCAGCACCUGUCACACGCACACUCAGCUUUGCGGAAAUUAUGGGCAUUCUGUCGAAGACUUCUGGGGAAGUAGAAAACACAUGAAUCUUACUGUUCAAUCACCCACUUCCCACACGCAACAAUAGCUCAUGGGUACCACAGAUAACUUUGCCAAAGUUCUCUGCCAAAGUUGAGCACGUGAAGCUUGCAGCUCCCACUACAUCGCUCUGACCAAGAAGGGUAAAAGAAUAGCAAAGAAACAGCACUAACAAAGUUUAGACCCAUAAAUUUUGAAGGUCUAGCUACCAUAUUAUUACCCACAAGGGUAAAGGAACAGUACCACUGCUGGAUAAUUGGAAAGUCCCUGUGUGUCAACCUCUGUGCUUCGUGGCAAGGUAGACUAGCAAACAUGCCCAACCUUUACUCACAUUCGAGAAAACACUCCCAAUAAGAUUGCUUGCUCCAAAAUCGAAGAGGCACCGUCCUCCGAAUCUCGAGAGCCAGACUCCCAACAUGACUACUUUCUUAAAAAUCGAAGAGAGGGUAAAGGAACAGUACCAUUGCUGGAUAAUUGGAAAGUCCCUGUGUGUCAACCUCUGUGCUUCGUGGCAAGGUAGACUAGCAAACAUGCCCAACCUUUACUCACAUUCGAGAAAACACUCCCAACAAGAUUGCUUGCUCCAAAAUCGAAGAGGCACCGCCCUCCGAAUCUCGAGAGCCAGACUCCCAACAUGAUUACUUUCUCAAAAAUCGAAGAGACACUGCUCCCCGAAUCUUCGAGAGCCAGACCCCCAGCAUGAUUGCUUUCUCAAAAAUCGAUGAGGCAUCGUUCUCCGAAUCAAUCGAAGAGGCGCUCGCUUUCUCAAAAGCUGGGCUGCUCAGAGACCACGAGGGCCGAUCUCAGAAAUCGAAGAGGCACCUACUUUUCUAGCCUUGUCAGCACCUGUCACACGCACACUCAGCUUUGCAGAAAUUAUGGGCAUUCUGUCGAAGACUUCUGGUGAAGUAGAAAGCACAUGAAUCUUACUGUUCAAUCACCCACUUCCCACACGCAACAAUAGCUCAUGGGUACCACAGAUAACUUUGCCAAAGUUCUCUGCCAAAGUUGAGCACGUGAAGCUUGCAGCUCCCACUACAUCGCUCUGACCAAGAAAGGUAAAAGAAUAGCAAAGAAACAGCACUAACAAAGUUUAGACACAUAAAUUUUGAAGGUCUAGCUACCAUAUUAUUACCCACAAGGGUAAAGGAACAGUACCACUGCUGGAUAAUUGGAAAGUCCCUGUGUGUCAACCUCUGUGCUUCGUGGCAAGGUAGACUAGCAAACAUGCCCAACCUUUACUCACAUUCGAGAAAACACUCCCAACAAGAUUGCUUGCUCCAAAAUCGAAGAGGCACCGUCCUCCGAAUCUCGAGAGCCAGACUCCCAACAUGACUACUUUCUCAAAAUCGAAGAGAGGGUAAAGGAACAGUACCAUUGCUGGAUAAUUGGAAAGUCCCUGUGUGUCAACCUUUGUGCUUCGUGGCAAGGUAGACUAGCAAACAUGCCCAACCUUUACUCACAUUCGAGACAACACUCCCAACAAGAUUGCUUGCUCCAAAAUCGAAGAGGCACCGCCCUCCGAAUCUCGAGAGCCAGACUCCCAACAUGAUUACUUCCUCAAAAAUCGAAGAGACACUGCUCUCCGAAUCUCGAGAGCCAGACCCCCAGCAUGAUUGCUUUCUCAAAAAUCGAAGAGGCAUCGUUCUCCGAAUCUCGAGAGCCAGAUACCACAGACCACUUUUUCAAAGUGCUCUGACAGAGUUAAAACAUGUGAAACUGGCAGCUCCCACUACCGUGCUAUGACCAAGCAGGGUAAAGGAAUAGCAUUACUACUUGUUGUUAGGGAGACUCCUAUAUAUGUCGACCUCCAUCCCCAACGGACAGGCAGACCUGCAAAAAUGCUCAACCCUUCAUCAUAUCUGAGAGGGCACUCCCAACGAAGCCUUUCGAAAUAUUCAGCUUUCUUUCCCCCCGAUAAUACCUCUGCAAACAAGCUAUACUAGAGCAAGAAUAUCUCAUAUCAUCAGGGUUAAAAGCAAGAGUAUCCCAUAUCAUGCUUUUUCCCUGUCUUUUCCUUUGGCCUUGUUUUUACCUGCAAGACAAGGAGAAAGAGAGAGCAAUCAGUCAGCACUUGGAAUCAAGCUUCCAGCCAGGAACUGACUGCCUGGAACCCCUUACCUGAUUACUUACCUGGCAUUGCUCUCGAGUACUCAUCUUCAACAUCUUAUGUUUCCAGGGAAGAUUCCGCAUCUGCUUGAGGAACAGAUAGGGCAAGUGCGAAGGAUACAAGGAAGCAUGUGGAGACAAGCGUAACAGCACACGUGCCGAUACAUCCAUUACUCUGUCAAAAGCAAAAGUAUCCCAUAUCAGCAGGGUGGAACGUACUCUAGAUUUGAUGGACUUGUUUUGACCCUCAAAUUCUUCAGUCGGCCUUAUACUCUGGAGGAAACCAGAAAAACCCUCCAGCUCAGUUCAAGAAUAAGCCUGUGGAAAGUUACUUCUUCAAAAGCAAAAGUAUCUCAUAUCAUCUCUUCUCAUUUUUCUUCUCUUUAUCCUUCAUGCUGCUGCAAGAUGGGGAGAAGGUGAACAAUCAGUCGGAGCUCUGAUUGCUUACCUUGUCUGUCACCUCUUUCAGCAGACCCCCUAGCUCGGCGACUUGGGGGACUCCUACUACAUGGUUUGUAUCGCGCUUGACCAAGCCUGAAACUACAAGUAAGCUUCAAGUGAAAUUGAUACAUUACCUUGUGCAUCUCCACCAGUUAAAGAUACCACCCCUGGAUGGAGGAAGAGUACUUCCAGAGAAGAUGCCACAUCUACCUAUGAGACAGAUAAGGCAAGUCAAGACGACACCACACUCCGAUACUUAGAAGUUUCGUGAUUACGAGAUCAUUCUCCCACAAUAUUUCCUAAUGUCAUUUGUACUAAAUCAUUCACUUGUACUCACUAAAGGAGAGCUUGAACCUAUGUACUUGUGUAAACCCUUCACAAUUAAUGAGAACUCUUCUAUUCCGUGGACGUAGCCAAUCUGGGUGAACCACGUACAUCUUGUGUUUGCUUUCCUAUCUCUAUCCAUUUAUAUACUUAUCCACACUAAUGACCGGAGCAAUCUAGCGAAGAUCACAAAAAGCGACCGUUUUCGCUACCUAGGAUCUAUCUUGCAAGAGAACGGAGAAUUAGAUGGAGAUCUCAACCAUAGAAUACGAGCUGGAUGGAUGAAGUGUAAGAGUGCAUCCGGCGUGUUGUGUGACCGUCGUAGGCCACUGAAGCUCAAGGGAAAAUUUUAUAGGACGGCAAUAAGGCCAGCGAUGUUGUAUGGCACAGAAUGUUGGGCGGUGAAGCAUCAACACGUACACAAAAUGGGUGUAGCGGAGAUGAGGAUGCUUCGUGGGAUGUGUGGGCACACACGAGAAAGGAUAAGAUUGGGAAUGAGGAUAUCCGAGGUAAAGUAGGAGUAGCCGAAAUUGUAGGAAAGAUGAGAGAAAAUCGGCUCCGAUGAUUUGGACAUGUGCAAAGAAGGCCGACUGACGCUCCGGUUCGAAGAUGUGACUACGGGACAGAGGUUCAGGGCCAAAGGGGUAGAGGAAGACCUAGGAAAACUUUGGAAGAGACUCUAAGAAAAGACUUAGAGUACUUGGAUCUAACGGAGGACAUGACACAAAACCGAGCGCAAUGGCGUUCUAGGAUUCAUAUAGCCGACCCCACUUAGUGGGAAAAGGCUUUGUUGUUGUUGUUGUAUUAAAAAUGAAAUUAUCAUCAUGAUCUUCAAUUCAGGUUGUCUCAGUCAUUGAGAAGCGAGCGGAUCAGCUUGAUUAUGUUCUUGUGGAUACUCCUGGUCAGAUUGAGAUAUUCACUUGGCUGCUUCUGGUGCUAUCAUCACAGAAGCAUUUGCUUCAACGUUUCCCACUGUAAUCGCUUAUGUGGUAGAUACGCCUCGUUCAGCUAGCCCUGUCACUUUUAUGAGCAAUAUGCUGUAUGCUUGUAGUAUUCUUUACAAGACAAGGCUGCCCCUUGUGUUGGCAUUCAACAAAAUUGACGUUGCUCAACAUCAAUUUGCUUUGGAGGUAUGUUUUGCAGUUGCAGUUGUGUGUGAAUGCAGGCAGGAGAUAGCAUGCAGACAUAGACUGAUUAGACAUAUACAUAAGCACCUUAAUGACAUACUCACAUCGUUGAAGUGCUUGAGUAUGGUGGAUCUGCAAGCUGUUAGGGUAAACCAUAAAUUAAGCCAGCUGCCCACUAUAUAAGCAUUAGAUGGUUUCAGGAAUAUAUUGCUCGGCCCUAGUGGUAGAAUCUGUUACAAACUCAGGUGGUUUAUAGUUAUUCAAGUUUAAUAUUAAACGAAUGUAUAGAUUGUGGAACAAUGCUUUUAGGGGGCAUUCUGUCAUGCAAAACUCAGUAGUGACAGGGAGCAGAGCAUAAAACAAUCUCUGGUAUUAUAUUAUGCCAUUUUUUUUGUAGAAUAGCUCUGUUCAACCUUGUUAUGAUUCAAGUGUUGGAAUACCAUUUUAAUAUGCCUGCGAUUUUAGUAGCUGGAUGGAAAUAAUUGAAAAUUUAUAUGGAAGAAUUGUAGUUCCAGUCCUGAAAACUGCUGUGUUCAUACAGUGGAUGGAGGAUUUUGAGACAUUUCAAGCAGCAGUGAGUGCAGAUAGUUCAUACUCUUCAAAUUUGGCUCAGAGCCUCUCCCUUGUGUUGGAUGAAUUCUAUAAGAACUUGCAGUCUGUUGGAGUGUCUGCGGUUAGUGGUGCUGGAAUGAAGGAUUUCUUUAACGCCAUUGAAGCAAGUGCUGACGAGUACAUGGAAACCUAUAAGUAAUGCAUGAACUUCACGAACCUACCUUCACUUUAUGCUACAAUGCCACAGUGGGAAUAUGUUUAUGAUAUAGGUCAAAAUUAUGUAUAUAUUGGAUUUAGUUUUCAUAAUUAGGCGCUUCUUAUUGUUUGUGUAGGGCUGAUCUGGACAAGAGACGGGCAGAGAAGCAACGAUUAGAGGAGGAACACAGAAAGGAGAACAUGGAGAAGUUGAGGAAGGAUAUGGAGAAAUCCAGGGGAGAAACUGUGGUCUUGAGCACUGGUUUGAAGGACAAAGAUGAGAGGGGUAAUGCCAUGAUGGAUGAGGAUGAAGAAGAUGAAGUCGAAGAGGAAGAUGAGGUUUUUUCUGAAGACGAGGAAGGUAUAGAUGAAGAUGAAGACGAAGAGGUUGGCAGGUUCUCGUUUAGUGAUGUUUCGUUGCUGGCAGAUGUUAUUUGGAUUGUAAGUAUUAACUCACUAGUUGGUAGUUACCAAGGGAAUUUAUGGUAUGACUUGGGGUGGACGUUGGUUGAGUAUUUUCAUCAAUUUGUUUGGAUGUAAACUUUGUUGAUGAAAAUGCAAUGAAGUUGGUUGUACAAUGCAUGUAUAAUCCACCUAACUAUUUCGCUACGAUAAUCAUGAUUAUAAUUUUAACGAGUUUAAUUUCUUGAAAGAACCACUGAUCAUUUCCUCUUAUUACCUUAAAAAAAAGUUAAUUAGCUCCCUUUCCUCAUUCCAAUUGCGUAGUUAAUUUCAUCGCACACAUCACAAAUGGUUAUCUCCAUUUUAACGAGUUUAAAAAUGGAAUUAGCUGUGUCUUUGGCUCCGCUAUGCUAUGCAUCACUUGUUGGUGUUAACUCCAUUUGUACCCACAUCGAUUAUUUGUUGUAACAAACUGCGACUAUCUUUUCAUCUAUGUAUUACUAAGGAGAGCAAGAGGUUUGUAGCUAGCGUUUGAGAGCAUAUACUUUUGCAGCCAGUCUUGUAUAUACCAAAAAGUCUUAAGGAGGAAGUUUAGAAAUAGAGCCUGUAUUUAACGGACAUACAUGCUUAGGAUUGCAAAUACGUACACAUUGGAAAUAAUGAUCGAUCCAAUCGUCAGCUCCCUUGAAGCUGAACACACUUUUAUUGAACUCCAAAAAAGUUAGAAAGGCAUCAGCUAGCUAAGAUUCUGUGCAUGCCUUGUUUUAAAGAAAUGCAAAGACAUAAAUUAAGCAAGAUACAAAGGUUAAGAUGCUAGACAAACUAAAGAACAUUCUCGAUUUUUGUAAAUCGACCAAGCCUACAAGAAACCUGUAAAUGAUCAACACUUCAAGGAAUAAGGAAAGGUCAUAUGAAAUUUUGGAAAACUACUCUGUACCAUAAAAUGCCCGCGCUAUAUAUAUAUUUCCUUCGUAACAUGUUUUCGUAAUAAUAAACUAGCAGAAAGUUUAUGUGUGUGAGCAACUGUUCACCUUCUCCCACGUUCUCCUCAAGCGCAAAUGUUUCAGUUCAUUCAAACUAUCCAAAAAGCAUCAUGAUUUCACUUACCUUACCUAUAUGAAAAAAUGAUGGUGGGACAAUUUCUCUUAAUAAGUGCAUAUUUUUAUCUUAUGUAAAUAUUUUGAUAUAAAAUUACUAUUUUGCUCUCCUUAUGUAAAUAUUGUGUAUCAAAAGUAAGGAGAAAAUAGGAAAAAAGGGAAAAAAUUCAAAAGAUACAAAAUUACUAUUUUGCCCUCAUCAUGUCAACAUUGUGGAUUCAAAAGUGAGGGCAAAAUUGAAAGAAAAGAGGGCAAAAAGUUGACAAACCCUCUUCUUUUAAGGGGUGUGCUAUCCUCACACCCCAUUCUACUUCUCACACACCCCUUGAUAAUUUAUGUUCGUUGAUCUUUUUCAAUUCAUCCGAUCCGAUAGCCAAAAAUUAAAAAGGUGUGUGAGAAGUAAAAUGGGGUGUGUGGAUAUCACAUCCCUCUCUUAAUAGAAUAUAGAUAUUAUAAUUAUAUAGCUACUAAUAUAUAUUAAAAAUUAGGUAACUUAAUUGUUCAAAACAAAACGGAAGGAUACAUUUCUUAUCAUAAAUCAAGAGUAAAAGCAUAUAAAGGCAACAAUAAUAAGAUUGAUAUAGGGCUGGUUUGGUAUUGCUCUACUUUGAAAAAAAACUGCUGUGAGAAUAAGCGGCUGUGAUGUGAGAAUAAGCGGGUGUGAAAUAAAUGAGCAGAGUAUUUGGUAAACUUUUUUGUAAAAGUGCUUUUGGAAAAAAAAAAACAGUCUGAUAGUUGGUCUUUUCAUUAAAGGAACACUGUAGCUCCGUGUGCUUUGAAAAAAAGCUAGUUUUCCAAAGCUGCAAAUAGCAGCUUCAGCUUAUUAUCACAGCAGCUUCCAAAAUAAGCCCUUUUUUUUCAGUUUACCAAACACCUAAAACCCUCACAGCUUUUUUUCAUGUGUGUUUUUUUUUUAAGCACCUUACUCCCACACCACCCUAUAGUAACCAACCAAAACUGAAAAUAAAGUAAAUUAAACCCAUUUAACGGUUUGCACAUAACCAAUUUAAUAAUCGUAAUAUUGUGGGAUAAAAAUAUUUUAAUUUGCAAAACAUAUUUCCUACACUACCCCACAUAUAUUGCAAAUUAAAAGCAAACCAAAGAUAGACAAAUACAAGAAAUGACGAUAUAGCUAUUAACAACCAUAAUUUUUAGGAAGUAAAAUGAUUUGUAAUUUGAAAUACUUAAAAAAUCUAAUACAAAAAAGUUAGAAAGGCAUCAGCUAGCUAAGAUUUUGUGCAUGCCUUGUUUUAAAGAAAUGCAAAGACAGAAAUUAAGCAAGAUAUAAAGGUUAGGAUGUUAGACAAAGUAAAGAACAUUCUUGAUUUUGUAGAUCGACCAAGCCUACAAGAAACCUGUAAAUGAUCAAGCUAUAUAUUUUAUAUGCCUAUGACAGAUCCAAAAACCUAAAAAAGCAGCUAGCUGACUGAUUUUCACAUGGAUUCCAACAGUGAAUAUGAGACAGAAGCAAGGACCAUGGCUCUUCGUCAGGCAAGACCUUCUCUUCAUCGGGCAAGAUCUUCUGUUGUAGAAUCUUCUGAUUCUGAGCCCGAUGGGAGGCCCCAAUCUAGACCAGCUACAACACCACAUCCUCCUCCCAAAGCACAAUGCCUUUCUCAGGUACAAACAUACUCGCAAUCUCGUCUUUUCCUAAUUUGGGUCAAGAUUGCUCCAUUAAUUUGUCUUCUCUGUGUUUUAAUAGGCCACUAGUGAGGGCUCGGGCAGGUCUCAUCGACCUUCUCGAGCUACUGAAGUUUCAGGGAUUUCAAUCCCUUGGCCUCAAAGGGUUGCAGUUGCUGAAUCCUUUCAUCCUGCUCCUGCUGAGGUUACCCAUGUUGACCCUGCUGCUCCUGCUUUUGAUUACACUGGCAUGACACCUUCUCCUUUGGCUUCUCUUCCAACCACGACCUCUUUGCCUGAACUAGUUAGAGAGUUCGGGCAAAUUAUGACGAAGCUGAGAUCCACAAGGCGCCCUUCUGAGCCUCAACAUCUUCAAGAUCAGCGCAGGAUCUUCAGAGAAUGGAUGCAAAGGGACUUUUCUGCCUUCUUUAGCCUUAAGGCUCUUCAAGAUGCUGAGAUAGCUCUCACUAAAUUAUACCAAGCUCAGCAGAUGACUAAGGUGCAAUAUGAGUCCUUCGUUUCUUUCUUUGAAAAUCUAAGGGCCUUGAGGGAUCAACAUCAUAAGGCCGAGAGGCAAGCCAACAUGGUGAGGUGCUACAAGGAGAAGCACAUUCGGACCUCCAUUACUCUGCAGCAGCUGGUGGAUGAGGGCUCGUCCAUGGAGGAUCGGAUAAUAGUGGUAGUUGCCGAGAUCCAAAAAUUGGAGGAACAACUUUUGGCUCUGAAGGCUGAGCAGAUGACUCUCUCGAGCAAGCUAUACAAGAAGCUCGAGGAAGUGAAGAAAGUAAACCACGAAGUGGAGGAGUCUGAAGCCCAGCUAGCCAACAGCAAUAUAGCUUUAGAAGAGCCGGGUCGCAUUUUUACCAUCAUGCAAACUUAUCAUUCUAGGAUAGCUGCCUUGGCUAAAGAUGUAAACUUGUUAAUUUAGGGCUUAUGUACUGAUGAGUCGAUAUGUUACUAUAUAUUUUACCGUAAUCCUAGUAUUAACUAGAAAAUACGCCCGUGCGUUGCGGCGGGAACUGAAUGCAUCAUGUGUAACUCCAUGAAUAAGACACAGCUACUUGGCUUUCAUAUAAAUUCAAUUCAGCUAACAUAAAGAGGUUGUACAAUUUAUAAGACGGACUUAAACAUUUUAGAUCACAAAAGUUGUAUGUUUUGCACAUAAAUGAAGGUAACACAAAAAAACUAAGAUCCCAUUCCAAGUAAUAAAUUCUCAAGACCAAUUAUUUACAAACACUUAUGACCAGAAGUAUCAUAAGUUUAAGAUUAUAGAGCCAGUUAUUGUUCACACCCAUUAUAACAUCUUAUACUCUACUUACACCCAACAAAUUAUUCAUUUUUUUCCGCCCCCCAACAUGUGGUUCAACAACGGGAGAGUUCAAAGUUAGGAACCCUUCUCCGCAUUGACCAGCCCUGUAACCUUCCAUACUUUUGGGCAUACAUAACAGGGCCGGGUGCAAAAAAAGGGGGUUAAACAUGCACGCAUCGUAUUCACUAUGACCCUAACUCAUGUUACCGCUUCUUAGAAUUCUAGCCAAAAUGUAAAAUAUAUCAGAUCACAAUUUCUUUUAAAAAUAAGAUAUUUAAUUUUAACAUUUUACUUUUGCACAGGAAAGUCACAGUGAACAAUAAAAUUUGACAUUAUGAACAAUAAAAUUUGAGAUUCAACAUCAACAGAAUUAAGCUACAAAAAAAAUUUAUUUCGGAACGGGCUGUCACAUUUUUCUUGUAGUGGUAUUUGCACAUUUGUUGUGAAAUAAAAACUAUAUUUUUAUCUUGUUCAAAUAAUUAUAUGAGAAUUUAGAACCAAGGGGGAAGUUUAAAAAUGGAAUUAGCUAUGUCUUUGGCUCCGCUAUGCUAUGCAUCACUUGUUGGUGUUAACUCCAUUUGUACCCACAUUGAUUAUUUGUUGUAACAAACUGCGACUAUCUUUUCAUCUAUGUAUUACUAAGCAGAGCAAGGGGUUUGUAGCUAGCGUUUGAGAGCAUAUACUUUUGCAGCCAGAGUCUUGUAUAUACCAAAAAAGUCUUAAGGAGGAAGUUUAGAAAUAAAGCCUGUAUUUAACGGACAUACAUUCUUAGGAUUGCAAAUACGUACACAUUGGAAAUAAUGAUCGAUCCAAUCGUCAGCUCCCUUGAAGCUGAAUACACUUUUAUUGAACUCCAAAAAAGUUAGAAAGGCAUCAGCUAGCUAAGAUUCUGUGCAUGCCUUGUUUUAAAGAAAUGCAAAGACAUAAAUUAAGCAAGAUAUAAAGGUUAAGAUGCUAGACAAACUAAAGAACAUUCUCGAUUUUUGUAAACCGACCAAGCCUACAAGAAACCUGUAAAUGAUCAACACUUCAAGGAAUAAGGAAAGGUCAUAUGAAAUUUUGGAAAACUACUAUGUACCAUAAAAUGCCCGCGCUAUAUAUAUAUUUCCUUCGUAACAUGUUUUCGUAAUAAUAAACUAGCAGAAAGGAGUUCGGGCAAAUUAUGAUGAAGCGGAGAUCCACAAGGCGCCCUUCUGAGCCUCAACAUCUUCAAGAUCAGCGCAGGAUCUUCAAAGAAUGGAUGCAAAGGGACUUUUCUGCCUUCUUUAGCCUUAAGGCUCUUCAAGAUGCUGAGAUAGCUCUCACUAAAUUAUACCAAGCCCAGCAUAUGACUAAGGUGCAAUAUGAGUCCUUCGUUUCCUUCUUUGAAAAUCUAAGGGCCUUGAGGGAUCAACAUGUUAAGGCCGAGAGGCAAGCCAACAUGGUGAGGUGUUCCAAGGAGAAGCACAUUCAGACCUCCAUUACUCUGCAGCAGCUAGUGGAGGAGGGCUCAUCCAUGGAGGAUCGGAUAAUAGUGGUAGUUGCUGAGAUCCAAAAACUGGAGGAACAACUUUCGGCUCUGAAGGCUGAGCAGAUGACUCUCUCGAGCAAGCUAUACAAGAAGAUCGAGGAAGUGAAGAAAGUAAACCACGAAGUGGAGGAGUCUGAAGCCCAGCUAGCCAACAACAAUAUAGCUUUAGAAGAGCCGGGUCAUAUUUUUACCAUCAUGCAGACUUAUCAUUCUAGGAUAGCUGCCUUGGCUAAAGAUGUGAACUUGUUAAUUUAGGGCUUAUUUACUGAUGAGUCGAUAUGUCACUAUAUAUUUUACCAUAAUCCUAGUAUUAACUAGAAAAUACGCCCGCACGUUGCGGCGGGAACUGAAUGCAUCAGGUGUAAUUGCAUGAAAAAGACACAGCUACUUGGUUUUCAUAUAAAUUCAAUUCAGAUGACAUAAAAAGGCUGUACAAUUUACAAGACGAACUUAAACAUUUCAUAUCACAAACGUUGUAUGUUUUGCACAUAAAUUAAGGUAACACAAAAAAAACUUAGAUCCCAUUCCAAGUAAUAAAUUCUUAGGGCCAGUUAUUUAAGAAAACUUAUGACCAGAAGUAUCAUACGUUUAAGAUUAUAGAGCCAGUUAUUGUUCACACCCAUUAUAACACUUUAUACUCUACUUACACCCAACAAAUUAUUCAUUUUUUUCUGCCCCCAACAUGUGGUUCAACAACGGGAGAGUUCAAAGUUCAAACCAGGAACCCUUCUCCGCAUUGACCAGCCCUGUAAUCAUGAUUAUAAUUUUAACGAUGCAUGUAUAAUCCACCUAACUAUUUCGCUACGAUAAUCAUGAUUAUAAUUUUAACGAGUUUAAUUUCUUGAAAGAACCACUGAUCAUUUCCUCUUAUUACCUUAAAAAAAAGUUAAUGAGCUCCCUUUCCUCAUUCCAAUUGUGUAGUGAAUUUUCAUCGCACACAUCACAAAUGGUUAAUUUCUUAGAUCAUAAUUUAAGGUGUAUCUUCCGCAAAAAAAUUAACUUAAAUCAUUAAGAAUCGUUCAUUUAUUUGAUAAUGACUUAAUGAUCUCUAAUUUGAUUAAUUUCUUAAAUGGUGAUGAGAAAAUGAACGACUAUACAACGAAGAUUGUUGAUGGCAAUUAGACGCUUUGCUUCUUUGUUGCCAAAAGUUCAUGCAGUUGUGAUCAACAGAUAGCAGAUAUCUAAACAACCCUUUUUUCACAGUUCUCUAUAUAUAAAGCCUAUAGCUGAUGAUGUGCUCUGGAAGUAUUAGCACAUGCUUGAUAUCUUGAGGUUGAAGAAAUUAUUACCUCAAUCCAGGAACAAGAAAACUUCAACUUGGGAAAAGGAAACAAAAAAAUCAAGAGAUCGAAUCAUUCUCUUUAGGAAGGAAACCCAGAAGAAAACUUUUAGGCUAGCUUGUCACCAACCCUUACAUCAUGUAUAAAUAUAAGAGAAAGAGAGUCCUUCAUAUGUUCUUAUUACAUUUCGUUGAAACUGAUCACCGAAAAGAGAAAAAACAAGUAAUUAAGCAUCUGCUCUACGAUGGAAACCAAACCCACGGCCAAGGAUGAGACAUGUUAUGAGGAAUUCGAACCGUUUUGCCAAUGGAACAAGGAGGAAGGACAUGACAUUCUUGAAGUUCAUUUACAAGGUACUACUAGAUCAAAUUGAUCAUGACUAAAUAUUGAGUCAUUCUAUCAUACAUCAAUGUGUAGUAUAUAUUAUCUUUUAAGUGACUCGGAUUCACUUGUUAAAUUUUCUGAAAUAUUUCUUAGCGCACGUCUCUCUAGCUAGUAAGUAAUGUAUGCUAUACAUUGUUAUUCUUUAGAAUUUUAGCUAAAUGUGUAAUCUAGAUUUACUGUCUAAAUAUAUACUCUUGUACAUGAGAGAUGUAAGCAUGACAAUUGCCUAACAGCAUAAGUUUGGCAAAAGACCGAGUUACGUUUCAUCUUCUCUUACGUACUCGUUGUUCUACUUGUUGAUGCAUGCAUGUAGGUUUCAAAAGACAAGAUAUUAGAGUUCAAAUCAACAAUUGGGGCAUCCUAACCAUUAGCGGAAAGCAACCUAGGGUUGAAGAAACUACAUCUGCUAUACCCAGCCGCUUCUGUAAAGAGAUCAAAAUUUCUAAACAUUGUACUACGAAUGGUAUCCGCGCUAAGUUUUCCCGUGGAAUUCUUUCCAUAACCAUUCCAAAAGAAGCUCAGCACGGCGGAGUGAAUGCUGCAUGGGCGUCAGCUAAUGACUACUUAGUUGGUUUAAGAAGCAAAGUUUUGAAGCCAAGGCUGAGCAAGAAGACAGCUGUGAUGGUGGUGGUGGUUGUUCUGGUCAUGGCUCUGGGAGUUUAUGUAGUGUGUAGAUAUCCGAAGUCAGCUAGCUAGCUACUCUUACAGUUCAAAAUUGAUCAACAAUUUUAGCAAAACAUUUUUAAUUUUCGGACCAUAUUACAUUUCUAUAUUACCUGGUCAUUUCACUUAAUUUACUUGGUCUCUUUAGUUUUUCUGUUUCAAUUGUAUCUUAAUUUGUAAUUAUUCAAUUUCAAUAUAUAAUAAAGGUUACAAAGCAGAACAAGCUCCUAGAAUGCCUUUAUAGAUAACACCAUAUUAAUUAACCGAAUAAAGUAUUAACCAAAUACAUAAACCACGCACAAUGUUAAUGUAUAUGAAUUAAAAAGAUAAAUCAAGAGUGGUACUUGAGAUAGUCAUUGUUGGGGCGAAAUAGUGAAGCCUAAGACCAUCUCCAACUCUUGAAGUAAAACUCAAAUUUUAGGUUAUAAAUUUACCCCAACUUACUCCAACUCUUGGGACAAAUAUGAGUUUAACCAAAAACUCUUUUGUGAGGCAAAUUUAGCCUAGAAUUUCCCCGGGUUAGUGGGGGUAGCCCACCAUUAUAUGUGUAUUUUUUUUUGUUUUAUAUUUAUAAAUUCAUUGAAUUCAACCGCUAAGAUCUAAUAUGAUCAAAUCCAACGGUAAAAAAAAAUAAAGAUAUAAUUGUCCAAAUUUAAAUCCAACGGCUAAAGUAAUUAAAAUUUUUUUUUAUGUAUUUCAUAUUCUUUCAUAGAGUUUCACGAGUUCCAUGGUAUCGGUUUAGUGAUUUUUUUAAUAUUGAUUGGAAUCUAAAUAUUUUUAGGUUAAAAUGUUCAUAAAAUUUAAUUAGGAUAGUGUACAUAUAUUUUUUUUUAAUUUACUUUAAGAAAAUUCAUUCUUUAAUAAUCUUGAGCUAAAAAUUCAACCCAGAAGGAUUGGAGGAGAAAAACUGUUUCUAAGUUAAUACCUAAAUUUUUUGGGUUAAAAUUUUUAAGUUUUAACUCAAGGGUUGAAGAUGGUCUAAGUGUGAAAAACAAAUAAUGAAGAUUAAAAUAUGAAAGAAGUUUUGUUAAAUAGUAAAAUGAAAACCCGAGCAAAUAGAGGCCAAUAACUGCUCCACCAAAAUGUGAAAGAAUAAUCUCAGUUUUCCUUGAGCCGAGUCUCAACUAUUCGGGCUUCUUGCCUUUUAUUCGACGUUUUUUCGCCUGCUUUUUCUGCUUUCUAUCUUUUAUUUCCCUUCCUCCCUCCUCCCUAGCUGUGAUACUUCAUUUCCAUCCCACCAUGUGUUUGGAUCGGGGGGCUCUAAUAAGAAAUUGGAUAUCAGAUCCACUUCCCUUCCCCCAACCAACAUGCUGGAUCUCCAUCGAGGCCAAGUGUUGGGUAUUUUACAUACCCCUUAGCCUCACCUUCUUCCCAUAUGUUACUUUGUUUGUAUAUAUUUGCAAGGGUUCAUGAAGGGGACUUGGAUCUGGUGUCUACUUUCUCAGUUCGGAGUUUGGCUUCCUCUGAGGAUGUGACGGCGGCGGCAAUGUGGUCUUUGUUGCAAGAUAUUAGUGUUUUUUAUUGUCUAUUUUUUGCUGCCUUCGAGCUAAACUUGUGUGAGCCUCUCAUUAUAUCUUAUCUUGGGUUGUUGCUAUCAUUUUGUUUGGACCUUUUACUUUUCCUGUAGUUGUUUGCCUGGUCCUUUUUGGGCCCUGUAUUAGUUUUUAUUGCAAUGAAAAUUGUCUUCGUUUUAAAAAUAAAAUAAAAAUAAAUGAAACCGUGAACCAAAAAAAAAAAAAAAGAACCAAUAAAGACUAAUUGGUUGAUAUUGCCGGGAUAAUAAUGUGUUACCAAUGAGAAAAAGGUAGUCAAUGGUACAAAAAGUAUAUUUUACUGGUCUUGUUUGGUGAGAUUCUCUUUUU
rnacentral:lncRNA from 1 species